UGAGGAAACUCCUACUGUUCCUGUAACAUUGGGUCCAGAAACUCUAACCAUUUCUACAACCACGACUGAGGAAACUGCAAAGAUUCCUGCGACCUUGGGUGAGGAAACUACAAGUGCUCCUGUGACCCUGCAUGAGGAAACUCUGGCUAUUCCGACAACUUUGGAUGAGGGCAGUCCAACUAUGACCACAAAAUUGGAUGAGGAAACUUCAACCAGUCCCACAAACUUAGCUGAGGAAACUUUGACUACUCCUACAUCCUCUGGUGUGGAAGCUUCAACAGUUCUCACAACUAACAGCGAGGAAACAUGUGCUGUUUCUACAACUACGGAAAUGGAAACUUUACCCCCUGCGGGUGCUGAAAGUGUAGAACCUGCAACUUAAUAGCUUUACUGUCAAAACUACUCAGAAAUUUCAGGUAUUACUUUUCUUUUGUAUCUCUUGAAAGAUUUUAACUUGAUGGUGUUAGAAUAAUUGGAAACUAUUUGAGAGCAUGGUUCGAGUGAUAUCUUGCAAUCUCAUGCACUUAAUUCAGUUAAAGAAUUGUAUGUUUCGUCUUUUGAGUGUUUACUGGUGUUGAAGAGGUCAAAACCUAAAUCUAUAUUACUGUAUAUGGCAUCACUAAGUCAAUGGGUAGAAAUAGGAGCAGCUGUUUGGGCUUGUAGGGUCAAGAUAAAUGCUUCGGGUUUUACAUCUUUUCUUAUAAUGUAUUUAUGAGGUUGGAGUUGAUUCUUAAAUUAGAUGUUCAUCUUCAAUGUAUCUCUUGGUUCAAAGUAGAGAAACCUACAUGAUUGCUGCAUCACGUGAGUUUACCCUAUAUCGGUGUUCCCUAAGACCAGUACUUGUCUUUAUUUAUGUGCUUUAGUUUCUUGGUUUCUCAUUUAUUUUAUCUGCGUUAGUUUCCUGGUUCUCUUAUCGUGAUCUUUUGGCAGAAUUGUUGUAGGGGAGAACACACCAGUGGUUUUGAUUCGAGUUGCCAUAAAAGAAAGCAAGGAGGCGGCAGAUGGCUCGUCUGGUGCAACUCGGGUCUCUUGUGCUCGGAUUCUUUCUUUGUCAAAUUAUGCUGUACUGAGUGCAUUGGCAUUCACAUAUGCUCCGGCUAGUGUAAUAUAUGAUAUGACGUUUUUCACUGAUGUUAAUUCCUAGAGGAGAGGACCUAGAGAAUUGUUUAAUUGAAUCUAUUUCUUUCUGCUGCUUAAUCAUAUCGAUGUCGUAUAGGGGAUUAUCAGGUCCUGAUAAUUGUUUUGGUUCCUCGUGAAUUUGAUCUGUAAAGCAUGAAUGCUAAUGAUGUUCUUUUGCCAAAACUGGCUUGUUCAGUUAAUCAAAAUGGAAUCCAUAACUUUUCAGGUUGGACUUGACGUGAAUAAUAAAAAUAUAUUCAAAUGGGAAAAUGGUAAAUUAAGUUUGCUUGGAGCCGAAUAAGAAUUUAUGAUUGGAGUAAAAUCCAAAUCCGAAUGCAAAGGGGAAUGAUCGCCAUCUGUAAGGUCUAAGCUCCAUAAUUUUGCCACCUGUCCUUCAGCCCUGCUAUUUGAAGCCGAAGAAAUGGAAAAGAAAUUGAGUUUAAUUUGGAAAAAAUGGGUUCAGAGACUUUGAUUGAAGUGAUUCUUGCAAUUCUUCUUCCUCCUGUUGGAGUUUUUCUUCGUUAUGGCUUAGGGGUAUUCACUUUCCCUUUCUCUUUCUCUUCAUAUAUAUAUAUAUAUAUAUAUUGGUAUAUGAUGUGGAUUACAAAAUGAUGAUGGGNNNNNNNNNNNNNNNNNNNNNNNNNNNNNNNNNNNNNNNNNNNNNNNNNNNNNNNNNNNNNNNNNNNNNNNNNNNNNNNNNNNNNNNNNNNNNNNNNNNNUUUCCUGCAUUUUUUUUUUAUUCUUUAUCAAUAAGCAUUAAUAUUUGGUAUCUACAUUAUUAGAUUGAAUUUGAUUAUCAAAAACCCUUGUAAAGAGGAUAUCCUUUUUAGCCUACAUUCUCUCCUAAUUCUCAUUCUAUUUCUUCUUUAAUAAAUAUUAAUCACUUUCUACCAUACCCUGAAAAUUUGUAGAUAGGCUCUUCCUUCCUCUCAUCCACCAUCGCAAUUUACUUUACAGCAUUUUCCUUUAUUUUACAUAUUCCCACUCCCCCUUGCCUCAUAACCCAUUCAUCCAUGGCCCUCCACAUCAGGUUUCUUCUUUUUCUCCACACAACUUGGAUUCUCAUAAGUGAUAAUCUUAACUUUUAUAAAAUCAAGAUUUGGGCAAAUUUCUGAACUUGGAUUUGGAUUUCAACAAAUCCCAGAAAUUUUUUAAAGUUCUCAAAAUUCAAAUAUCAUAAACUUUUCUUCUAAAUUGAAAACUAUAUCCUUGCUCUCACUUUUUCUUUUUGGUUUUUUCAAGUUUCCAAUACAAUUUUCUUUUCAAAAAAAAAUUAUUAGUUUAAGGGUAAAAGAAUUUACUAAAAAAUAUUAGUAAUUUUUCUUGAUCAUAAGAACUCAAAAGAUUUUUUUUUAUCAAAUUUAAAAUAUAUUUUUAUUUUUUUAAAAUUACUGGCAUGCCAUGUCCAUUUUCUUGAUUUUUCUUGACGGAUAGAUAUUUUUUCUUGAUCAUAUGAACUCAAUAGUAUGACUUCUUCUUUUUUUUUUAAUACAUAAUUUAAAAUUCACAUAUUACAAUUUGUAAUAUCCCAUACCUGAUCAAAUCUUAUUUGAGCUAUAAAAUAUUACAUUCGUUGUCGGAGCAAUUAUAAUCUUAUUUAUAAAUCACUUGAAUAAUUUAUACAUAUUAUUAAGCUUAACACAUAAUUACAUCCUGUUAUGCAACCAAAUCUGAGAUUCAAAUGUGUUGAAAACUAUGGACAUCACGUAUAUAAUAAAAGUAAUUGCAAGUGAUACGAACCCGAUUACGGGGGUAAUUGAGUCGUUGACAUACCCAAUCGUCAAAUUAAGUAGUUCUCGUUUCGGUUUAACAAAAGGUUUAUAUUUUAAAGAAGAUGGUUUAAAACAGCGGAUAAAAAUGAAGAUAGGUUGAAUAGAUGGAUAUAACGAACUUAAACCAAGAAUAAUCCUUUAAUAGAAAUUAAAGACUUGAUUCUUAAACGUUUCAAGGUGAUUGGCGGAAAGUCGGAUAGAACCGAGACCCGCUAUCUAGUAAGAUAGGAACCAACGGUAUAAGGGAUAAACACCAUACUCGAAAGUGAUAAGUUCAAGAAUGGAGAUAGGAUGACGCUACUAGCAAUGCUAAAUAAGUCAGAUCAAAUCACCAAGAACAAUGAGAGUUGGAAAAAAACUCACAAAGUCUGAAAUAUUUCAUAAAAUAUCAAGAUGAAUAAAGUUGAUCAAGUUGUGUAAGUUGUGUAACCUUCAAACAAUUUACAAGAAGCUAUUUAUAAGCUGCCACUAGUCCAGCCGAAUAGCCACAUGAAUAAUUCUAUCCUAAAUGCAAUCUAUUGACUUAAUUUUAGCUGAAAACAUCCAAUGUAUGAUUUCAAUAAUCGGUUGUCCAUUGAGUUCCACGAGCAGUCUUGAUGAGAUACCCUUUGGUGUGCACGAACAGCCUUUGCGCUGACUUGAAUUAAUUGAUACUGAAAAUGCAUUUAGAUGGUUGGUCAAAGGUGUUUAAUGGCUGAGUAAAAACUCCCUUGAGGCUGCCGAAUACAUGAACAGAAAUUGAAUGGAAAUGGAAUUGGUUUAUGAACUUAGUAGAUUCAUGCUCAACCGAAUGGUCAUGGGUGUGAACAUUGAGCAUGGAACGGUCACUAGAGUUGAUGGCUGAUCAAUCAUUAAAAUUGGUUCAUGAAAUUCAUGCUUCAGCCGAAUGGACACUUUCAUCCCCUUUGGCACGUUCAUGCAUGCUCAGCUAAGAUGUUUAUUAGCUGAAAUAAAUUCUACCUUAAUGCAUGAAUCAACAAGUGAAUCGAGAUGGAACGCCGAAUGGUCAUAGGGGCUGGCUGUUCAGCUCACAAUUGUCGGCUCUUUGUUUUCAUGAAGAGCCAACUGAAUAAUGCACAAUCAACUCCUAAGUUGCAUUCACAUGCAGGUGCAUGGUCCUUCAUUAACUAGCUUCGAUGUAUCAGCUAGAUACAUGAAUUCCCAGAUGUAUGUUCAGCCGCCUGAAUGUCUAGCUGCUUGCUGCCUUUAAUUGCCGUACAUUGAGCCUAUUGAGAGCAGCAAAUACAACCUGCCUUCAAGACAAACAAUAAGGACGGAUUAAAUGUGGUUAAAAGAAACAACUGGACACAAUUAAUUUGUCUAAGCAUUAGACACAAUUAAUGUGUCCGAAAUAAGACCCAAAUAAACAUAUAGCAAAGCUGUAUGAAACAAGACAAAAUUAAUAUACCUAAAACAUAUUUAAAACGUCCAGCUUAUGACAUAUUUAAACACUUGAUUAAAAUAUCAACAAGACAAAAUAAACACAAAUAAAUAUGUAAUAAAUCUGUCUGAAAUUGGACAUGCUUAAUGGACCAUCAAUGACAUGAAUUAAAUAUGUAAUGACUUAAAUAUGCAGCAUGCUAAGAUAAAAUAAUGACCGAAUGAUAAUGAUAAAAUUAUAAACAAAUCAAUCAGACAUGUAAUUAAGCUGUAGAAACUUAAAACAAAACUAAUUAAACCGAAAUAAUCAAGAAUGUUUGAAACUUAUUCAACAGCUAGUUUAGCUAGCUAAAUGGCAAAUCAGCUUGAAGUAAAGUGCAAAGGAUCUAGACGAGCAAUCCCAAGUUCGAUCGGUGGAAGCCUUUUUCCAAAUCUGUCCACCAAAGCUGAAUUUGCUUCUUUGAAUGCUUGGAUCGAGCUCGAUUAAUUGGACCAGUUUGUAGCUUGAUUGGAUCUCGAUUGAAGUCAGCUGAGUCCCUGGGCGGGUUCGUAUCAACAAGUUAUUUUAUACUAUCAUAAUAGAUUAGCCCAAUUUAAUAGUGAUCUAAUUUGAUUAAGGUUUAUCGAAUUUUAAUUAUUAAAUAAAGUAUGAGUCAAAUAUAUGUAAAUAUUCUAAUAACUAAUUUCUAAUUAAUGAUGGGUUGAUUAGAAAUUAGGAUUAAUAUGCAAAAGUUAUAUAUUAGGGUUAUGCUUCCCAAAUUACACAUCAGAUAACUUUACUAAUAUUUCAUAUUUAGUUUCUCUAAAUUUCUUGUGUGCUAAUUUGGAUUUCAAGAAAUCGAUGAACUUAGGUACGCUUCCACAUCUAGUUUUAUUCUAAGUGAUUUGACAUAACAGAUCCUGAUUUAUAGUUUUAAGUUUAUAUUAGAUCUUGUUUUUACAGUUCUAACAAGUAGCAUCCGAGCUUCAUAAUGUUGAAUCAUUGAGAAUUAAUGUUUUUAGAUUAAUUCGUUCUUAGGAGUAUUUGGAAUUAUAUUAAAAUUUUUAGUUUUGAUUAGUUAUGAAUUAAGUUUUUAAAGUUUUCUUAAUAAUUUAGAUUGAAUAUAUAACAAUGAGAUUGUUGAUUGGGCAAUUGCAUGAUUGGAAUGUAAUUCUUGAUUUAUAAUUCACAUCAAUUUUUUUUCCUUCAUUGGUUACACAUAAAAUUACUAGAAGUCAGGAUAUGCAUGCGAUAUAUUUAGAAUAUCAUAUAGUCUGAUAUUAUAGAUUUUUAUGAUCUUUUGAAAAAUAUAUUAUGAUAUUCAUAUUUUUUAUUAUAAUUUUUUAAUCAUUAGAACCAUGAACUCAAAAGUUCAUGGUAGACGGUUAUGUUGAUUUAGGGUGAGUUUGGAUGGGCGAUUGGGUGCAGUGCGGCGCGUUUAGCUUAAUUUUUUCCUCACGCUAGAGUAUCUAAUCUCACCACUAUCGCUAUUUUUACACUAACCGCAGAUAAACACACCACCCAUCCAAACUCACCCUUAAUGUGAAACAAAUAUGAAUCUUAGAAAAGCACAUGUAAAGUGUCAAAAGUUAUAAAUGCUUUGUAAGUAGAUUAUAUGGCUAUGGGCUCUAAAUUAACCCUAUUUCUAUGGGAAUAACAACUUUACAUCAUGUUUGGUUGAGUGUAAUCCCAUAACUUUUACUUGUCUAUUCGGUAGGCCCAAUUUAUUACUUUGUUUGGUUGGGGGUAUUUGCGAAUAGGCCCGUAAUGGAAACCGACUGUAUUUCCGUCACAUGGGUUAAGAAUUGCGAUUCCAUUCAGGAUGGAAUGAAAAUGAAACCAUAGCUGGACCAAAAUGUCCCCUCUUGCUUUCCCCAAUUAUUUUCCCAAAUUGAAACCUGGGUUGAAAUCAACGAUAUGCAUAAGCACACCCGCUUCAGAUUGUUCACCCUGAUUAAAGGUAAGUUAUGUUAAAAUUUUCAUAUUAUUCGUUCUUCAUCUUCAUCUCUCUUCAAAAGAUUUACUUUUUUUUUGAGGAUUUUUUGUUUCCCUGAAUUUGGCUUAAUUUGGGGAUGAUUUUUUCCUAGAUUAACAAAGAAAAGUGAAGAUUUAAAAAAUAAAUUUGUUUUUUUUUCUGGAACUUGUUUUCCCCAAACUAUUUCUCUGCCAACGCUUUUUUAGAUGAACCAAAAAUUUGUAGAAAUAAAAAGAAUUUGAUUUUAUCAGGUCUUUUUCUUUUUGUUUCCCCCAAGUUUUCAUUAAUUCGACAAUGUUUUUUUUUUCUAGAUUUAAAAAAAAUUCAAGAUUUCCAGAAAAAAAUUGAUUUGUUUCAAGACUUAUUUCUUGUUUCCCAUUGAAUUUUACUUAUAUGUUUCUUGAUCUGUAAAAUUUUCGCAACUGGCUUGUUGCUUAUUUUGGAAUUAUAUUAAUUUGUCAUUUUGCUUUUAUUUUGCAAGUAAGCAAUCUGGAAGUUUACGAUUUCUACUAGUUGAUUUCCAAACAUUUUAACAUUUAAACAUGCAUAUUGCAGACGUAAAAAACGAUUAUUUGUAGGUAUUUUAUCAAGGCUGGAUAUAAGGUUAUCUUUUUAUAUUGGAGGUGAAUUUUACUUUUGUUGAUUGUUUAUUUGUAUGGUUGAUUGUUUUUUGUUUGUGUUCAGUGGAUAUUUGUAUUGAUUCUGCAACUUGUGUGUGUGUAGGGGAACCUACCAGUCGUAUUGCAGGUCUCUUCUUGAGGAUCCUUUGCUGGAAUGCUUUGUGCUCGUUGAUGAUUUCAAUUUUCAAGGUUUGUGGAUUAUCUUUCUCUAUGUUUUAUAAUUUGACAUUGAUCAUGACUCGAAUGCAUUAAAUUGGCUUUGUAUAGGUUAUUUUGUAUGAUAUGAGUUAUUGAAUUACUUCAUUAAAGAACUCUAUAAGAGGAGGGUGUCAUAAUUUAAUAGAAAUGUGCUUCUUUGUUUCAUGUUGUUUUCUAUAUAUGUUAAGACAUUUGAUGCUGUUCAACUUGUUUUAGAGGAGUUUGGUCGAAGCAUCGGUGAAAUUUUUUAGAAUUUUGAUGUAAAUCCUCUUGGUUCUGCAUCAAUCGCACAUGUAUUACUUUUUCAUUUCUUUACCUGGCUUGAAGUUUUAUAUGAGCAUGCUGGGAAGGGUAUUGGUUUAUGUAUUUGAACAUAUAAAAUCUUUGAAGGCUGAGCAUUUUCAUUAAAUAAGCUUCAUGCUUGCCAACAUACAACAGGAUAUGACACAUUUGCUGUUUUAAUGCUACCAUAAAGUUUAACAGUUUUGCGGGGUUCUCGGGUUCUGAAAAUAGGAUAAUGCUUACAAGAAUCUAGUGGAUAUACCUUAACAUAUGUUUGUAUCUGAAUUAGGUUCAUCAAGCAGGACUGAGAGGUGAUAAGAUCGAUGUUGUUGUUAAGGUAAGUCCCCUUGAAAAUGAUUUUAAAACCUCAUAUGUCUAUGUGGUUUUGACCAUUCAAGCUUAUGGCAGGUGCAACAUCCGGGAAUCCAGGAUCUUAUGAUGAACGACAUUCGUAACUUGCAAGCAUUUGCACUAUACAUUCAGAAGAAUGAUAUCAAAUUUUAUCUGUUUUCCGCUACCAAGGAAAUGGAAAAACAGGUAUCUGUAUUCACACUGAUGUUCCUUGCAAAACACAUCUAUCAUUCUUUUAUGUAUUUUUCAGAUUAUGUAAAUUGACAGUAUCGUUCCACUUGGAUUUGGAUUUCUUUUUUCUUCAGCAUGUCGUUAAUUAUUUAUCCUUUGUGUUGUCAAGAUCGGAUAUGAGUUUGACAGAGAAGCCAAUGCUAUGGAGAGAAUUUGCGAUUUAUUAUACGAGAAUAACUUAAAGAACUUUGAGUUUUUGAAUAACAUAAAAUGAGGAAUGGCUUUUGAGACAAAGGGAUUACAGAUCUCAGCUCCUUCUGUAUUUAUGUCGAGUUUUCUUCAUGUUUUUGAAUAACAUAAAGAACUAUGAGUUUUUGAAUAACAUAAGAUCAAGGACUAUGGUUUUUGAAUAACAAAGGACUAUGAGUUUUGAUUUUUUAUUUCACAUAUGAAAAGAACUAAUGUUAUUAAAAUUUAGUAAUUUUCAUGUAAAAUUUGAAGCUUUUUAUUUCACCAAAAGAUUGCUAUAAAUAAUUAAUUUAUUAAAGAGUAUACCUUAUAAUUAAUUGUUGUUAUCAUGUUAUUAUAAAGGAUAAAAUAAAAUAUAAAAAAUAUGUUUUCUAUUAAAAUUGACUAUUAAAAUAAAAUGUUAUCAUAGGAUUAUCAUACCGUAUGUUAAACUCAUUUUUAUAUUGGCGAUUGUGACCCAAGAGAACAGGUGAGAGGUUACAUUGAAGCAAAUAUAUUAGACAUUGAAAUAUUCUUAAUAAUAAUAUUAUAUUAAAAUUAUUAUUAAAUAUUAUUAAUAAUUAUAUUAAGAAUGUUAUUAAAUUAUAUAUAUUAUUUUAUUAAAUUUUAUUUAAUAAUAAUUAUGUUAAAAUAUGAAUAAAUUAUUUAUUUUUAUUUUUAUUAAAAUAUAUUUAAUAAUAAUCUUAUUAUAAUUUAAUAACAAUAAUCAUUUACCUACAAAAAUUAUGUUAAGGGUACUUUGGUCGUUUAAGAUUUUUUACUUAUACUAUUACAACAUCUAUUCUAUUUAACCAAACACAAGAAUUCUAUUACAGCUCUAUUCCAUUCAAUUCAACCAAACAAUUGAAUUACUGGUUACAGCUCUAUUUCAUUACAACUUUAUUCCAUUACAACUCUAUUCAAUUACAACCUUAUUCCAUUACAGUGAAUCAAACGUACCCUUAGUAUUGCUGUCUUUAUACUACCCUUAUAAGUAUAUAUGACAAUAUAUGAUUUUGUUAAGGUAUAUAUUUUAUUUGUAAAUCAUAUAUGUUCAAGCCCAUUUUUGCCUGGGGCCCAUAUGACCCAAACAAAACCAAUUAAAAGUCCAUAAUAAAACAAAUGUUCAUUUACAAACCCAAAUGCCAACCCAAAUUAAAUCUAACCCAACAGCCCCAAACCCAAAUUUUAAAAAAACUCUAGGCGGCCCAAUGGCCCAAAAUGUUUAAACAUUUUUCAGAAAACCCUAGCCUCCCUAACUCUUUUCAGCCGCCAGCCUCCACGCAUGCCCACUGCCGUCGCCGCACACCAGCGCCCCAUCCACGCGCAUCUGACACUACUCUGUCACCUGCAAAAGACCACCAAACAAAGCAACAGUAGCAAUAAAUGACAAAAGACAAAGAAUAGAAAAUCAAUGGUGGUAAUAUGGCUAUAAAAGCCAAAAUAUUCUCGUUGUACAUUUUUUUUACACGCACUUUAGAAAUAAAAGGCAGAACAGAGGUUUUUUAAAGGUUGAACUUUUACUGUUUUCUUCUCUAUUUAUUUAUUGUUAUUUAUUUAUCUUUUUUACAACUUCAUUUUAACAAAAAUAACAUAGUAAUAAAAAAGGCACCUGAUUCGCUCCGAGAUUCUGUCGACGGGGGCUCCCCUCUCGCAUUCGUCUUUCGCCGUUGGCCGUUUGCCAUAAUGGCAACGCGUCGGGACGCCGGGGAAUCCCAAAUAAAUGGAGGAGGGUAGAUUUUUGAGAGAGUUUUAGAGGCUCUCUGAUUUUUUUGUUCAAAAUGAAAGAUGAAGUGUUUUUUUGUGUGAAAUUUUUUAUUUAUAUGGGAUCAAUACGGCGCCAUUUUGAGCCACUUGCAUCAGUGGCUAACACGACGUCGUUUCGUCUUAGACCUGAAAUCGACCCGACCCAGUAUCCAGGAUCCGCGCGUGUUGGCUUUGAGGGGCUAUUUGCACAAUCAGCCCCUCCGCCUUUCCAGUGUGCGCAAUCGGUCCUAUUUUUUUUUAAUUUUGCCCCAUGAUUUUUCUGCGUAUUUCAUGCUGGUCCGCGUGAAACGGUGCGCAUGGGCAUGGGAAUAAUUCUUUCUUCAGUCCUCAUGCCCUUAUGCGGUCUUAUUUUAGUCCCUGACCAUUUAAGUUCAUUUUUUUUAAUUUGCUUUUGUUUAUUUUUAUUAGUUUUCAUGUUUAUUUUGAUUUUGUUUUUAUUUACUUUUUAAACUGUUUAGAUUUUUUUUAUAUUAUUUCAUGUAAACAGUUUUAUUAUUAUUUAUUUUAAAGAUUUUAUGUAUUAUAUAUAUUAAACAGUUUUAGUUUAUAUAUAUUACUCUAAGUUUCCUUUCCUAUAUUACAUUCCAAACUUUUUAUAUAAGUAUAAAUUAUUUAUUUAUUUAUUUAUUCAUGAUAAGAUGUAUUAUAUAUAUGUCAAAUAUUAUAAACUGCUUUCUACUAUUUUCUUUUAAAUUGUCAUUUUUAUCUUUAUUUUGAACUCAUUUUAUGUAUUAUUUAGUUAAAAUUGUUUUAUUAUUUAAAAUUGUUUUACAUAUCUUUUAAGGGCAAUUUACCAAUAAAAGCCCUUUUUUUUUUAAAAAUUACCGAAAUGGGCCCAUUAUUUUAUUAUUUACUGGAAUGGUCCUUUUUUGGGAAAUCGCGUCCACGUCAGCGCGAGUUGCUGACGUGGACGCGAUGUCCUCCGCGCGUGAACAGUACCUAACUGUCAAAAAUUUGACUGUUGCCCCCCCAACGGUAAAAAAAAAAACUAUAAAUACCCCCACCCCUUUUUAUUUUUUCACAAACAAAUCCUCUCUCAUAUUUCCUCUCAAUUCCUCUCGAUUUCCUUCCAAAAUUCUCUCAAAUCUAUAUUUAAUUUCAAUUUCCUCUUAAUUUCCUUCAAAAAUUCUCUCAAAUCCAUAUAUAAUUUCAAUUUCUUCUCAAUUUCCUUUUUUAAAAUAAUUUUAAAUUUUUUUUGAUAUUUUUAUAAAUCGUAAAAAUUUGUCCGAUUUCAUCAAUGGCCGAAUCAUUGACUCGUCUUGAUAGGCAUCACAUAUCGGUGGAACAAAUGACAAUGGUAAGUGUUAAAUUUAAUUUUUAAAUAUUAUUUAAGAAUUUUUUAUUUAUGCAUUUUUAGAUAAUUAUUAAUUUAUUAUUUGUUAUAAAAGUCUGUAGAUCGGGUAUUGGAAUGCAAUAUCCGGAAUAUGCAUGCUCCUCCAUCACUGUUGGUAGAGAACUACCUGCGGGAAGCGGGUUUUUGGCACGUGGCAAUGGUGGGCCGGGGAUGCAAGUUGGACCCGAAACUGAUCAGUGCGUUGAUCGAGAGGUGGAGACCGAGACGCACACAUUCCAUCUUCCAUGUGGAGAGUGCACUAUCACUCUAGAAGAUGUUAGUCUGCAGUUGGGAUUGCCGGUGGACGGGCACCCAGUCACCGGGUCUGCCCAAUCUAGCAAUUGGGAGGCGGUGUGCUACGAGCUUUUGGGCGCUAUUCCGGAGAAAAUGGAGGGAGGUAAGGUCGAGAUGGGCUGGUUACGUGACACAUUCCCUGAUCCGGAUGAAGAUUCAACCGAAAUUGAAAGAAUCCGAUAUGCUCGGGCAUACAUUCUUCAAUUAAUUAGAGGUUAUCUGAUGCUCGACACGUCACGGAGCCGCGUACAUCUAAGAUGGCUGCUAAAACUCGUUGAUUUUAGAGCAGCCAGUGAAUUUAGUUGUGGGUCUGCCGUCUUGGCAACAUUAUAUCGGGAGAUGUGCGGGGCGACGCGACCGAGGAGAGCAAACAUCGGAGGUUGCCUGUCACUACUGCAGUCAUGGGCACGGUUUCGGUUUCCAUUUCUACGUCCUCGAGUGAACCACCCAUAUACAUUCCCACUCAUAACGAGGUAAAUUUUAUUAUAUUACAUUUUACAAUUAUUAUGUAGAUUUUUAAAAAUAAAAGUAUGCUAAAAUUUUAUUUAAUCAGGUGGAACCAUCCGGCAAGUUAUGCUCGAUUACCGUCCUCUCUUGAAGAUAUACGGCUUCUAUUGGACCAACGGUCGGAAGCAGAAGUAAGUAUUAUUGCAAAUAGAUAUUUCCAUACAUUCGCUAUUUGAUUGAUAUUUAGUAUUUAGUAUUUAGUAUUUAGUAUUAUGUAUGUAUAUAACAAAUAUUUCUAUCAUGUUCAUAUAGUUUCAAUGGACACCAUACGAGGAUCCGGCAAUUUGGGCAGUAAUCCUAGAAGAGUUUUUACAAAAUCCACAAGCUUGGCACGUGAAAGUCGUGUUGGUCAACUACGCAACCGUGGAGCCGCACCAGACAGACAGAGUGCUACGACAGUUUGGAUGUAGACAACCAAUUCUGGUGGAUCCUGAGGUGUUUGACGAUCAACACAAAGUCGACCUUCGGCAAUUGAAUACGGAUUGGCUGAGAUACUGGUCUGGGUACACGAAAAUGUGGGAAGAUCGGUAUGAAUAUCUACCUACUCGGGAACCAAUCAUCGUUCCGGAGUUAUCGUGCGUUCCAGAAUACAUGUCAUGGUUUAGGAUCCAUGGCAAGCCAUAUUUACUGAUGCCAGAGGAGAGGCAGCGGCAAAUACGUGUCGAAAGGGUAAGGUGCAGGCCUCUAAAUCUAAGACGACAAGACGAAAGCAGCUCCUCAACGAGGCCCAGACAUUCACCCGGCUCAUCAUCAGCGGCCAUGCAAUCACCAGGCCCAACGAGAGCACCGACGCAGUCACCCGACGCAGCAGUUCAACCGAUGAUACCCACGCAACCGCCUUUUCAGAUGAUGCUAGGUGCGUUUCCUAGCCCUUAUAUGUACCCUAACCCUUAUAUGUAUCCUUUUCCGAGUCCUAUGGCAGGUUGGAGCCAAAUGCCCGGUUCAACUCCAUUUCCUGUUAUGCCGAUCGGACCGCCAAUGUAUAGGCCAGCAGCACAGGAGGGAUCGCAAGGGGGACCGUCGGAGAGCUCUCCUUUUUACCAAUCCCCACCAACGUAUGGGUUUCAAACACCGUCGCCGUUCCUGAUGCAAACACCUCCACAUACACUAUUCUUUGAAGGUGGAUCAUCGUCCCAAGUAUGAAAACUAGAUGCCGAACCGAAAGAACCAGAAUCCCCACCGGAGGAACAACAACUGCCGCCGAAAGCUAGAGAAAGGAGGAAUCCAGCGUGUAACCGUCGACGGCCGCCAUGUGGCACUAAAUCCCCCAAGCAUAGACAUUGAUGGCCUAGCCUAAUUUAUUUGUACAAAUAUUUUGAAUAUUUUGAUAUUAUUUUAUGUAAAAAAAUAGAAAUUUUUGGAGUUAUUUUGAUAUUAUUUGAUGUAAUAAAAUAGAAGUUUAUUUGAUAUAAUAAAAACCCUAGCCUAAUUUAAUUAAAAACCCUAACCUAAUUUAAUUAAAAACCCUAGCCUAAUUUAAUUAAAAACCCUAACCUAAUUUAAUUAAAAACCCUAGCCUAACCUAAUUUAAUUAAAAACCCUAACCUAAUUUAAUUAAAAACCCUAACCUAAUUUAAUUAAAAACUCUAACCUAAUUUAAUUAAAAACCCUAAACCCUUAACUUAAAAACCCUAACCUAAUUUGAUUAAAAACCCUAGCCUAACCUAAUUUAAUUAAAAACCCUAACCUAAUUUAAUUAAAAACCCUAAACCCUUAACUUAAUUUUUAAAAACCCUAACCUAACCUAAUUCNNNNNNNNNNNNNNNNNNNNNNNNNNNNNNNNNNNNNNNNNNNNNNNNNNNNNNNNNNNNNNNNNNNNNNNNNNNNNNNNNNNNNNNNNNNNNNNNNNNNNNNNNNNNNNNNNNNNNNNNNNNNNNNNNNNNNNNNNNNNNNNNNNNNNNNNNNNNNNNNNNNNNNNNNNNNNNNNNNNNNNNNNNNNNNNNNNNNNNNNNNNNNNNNNNNNNNNNNNNNNNNNNNNNNNNNNNNNNNNNNNNNNNNNNNNNNNNNNNNNNNNNNNNNNNNNNNNNNNNNNNNNNNNNNNNNNNNNNNNNNNNNNNNNNNNNNNNNNNNNNNNNNNNNNNNNNNNNNNNNNNNNNNNNNNNNNNNNNNNNNNNNNNNNNNNNNNNNNNNNNNNNNNNNNNNNNNNNNNNNNNNNNNNNNNAAACCCUUAAUUAAAAACCCUAACCCUAACCUAAUUUAAUUAAAAACCCUAAUCCCUUAACUUAAAAACCCUAACCUAAUUCAAUUAAAAACCCUAACCUAAUUUAAUUAAAAAUCCUAACCUAAUUUAAUUAAAAAUCCUAACCUAAUUUAAUUAAAAACCAUAACCUAAUUUAAUUAAAAACCCUAAACCCUUAAUUAAAAACCCUAACCCUAACCUAAUUCAAUUAAAAACCCUAAACCCUUAACUUAAAAACCCUAACCUUAACGUAAUGUUAGAUUUGGAAAAAUGUUUUGACUGGUACUAACAAAUAAUAAUUUUACAUAAUUUGAUAAUUUUACUAACCAUUAAUACAAUUUUUUGACUUAAUAAUUUUACAUUCAUAUAAUGUUAGAUUUGGAAAAAUGUUUUGACUGGUACUAACAAUUAAUAAUUGUAUAUAAUUUGAUAAUUUUACUAACCAUUAAUACAAUUUUUUGACUUAAUACAAUUUAUCAAUUAAUAAUUUCACAAACUUAAUUUUUUUACAAUUACAUUCAACUAUUGCGAUUAGGGCAUGAUCGACUUGUAUGGCCUGGAUUCCUACACCAUCCGCACAACUUCGUUUGAGUGGCUAUUUCUCGGAUAUCCAUAUUGUUACGUAUUCUAGUCGAGUAAGGUCGACCCUUUGGUUUGCGACGUAAUUCUCUAUCCGGUAACAGCUUAAAAGGAGCAAGGGAUACGGGCGGCCACUUACGUUCAUCUAGGACCGGUGGGAAAACGUGUCUCCAUACGUUGUACAUGUUUUCUAAUUUGUACACUUCGUCCACAUAACUCAUCGGAUCCAGACGGAGUUUCUGACAAGCUACAAUAACAUGAGCGCAUGGAUACCGAAGUGCAUCAAACAUCCCACAGUCACAAGUCCUAUUUCACAAGUGUACACGAUAUUGCCCGCCAACAACACCUUGGUGCGGUCUGUCAAACUCUGUCAUGCGAAACCAUAAAUUGUCUCGAUCAUGACACACUGUGUGCAUGGUGUUUGCCCUCGCCUUGGCCUUGUUAAUUUCUUGAACUACCUUACUGCACCAUACAUGGCCUCCCUGCAUCUGGCCUGCAUAACUUGCUGCUCGCUUUGGAAAUAACGCCGCCAAAUGAAAAUAUGUCUCUCGCACAACCGAUGUUAGCGGUAGAUGGCGCGUUCCUUUAAGAACAGAAUUUAUGCAUUCUGCUAGGUUCGACGUCAUAUGGCCAUAUCGUAGGCCGUCGUCGUAUGCUUGCGUCCACUGUUCGAAACGUAUGUUACAAAGGUAGUCUGCCCCUUCGCCAUUUUGGGAUCGUAAAAUUGCCAACAUCUCGUGAAAACGAUCUUUAUUUAUUUCAUACCCUGCCAAUAUAAUAUCAUAGCGAAUAAUUUAUACCACUUCUACCAAUAAAAAUAAUUCAAAUUGACAAACGAAAUAACACAGAUAUAGACUAAAUACCCAUGUUGGUCACUUGUCGUCGUUCGCUCUUAGAUGGAAAUUGCCUGUAGUAGUUCGAAGCAACGUGUCUUAGGCAAUAUCUAUGGUGUGUGCGCUGCCAUAAGCUUCCCUCUCGAUCAAAUGCAGCUAGUAUACCUGCGCCCCGAUCUGAAAUAACACAGAUAUCAGGUUGGGGGCACACAUGCCUCCUUAACCUAGAGAGAAAGAAAUCCCAGUCAUUAGGCGACUCACUCGGUGUUAUUGCAAAAGCAAUUGGAAGAAUUCUCCCUCUGCCAUCCUGUGCCACUGCAAGCAAUAGCCGAUGAGUAUACCUACCGAACAUGAAGGUACCGUCAAUUUAUACCAACGACUUGCAGUAUGGAAAUGCGUCUCGGCAUUGCUUAAAGGUCUAAAACAGGCAUUUGAACACUUGGCAUCCACGUAGCAAUCGGCCGUUGUAGUAGGCAUGUUCCGUUUCAAGGUCUGUGAUGGUACUACGGGCGUAUCUCUCUAGCACCUGACACCACUGCCAUAUUUCAUUAUAUGAGGCGUCCCACCUACUAUGCAUCUUCUCCAAUGCCUUUUGCUUAGCUAUCCAAGCCUUGGGGUAAGAGGGCGUGUACCCCAUUUGGCUACGGAUAUUGGUAAUUAACACCGACACUGAAGUCCUAGGAUCUGCUUUUAUCGUGGGCAGUAUCAAGCUAGCUAACAUAGCUGAAUCCAUUUUCGGAUGAUCUUGUGAAACACCUACAAAGGGAGUACAUUAAAUAAUUAAUAAUUACAUAAUAAAAGUAUUAUUCAGAUAUAGUUAAUACCAUACCUGCAGCACAUGUAUGUGGACCUUUGUACUUUUUUAUCUCCCACAACCCUGUCCUUUUCCUUAACGAGGCGUAGAUUUUCCAUGAACAUGUGCCGUCUUGCACCGCACACUUCGCCUCAAACUUAUCAGAUUUUGAUUUAACGACGUGGUAGUUAAUGCCGUUUUUGACGCUAUGUUGUUUCAAAGCACCAAUAAAACUAUCCUUGUUGGUAAACUGAUUACCAACUACAAGUUCACCGAAAUCUACCCCCGAACUUGUACGAUCACGCAACCGGUGUGAUAGAUCUGGAAACUCUAACGCAUCAUCUGCAGACAGAUCGACAUUAUGCAUGUGGGCUGGAGGUGAGUAUGCUCUGAAUCGUGGAUUUUCUUCCUCAUCUAAACUCCUGUCAGCAUCUUCAGCCUUUGUUGGAAUAGGCUCCGGUUCAGAAAAUAAGCCAACUUCUGUACCAUUCGGCCCGGGCUCUCGAGAUGGAUCUACAUCCGAGUCAUCUUCUAACCCACAAUCAUCUGCAGUGUAUGAGGUCCCCUCACCGGUUGACGUUGUAGGGAGUACAUCAUCCCUUCUUCUGGGCAUUUGAUAACGUCCUCAAUUGGAUGUAAAUUGCCACCCGCUAGAACUUGAUACCGCUCCCCAGUAUAUAUUUCCAGCAUCAAACAUCGAGCCACCGACGUACAUAUCCCAUCCACCGACAGAGUGUCUUGCAGGGGAUGUGCAAUCGACACCGCUACCGAACAUGGACUGUUCUAUAUUUUGUAACCCGCUGACCGAGUGUCGGCCAGGGGUGGUGUAUACAUCUCGAACACUGGUCGCUGGUACAUCAGUUGGCGAUGUAAAUUGUGCAUAUAACUCAAUAUAAGCUGCUCCACUAGCAAGAUGAGUCUGCACCAUUGCGUCCAAGCUACGAGCACAUUUUAUGUCGAAUGAGUCAUAUGUUACCGGAUCAACAGAAGAACAAAAUCAUUACGUGAUAGACAGAACUUUCAUUGGCGUCGUUCCAAAAAUUUUACGCCUAAUCCUUUUAUGAAGUUCUGUCAAAUCUAUGUUCUGGUUAAAAACCAGUUGCACCGUAUUCUCUGACAAAAAAAAACACCAUUCUCGGUGUGGCAAACCUCACCAUCGUAGUAAAUAACAGCACUAAUACGUUCACUCAUAUUUGAAACUCUAACCUUCUUAGCCUUUCUAAAUUGUUUCUGCUGUGACUUAUGCAUUCUGAGACCAUUUUCUGCUUAAUUUAUAGCCUCAGCCCAAACAUGCUACUGUAGCAAAAUUGCGUCCACGAGGGCGCGAUUUCACAAGUUCUUCAUAAAUAGCAUCCUGGUAGAAGCGAUUUUAUAUUACUUGCUCAGAAACGUAAAAAAAAAAUUUCUUACAUGACAUACUGUAGCAAAAGCGCGCUGACGAGGCCGCAAUUUCACAAAUUCUUCUCAAAUAGCAUCCUGCUAGAAGCGAUUUUAUACUAUUUGCUCAGAAACGUCAAAAAAUAAUUAUUUCUUCCGUGACCUACUGUAGCAAAAGCGCGUCCACGAGGGCGUGAUUUCACAAAUUCUUCUCAAAUACCAUCCUGCUAGAAGCGAUUUUAUAUUAUUUUAUCAGAAACUUCAACUCGAAAUUAUUUCUUCUAGGACCCUAAAACCCUAAAAAGCCUGAACCCUAAACCCUAAAAGCCAAAAAAACCUAAUGUGGGAAAAACCGCGAAAUCGCGUCCACGUCAUCGCGAUGUCAGUGCACGUCAGCAACUCACGCUGACGUGGAAGCGAUGUCCUGGCGCAUGCACUGACAUCGCGCUGACGUGGACGCGAUUUCGUGGUUUUUGGACCAUUCCGGUAAAUAAUAAAAUAAUGGGCCCAUUUCGGUAAUUUUUGAAAAAAAGGGCUUUUAUUGGUAAAUUGCCCAUCUUUUAAACGCAACUUAUUUAUUUAAAAAUGUUUUAUUUAUUUUUCGUUUCAAAGAUUUUUCUUUUCCUUCAUAUUACUUAAUUUAUACUUUUAUAUAUACACAUUAUUUGUUUUAUCUUAUUUAUAUAUAUCAUUUUUUUUAUUUUUUUGUAUAUUAUUAACCUUAAAUCUCUUGUUUUGCAUUAUCUAUUUUAGACACAUCAUUAUCAUUUUAAUUUUUUUUAUGUUUUAUUUUAUUUUAAUUUGCUUUAUACCUUCUAAAUUAUUGUUUAAUUUAUUGGUCUUUAUUUAUCGAUGAUUGUAUUUGAAUGAUGAAUGUUGUGAGAUUAUUGCUAUUGUUAUACUUUAUCUCGUUUAUUCGCUUUCAUAUCAUUGGCAUUCACUCGCAUAAAUAUUGUAUUCGUAUAUUAUUGCUCCGUGCGCGAUACUAUAUUUUAUUUCAUGUCAUUGCAUCGUGGAUGUUCCCACGAUUUUUGUUUGAUAUAAUCCACUUCAUUUCAUUACCAAAUGAAAUAAAUGUAUGCCUUUAAGUGUUGUACCCGCAACUAUUCAAGAAUAAUUUUUUGAAAUAAGACAUAUUUUGCGUUUUGGUAAUUCGAGGAGUCGUACCCUAACUUACGGGGCUUCGACUUUCUCGUUAAGCCUAAAUAGCAAAGUACCCUUUUAAAGCUUCAAAAUCAAAGAAAUUUCGUUAUAAGGAAACAUUUCGCUUUUCGGGUGAUUCGAGAAAUCGUACCCGAACUUACGGGGUUUUGAUUUUCUUAUUAAGCUUAAAUGGAGAAAUGUCCCCAUAAAUUUUAUUUCAAUAAAAAUUAAAGUCAAGUUUAUUCUCUAAAAUUUCAAAUGCCGCGCCCUAACUUACGGGGUGUAACAUUUCGUUACUUUGGAAUAGGCGGGUCUUUAACUCAUUUUCAAAUUUACUCAAAAUUUUUAAAUGCACAUCAAUAAAAAUGGAUUGUAUUUUAAUUUUCUUUUCAAAAUUUUAAAUUUAGGCAUUUAGACAUUUAUUAAUCAAUGAGGUACCAAUUUUUGGGCGCAUCGGGGGUGCUAACCCUUCCUCAUACGUAACCGACUCCCGGGCCCGAUCUCUUAAAUCAUCGUAGACCAAAAUUAUCGUUUUGAUAAAUCGAAAUAUUUUAUUAAAUCGACUAUUGCGAGGUGAUCCGAUCACACCUCAUCAAAAAAGAUUGGUGGCGACUCCCACAUUCGUUUUGAUUUUCCAAAACCCAAGUCGACCCCAUUUUCGCAAAAAAAUGGUGUCAACAAUAUAAAUGUGUAAAUUUAUCGGUAAACUUAAUUCGGUUUGCUUUAUGGUUUUAAGUUUUGUGUUCAUUUAUGUUAAAAUUAUUGAUAAUUUUUUUUAUGAAUUCAAUUAUGAUUUUCUGGACAUUCAUUGAAGUUGUUAUUUUUUUCGGUUUGGAUAUAUAUAUAUAUAUAUAUAUAUAUAUAUAUUUAAUUUUAUGGGUGUUUUGAUGUAAAUUCAUGUUAAAAUUAUGCAUGUUUAAGGGAUUUAAUUUUAAGUUCAGUUCUAUAAUAUUAGGUUUUGACAUCUUAUAGUUUCAAAUAUUUGGUUUAGGAUGAUAUGGUUUAUUGUAUGAAUUAUGGAAUAUGCCAAAAUUAUGAAAACAUGUGUUUGUUAAUUAUUCGGCCUUGAAUCACUACAUUAUUUCAGUUUGGUUUUGACAUAUAUGGUUUUUUUUUAAUCAGUCAAAGUUUAAGGUUUCUAGUUUUUUAAUUGCACUAUUAAGACAACCUUAUUUUGAGUUAUUUUAGAAUCUGAAAUGCAAUAAAAAAUUUAGUUUUGACCUUUGACUAUUGGGUAAAUUUUAAAUUUGAAUAUUGGUAUAAUUAUAUAUUUAUUUUAAAAUAACUUAAUUAAAAUAAUAAGUUGCCAAAGUGAACUCUAAUAUUGAAAUUAUUUUGUUUUAAAAUAUAAAAUGUUGUGUGUAUGUAACUUAAGCUACAUUAAUGUUGAUUGGCCCAAAGGAAGAUUAAUAUUUAACAAAAUUACAUGUGCAACUGUUGCAAUAAAUAUGUGACGAUUAUUUGGUUUUACAUGUGAACAAGAACUCGGCCAAAGGAAGAUUCAUUGUUCAACAUGUUCUUAUUGUCAGCGUUUGAUUACUACACCAAGAUAUCACUUACAAGUUAAUAUUUUUUGUCCAAAGGUGAAAUAUUAAUGGAGUGUUCGAUAUCUUAAGAUGGGGCUUACCUUUAUUCAAAAAUUAUUUUGGUUAAAAUUUGAAGUCUUAUGUGAGGUUGUUUUUGAUUUAUUCAACUAUGAUUAUAUUUGCCAACAUCAUUGUAUGUUGUUUUGGGAUAAAUAUAUAUACAUAUAUAUACUAUUAUCUUUUAAUUUGAUUGAAAGAUGAAAUUAAGAGAAAUAUUUUGAACAAAUAAAUUUAGAUUUUGACAUUGGGAUCUAAUUAAGAAUGUCUAAUAUUUUAAAUAGAUUAGUUGAAACAAAAUGUCGCCAAAGUGAUCUCUUUUGCGUAGAUUAGUUUAUUUAAAAUAUAAAGAUGAUUAUAUGUUUUUGUGGUUCAUGCAUUUAUUAAUUGACCCAAAGGUAAGUCCAUAUUUGGAAAAAUUUCAACGACAUAUGUGGUGAUAAAUGUGUGACAAUUAUAAGGUACUUUAUGUGAGCAAUAUGUUAGUCCAAAGAUUAAUUCAUUGUUAGACAUAUUUUAUUGUCAAUGUUUGAUUGCUACAACAAGAGUACUACUUACUGUUAAUAUUACUAUCCAAAGACUUGAUAUUAAUGUUGUGUUUGGUAUCUUGAAAUGAGAUUACCCAUUAUCCUGAAUUUAUUGUUUACUUAUGAAUAUCGAUGUAAGCUUGUUUUUAUUUAUUUUUUGUUCUAUAUUCAGCUAGUUAAUCUUCUGCUGUCACAAUAUCUGCUAAUAUAAAUUCUCUACCCAUACUUAAUGAGACUAAUUUCAAUGAAUGGAAAAAGCACUUACUUAUAGUGCUUGGCUAUAUGGACAUAAACCUUGCACUAAGGGAAGAACAACCCACACCUCUUAUUGCGGAAAGCACCCCUUAUGUUAAAAGGGAUUUUGAGAGGUGGGAUCCUUCAAACCGCAUGAGUCUAAAUAUCAUUAAGCACAAUAUUCCAGAAGCCUUUAGGGGCAUAGAAUUUGAAGAGAUUGCUCAAGCCAAGGUCUCUUUGACGAAAUUGAGAAACGUUUUGCUACAAACAAUAAGAUUGAGAUAACAUCACUUUUGACUUCUUCGAUGUCUAUGAACUAUAAGGGUCAAGUAAAUUCUGAGCGAUCUAGGGGCUAUGAGUUUUAUGAUCCCAUUAAUUAGGAAUAUUUUUAGAUGAGAAUUGCAACAUUUUUUUUAGGAUGUUGAGUUUGGAGGAAAAAAUAAGGUUAGAGACAUUGCUUUUGGGGAUGAAUUGGAUUCUAACUCAGUUCUUACUAUCACUUUUGACUUUAUUCAGGUUCUCAUGCCUAUAAUUGAUUAAGAAGAGACUCUAGAACCUUAACAAGACAAUGUUGAGCAAUUCCCUAUUCAAGAUGAGGUAAUUGUUCCAUAAGAACAAACUUAACAAACCUCAAGAACGAAUGUCAUUAAAAAGGUCCACUAGAGAAAGGGUUAUAACGGCUUUAGUUGAAUAUUUUGACCUUAAACUGUAUUAAAUGAAUGUUAAGUUAAUGGCUUCUUAAUGGUAAUAUUGAUCAUACAUUUAUAUGGUGCAACUAAAAAACUUUGUGUCUGAUGAUGUAAAGUUAAUUAUUUGCAAAUUAAAUAACUUCAUCUAUGGGCUUAAGUAGACUUCUCGUCAAUAGUAUUACAAAUUUUACCAAAUGAUUAUCUUAUUCAAUUUAAAGAUGAAUUUGAUAGAUAAUUGUAUAUACCUCAAGUUCAGUGGGGGUAAGGUUCUAUAUUUAGUUUUAUAUAUUAAUGACAUACUACUUGUCAAUAAUAAGUUAAGCCUUGACCAAUACCCCAAGAAUGAUUUUAAGAUUAAGGAAAUGCAAAAGAUUCCCUACGUCCGAAGAGUAGAGAGUCUAAUGUAUGUUUAGGUUUAUACACAUUUGGAUAUUGUGUUACACUGUUGGGAUGUUAGGCAGAUAUUCAGGCAACCUUGGUUUGAACCAUUGGAUAGCAUCGAAGAGGAUUAUGAGGUAUCUUCAGAGAACAAAAUAUUACAUGCUCACAUAUCGGAGGUCUGAUAAGCUAGAGAUCAUCAAGUAUACAUACUUUGAUUUUAAUGGGGUAUUGAUGCAAAAUUUUGUCACUAGGGUGCAAAUUGUAACAAUAAUUGGUAGUCCUUUAUUCUAAUAACAACAAGAGCACAUUAAAGUCAAAACACACAGACUUUAAGUUCCUAGUUGUUAAAGUAAAAGAUCAAAGUGGUUAGGAGCCUAUAAAGCAUAUUGGGACAAACUCCAUGAUUGUGGAUCCGCUUACUAAGGGACUACCACCCAAGGUUUUUCAUGAGCACACUACUCAUAUGGGAGUAAUGUCAUUUGAGGAUAUUUGGUUUUAGUGAGAGUUUGUACUUUUUAAUGUUUUUAUGUUAUAGACACAUUUUCAAUUAUUUUAGCUUACGAAUAUUAAGUUUAUUUUCUGCAGAAAUAAAAUUUAUUUAGCUUAUUUACACUCUGAUUUUGUAAGGUUUGAUCUCACUAAGACUUAAGGAGGACUAGUUGAAAAUAAAUAUGUUUAGAUCAUAUUGCAUGUAAUUUUCAUGCUACACAUCCAUACUUAUUCUAUGUCAUUUGGUUGUGUUAAUAUACGUGAUCAGGGAUGGAUUUAGUUACGAUAUAUGCAACGAAAGUUGGCUUGGUUCUAUGUUAACAUAAUUAAUGGACGAGAUUGUUCAAAAUACCUUUUUGGAUAUGAUAGUAAAGUUUUGAGCUCAUAAGGUUAUAUAAUGACAUGUAAUUAUAGAGUAAUUAAUAUAUGUGGUCCAAGUUGGAGAUUGUUGGAAAAUAUGGACAUCACAUAUAUAAUAAGGGUAAUUACAUGUUAUUAUUUACUAUCAUAAUAGGCUGGCCCAAAUUAAAAGUGAUCUAAUUUAGUUAAGAUUUAUUGGCCUUUAAUUAUUAAAUAAAGUCUGAGUCAAAUAUGUGUAGAUACUCUAGUAACUAAUUUCUAAUUAAUGAUGGACUGAUUAAAAAUUAGGGUUAAUGUGCAAAAGUUAUAUAUUAGGGUUAUGGUCCCCAAAUUACAUAUAAGAUAACUUUUCUAAUAUCUCAUCUUUAGUAAAGAGAUAGCAAACACUCUUUGAAUUUCUCGUGUGCUAAUUUCGAAGAUCAAAACCGCAAGAUCCGUAGAUUUUAAGAAAUCGAUGAAUUCAAGUACGCUUUGGCAUCUAGUUUUGUUCUUGAUUUUUUCUUGGUGAUUUGCCAUGAUAGAUCCUAGUUUAUAGUUUUAAGUUUAUUGUCCAAGGAAUAUAAAUGCGAUAAAACUAUACUUCUAAUUAAUAUUGGAGUCCUAAAGUACAUCAAACUUAUCUUGAUCUUGAUGGAUAUCUAUUUAAUAAAAAAAUAUUUAUAACACUCCCUUUUGAUGUCUAUUGAUAGAUAAUGUGCCUCGUUAAAAUCUAACUAAGAUAAAACUUUGUGGGGGAAAUUUCUAAUGAAGGAAAAAGAGUACACAUAUCUAUAAUACACAUAACAUUUGCCUCAUUAAGAACCUUACUAGAAAAACCCAGUGGGACAAAACCUUGGUUAAGGGAAAAGAGUACAAUGUGUAUUUACUCCCUCUCAUUACAAUAUCACAUCAUAUAUCAUAUUCUACGCAUUCCAAUCUUGAAUACUAGCUUUUCAAAUAAUCACUUGAAUGAAUUUAACAAACGUUUAUAUUAUUAAUCUUCUGAAUGUCAUGAGUGAGGAAAUUUUUGGGAAAUAUAUUUUGAUCUCUUUAGGAGUCCCAACAAUAAUCAUAACAAACUUUGAUAAUAAUCAUUCUAUAAAAAUACAUAUAGGUAUUUUGGAUAAUUUUAUAAUCUUCAUUCAACUACUAUUCACUAGGUCAAAUUUACCAUAUAUUUGCAAAUCGUUUCAAUUUAUGUAAAUGUUUACGCAAACAUAUUGGAUAAUUUCCUGAUAAUUUCUAUAUGGUUCCACAUUCUAAAUCCUUCAAGUAUUUUAGUAUAAACUUCCACUAUAUAAUGAUUUAUAUAAAUAUUGUAACAACAAUCAUAAGAAGCAUGUCAAAUCUUUCAUGAAUUGCUACACUAAUAAUAUAUCUAAAGGUUAUUACAUCGACCACUAGAGAAUAUCUUUUCAUAAUCAUUUCUAGGAUUUAACAAAAAUCUUCAUUUUUCUUAUUUCAUUUUCACAAAUCUACCUAUUUGUACCCCUACUGGCUUUAUAUCUUUAGACGUUUCGGCUAUUGGUCUAAAAACUUCAUGAGUUUAACUAUACUUGAAUUGCGUGUUUCCAUUUUGUCCAAUCUAUUUCAUGUCUAUAAUUCUCAACAAAUUUAUUCAAGAUCCUUAUUUUAUUUCAUUAUCUUAACAAUAAAAUUGCAUGAAAAAUCGUUGUCAACGACUUUUCAUUCUUGCGGUUCCAUAUUUUCUCGUAUUUAUAGAACUUAUCAAUAUCUCUUUAUUUUCAUUAUUUCCACCAUCAAUUUCAAAUACCUGAAUCUCUUAUGGAGCUUUAAUGAUUAGUUAUGUCUUGGGUUUCUUCGGGAGCACUUGUCUCCACUAUAUGACCAUCUAUAUUUAUUAUUUUCUACAAGAAUUUCAUCUUCUGAAUCCAAUCAAUCUACUAUGCUUCAAGCUUGCAUUACUUCCAUUUAUACAAAUUGUCAUGUUGAGACUUUAAUUCAAAUCAAAACAUUAGUUGGUAUAUAAUAUUUGGUUGUUUUCAUUAUGUCAGAAAAUACAUUUAGCAGUUAACUUGCAAUAAAGUGAAUUAUCAUUUUUGAACAUCUUGUUCAAAUUACUUUGUUUAUUAAAGUUUUUCUUUUACCCUAAAGCCAAAAUUAUUUAAAAGUUAUAUCGAAGUUUCUAUAACUACAUUCUUUUACGAAAAAAAAAUGGAUAAGAAAGUACAAACAUUAAUAUUAUUUUAGUAGCAAAAAUAACAUAACUAAACAUAUUUGGCUAUUUUUUUUUGGUUUUCUUUCAAUUUUUUAAUAUGGUUUUAAAAAUUUUCAGUUUAGCCCUCAAAAAUUUAAGAAAGAACAAAAAUCAACUUUCUUUUAUAAGUAAAAUAAUUUAAUAAUAAAAAUGAAUUAAUAUUAGUUAUGAAUGUGAAUUAUAUUUUGUAUGUGAAAUAAUUUUAUCUAAUUUUAAAAAAUAUAGUUUUUUAUUAAUUAUUAUUAAUUGAUUCUUAUUAAAAUUUAAAAUGAUGAAGACCUAAAUCUUAAUUUAAUAAUAGGUUUUAGAGCUUGGAGUUGAGAUUUAUUUAAUAUGUGUUAUCAUUGUCAUAGUAUUUUUCCACUUAUAAUUUAAAAACAAAUCAAUUCUAAAAUUUUAAAGUUCAAAACAAGUUGAAAUUCAAAUUCAAAUUUUAAUUAUUUAAACAAUGAAUUUGAAUUAAUUAAAAAUCUUGCAUUUGAUUGGAAAUCAUGAAUUUCAAAUCUAAUUUUUGAAAAUCCAAAUUCAAGUUUAAAUUUCCAAUGGCUACUUAAUGGAAUUUGGAAUCUCAUAUAAAUAUAUAGAAAUUCUUAAUGGAAUCUUAGAAUCUCAUACUCGUUAACAAGGACCACGACAUUCAUGAUCAAACUUUGACUCAAUUUCAACCUUUUCCCUUAUUCACUAAUUAUAUAUAUACUGUAGUUUACAAAAAAAAAAAUCCUACGUGGCAUAGCUUAUAAACUAUCAUUUGUUAGGGUGAUAAUAUGCACUAAAGAUUUUCGAAAUUAUUGCACUCAUCAAAGAGAGAAGGCAAAUUGCAAGGCGCAAAGGUCUGUCAGGGAGUCCUUCUGUGACACUUUUUUUCGCAGAUGAUAGCAUUGUCUUUGGCGAAGCCACUGAAGAUGGGGGUCAAGACAUUUUGAGGAGACAUGAGAGUGCAUCUGGUCAACAGGUUAACUUCUAAAAGUCCUUGAUUUUUUUCAGUUCCAAUGUUCCUGAAGACACUUGUAAUCAGGUUACACAUCAGUUGGGUGUCAGAAGAGCAUUUUGUAUGGAACGCUACUUGGGUCUCCCAACCAUGGUGGGAAUGAGGGAAAAAAGAAGAAGCUUCUUAGCAGAUUUGUGAUCGGAUGAGGGCGAAAGUUAAUAGUUGGGAUGCUCGGCUGUUGUAGUAUUACAAGCACUUCCAACGUACUCUAUGUCGUGUUUCUUGCUACCCAAGACUUUGUGCUCGGAUUUAGACAAGAUUAUGAAUUGAUUUUGGUGGCAGAAAAGCUCGAGUCCGAAAGGAAUGCACUGGAGUAAAUGGGCCGAUUUGUGUUUGCCAAAAGAGAGUGAAGGUAUGAGUUUCUAAGAUUUCUGUAAAUUCAAUAUUGCACACCCUUCGUAUGUUUGGAAAAGCAUAUAUGCGGCACGAAAAUUUGCUGGAAGACGGGAUUGGUUCGAGAGUGGGAUUUGACACCCAAAAUUCAGUUUGGAGAGAUAGAUGGCUUCCGCGAUGAGCUGGUGGACAAAUUCAACAAACAAGAGUUAAAUGGGAAUAUAGAAAGGGUGGCAGAUUUGAUAGAUCACUCGUCUAAAAGUUGGAAGGAAGGGCUCAUUACCAGUACUUUUACUCCUGAUGAAGCUGCAGCCAUUCGGUGUAUUCCCUUAUCCAAAAGGCUUGAUGUUGACAAGAUUGUUUGGUGGGGUGAGAAUACAGGAGAAUACUCUGUCCGGAGAGGCUAUAGAACUCUAAUCAGCAACCAGAUGACAGUGGACGACAUACGUGGGAGCAGAGAAAUUAACAAAAAACUCCGGCAAUUACAGAUUCCUCCUAAAAUAAAAAUUGCAAACAGGCAAAUAAUUACAUCCCUAAAGCCUAUAUUCUAUACAAAAAAAGGAUUGCGGCCUCCUCGACAUGUCCCAGAUAUGGCGGUGAGCCUGAAACAUCGAUGCAUGUCAUCACAAGGUGUGGCCCUGCAAAAGAGGCAUGAGAUUUAAUUAGUAUUGGUUGGCCUUCAAGUCUUAAUACUGAUUAUAUGUGGGCCUGGUUUGACUUUGUUUUUAAGCAUGGAAGUAAUUAUACCUGCAAAGUUGUAGCGAUCACAGUUUGGGCAAUUUGGCAUGCUCGAAACAAGCAGGUCAUGCAAGGCAAGCAACAAACAGCUCAGGAUAUUACUAUCAGAGUGGCUAGUCUAGUACGGGAGUUUGAUGAGAUAAACCGGAAAUUACUUGACCAGAGAGAGACCAUGAAAACUCACUAGAAACCUCCACAGGACCCAAACGUAAAAGCGAACUUUGAUGCAGCGUUCAAACCGCAAAUACACCAAUUGUGCUCUAGGUUCGUUAUCAGAAAUGAGAUAGGGUUAAUAGUGGGCAGUGGUGCAGUUAAGAAUGAUUAUAUCUCAAACUCUUUUUCUCCUGGAGCUAUAGCAUGUAUCCAAGCUCUAAAGUUUGCGGAAGAGAUGGGAUUUAGACAGCUUGGAGUGGAGGGCGAUUCCCAAAUUAUAAUCGUGAAAAUCAACCAGGGCGUAGUAGACAGAUCUAAUAUGGUUGUCUAUAUUGAGGAGAUUAAAGCUAUGGCAACAUGCUUUCAAAGGAUUUCCUUCAAGCAUGCAGACAAAAAUGCUAAUGGUGUAGCUCAUAUAAUCGCCCAGUAGAGAUUUAAUUUGACUGAAAAUACGUUUUGGGUUGAGGAGGUACCUCUAGAGGCAGUCGAAGCGGUGAAUCAAGAUAAUCAAAUUCCGACUCCUUCAAAUUGAAGCAAGAUGAUCUCUUCCCAGCUAAUGCAUGGCUGUUAUGCGAUCCGAAAAUGGGUUAUGAAGCUUCGAGAUUUCUUUCUGGUUUUGUGUUUUUUACUGUUUCGACCCUUCAGCUCACCCAGGCUACCCGGAUAUUUCUUUUGUUUAUGGUAUUUAUUUGUGCUGUUAGUACUUUAUUAAAUGUUCUGUUUUGGUUUUGUUUAUUAAUAAAUAAUAUCUUGGUAUUUUCUUUCAAAAAAAAAAGGAAAAAAACUAUUUACUAUAAUUUAAAAAAAAAAUCAAUUCUAAGGCAAAUUCCUUAUAAGAAAUAUAGUGAUAAUUUUGGAAUAAAAAAAUCCAUAUAUUUUGUUAAUAUUUCCAACAGUCUCAUUGUAUAAUAAAAAGUAUUGUAUUAUAUGUAGUAUAAAAAUCGAUUACGGGAAUAAAAAAUUCAAAUUCAAAUUACAAUUUACUUUUAUUUGAUAUAAAAUCUGAAAUGGAAAUUAUAUAAUUUUUAUUAAUUAUAAUAAUAUGAGAUUACAUAAUAUUAACAAUACAUAUUGCUUACUUAAGAAAAAAUACAAUAUGUUGCUAUAUUUAAUUAAUUAAUUAAUUUUAAAAAUAUUUAUAUUUAUUGGUCAUUGUAUCGAUGCAUUUAGAGUUACAUUUUAUUUUCAAUAUUUUAUUAUUCGUCAUAUUUUUGUUGAAUGAAAUCAACACAAGAUUAUGCAUAUAUAAAUGUACUUUAUUUUGCAUCAAUAUUUUCAUGUGAUAUUUAAUUUAAAUAAUAUAUGCUCUAAACCUGCAUUUAUUGAAAUAAAUAUGGAUAUAUUAAAUAUACACUCAAAAUACAAACUAUAAACUUCAAAAAUAUCUUUAAGAAUUAACUUUUAAUGACGACAAUAUUAAAAUUAUUUUAAACUUAAAUUAUAUUUUUAAAUAAAGACACGUUUUGAUAUCAAUAAUUAAAGUAAAUUUAUAUUUUUUUCAAAAACCAUUAAUUUCUUUUCAUAACAAUAUGAGAUUACAAAAAAAGAAACAAUUUCUAUGUGGCAUAACUUAUAAAAAUCUAUUUGUUAUGAUAAUUAUUUGUCACGUGUAAUUGUUUACUAUAUUUAAAAAAUCAAUUCAAGGUAAAUUUCUUAUAAAGAUAUAAUGACAAAUUUGGAAUAAACAAGUUUCAUAUAUUUUAUUAAUAUCUCGAACAUCCUCAUUGUAUAAAAAUGUAAUAGACUAUAUUUGGUAUAAAAAAUGAUUACCAUAAUAAAAAUUCUAAAUUCUAAAUUCCAAUUCCAAUUUAAUUUAUUUGAUUUAAAAUCUAAAAUGAAAAUUAUAUAAUUUUAAUAAUUAUAAUAAUACGAUUCACAAUAUAUGUUAUUUACUUUUAAAAAACUCAUAUAAGUUGCUAUGUUUAAUUUAUUAAUUAUUUUUUUAAAAUAUAUAUUUAUUGGUCAUAAUAUUGAUGCACUAAGACUUAUUUUAUUUGAGAUAUAUUAUUAUAUGUUAUAUAUUUUUUUGAAUAAAAUCAACAAUUUUUAUAUAAAUACAAAGUUAUAUAUGGGCAUAGUACAAAAAAAAGGCCAUUUCUUAAAUUAUUUACGGAAAUGGGCCGCUCCAAAAAAUAAUUACCGGAAUGGAUUGAAAACAUUAAAACGCGUUGAUGUGGACGCGUUUUCAGGGGAAAACAUGAAAAAGCGUGCUAAGGUGGACGCGCUUUAGGCAAAAGCGCUAACGAGGACGUGUUUUUCCCCGUGUUUGAUUAGGAUUUUUGGUUUAUUUGCAAAUUAGGACUUAAGUUUAGGGUUUAGAGUUUGUUUUUUAAUUAGGGAUAGGGUUAGGGUUAGGUUUAGGUUUAGGGUUUGUUUUUUUAAGAAAAAAGAAAUUAGGGUUUAUUUUUUUAAUUGUUAAGUAUUGAUUUGAAAGAAAUAAAUUUGACAAGAUGUGAUAUGAAAAAAUAAAUUUGACGUGAUGUGUUUUGAAAAAAUUAUUUUGACGAAAUGGAUUUUGUUUUUUUUUAUAUAGUCAGUAAUAGUAUAGAAAAAGCCUCCAGCUGGACGCUUUUUCUGUAUUGUUGAUUUUGAAAAAAUAAUUUUGAGAAGAUGGUUCUGAAAAAAUAUCCUGGGAUUCCCGAGAAAUUUGAUAGUUGGGGUUGAAAAAUGCUUCAAGUAGGAUGCACUGUCAGCAAAAGUACUGAAAAAGCUCCCACCUAGACGCUCUUUUUAGUAGUGCUGGUGACAGUGCAUCCCACUAUCCCUUAGGCCAUAAAUGACUCAAAUUUCAUUCUCUUGUUGCAUAAGUUAUAGCAAGAGAAAUUGAAGAAGUUGAGAAGGUAUAAGUUGAUUUAUUGUGUUAAUAUUUAUACAAAUCAUUAUAUUUUUGCAUAAUGUUUUUUAUUUUGAAUUUCUUUCGACAGAUAAUUUGGUUGAAAAUGAGCGGACGUAUUAGUGUUGUUAUUUACAACGACGAUGAGGUCCGUGACACUGAGAACGACGUUGUUUUUUUAUCGGAGAACACAACGCAACUGGUUUUUAACCAUAAUAUAAAAUUGACAGAACUUCAUAAAAGAAUUAGGUGCAAAAUCUUUGGAACAAAGCCAAUGAGAGUUUUGUCUAUUAAGUAUCGAUUUUGUGCUUCGGCUGAUCCCGUAACAUAUGACUCAUUUGAUAUCAAAGGUUCUCGUGGCUUGAAGGCUAUGGUGCAGACGCACCUCGCUAGUGGAUCACCCUAUCUUGAGUUAUAUGUGGAAUUUUCAACGCCAAAUGAAGCACUUGCGACUUCAACAUCUACUAUUGUUCGAGAGGAAUACAUGACCCCUACCCGACAUUCCGUUAGUGGGAGGUAGAACAUGGAACCGUCUAUUUUUUAUGGCAGUACGAAAUACACGACCUUGCACGACACUCUGUUAGUGGAUGGGACAUGCACCUCAGUUGGUCGAUGUUUAAUGUUGGAAAUACUUAUUGGGGAAUGGGAGCAACUUCUAGUGGUUAGAAAUCCACAUCUGAUUGGGACAUUCUGAAAUGUACACGAGAAUGGGUGAUGUACUCCCUACGAUGUCUCCCGAUGAGGGGACCUCCUACAUUGCAGAUGUUGGUGGGUCAGAUGAUGACUCCGAUGUGGAUCCACCCCAAGAGCCCGGUGCCAAUAGUGCAGAAGUUGCAUUAUUUUCUGAAUUGGAGCUUGUUCCAACUGAACCUGAAGACGGUGAAAUGGGUUAAGGUAAAGAAGAAGAAGAAGAUCCGUGAUUCAUGGCAUACUCGCCUCUAGCCCACAUGCAUAAUGUCGAUCUGUCGACAGAUGAUGCGUUGGAUUUUCUAGAUCUACCACACAGAAAGCGUAGCCACAUAAGUUCGUAGUUAGAUUCGGGUGAAUUGAACGUUGGUAAGGAGCUUUCUAGUAAUGAUGGUUUUUUCGGUGCAUUGAAGCAAUAUAGCAUCAUGAACAGGGUUAACAACCACGUGGUUAAAUCCAAAUCUAAGAAGUUCAAGGUCAAGUGUGCAGUGCGAGACGGUACAUAUUCAUGGAAAAUCAUGGCUUCUGUUAAGAAGAUGACAAGGUUGUGAGAGAUAAAGUUCACCGGUCCGCAUACAUGUUUACCUCUGAUACAGAAUCAUUGGGUGUUUAGGGUUUUUGAAUAUUACUGUUAUUAUUUAAUGUUUCAUUAUUUAACGUACUCAUGGGUUGACAGGUGUUUCACAAGAUCAUCCCAAGCUGGAUUUAGAGAUGAUAGCGGGCUUAAUACUAUCGAUGGUAAAAAUAGAUUGUAGGACUGCUAUGUCGGUCUUAAUUACCAAUAUUUUUUAACCCAAUUCAAGUACAUGCCUUCUUACCGCAAGGCCUAGAUAGUUAUGUAGAAGGCGUUGGAGACGAUGUAUAAUGGGUGGGACGCUUCAUACAAUGAGGUGUAAUAGUGGUGUCAGGUGUAGGAGAGGUACAUUCCAGGUUGCAUAACAGACCUUGAAACGUUCCUGCAUACUAUAACGAUCGCUUGCUCAUGAAUUCCAAGUGUUCAAGCGUCUGUUUUGGAGCUUUAAGUAAUGUCGGGACACAUUUUAGUACUGCAAGUCAUUGGUAACUGCGGCACAAGAUGGUGACGGGAGGAUCCUUCCUGUUAUGUUUGCAAUAACACCGGAAGAGUCAAGUGACGACUGAGAUUUCUUUUUUUCUAGGUUGAGGAGGCAUGUUUGCCCCCAACCUGAUAUAUGCGUUAUAUCAAAUCGAGGCACUAGAAUACUAGUCACAAUUGAACAACAGGGAAGCCUCUGGGAUCUUACACACCAUCGGUAUUGUCUAAGGUAUGUUACGUCCAACUACUACGGGCAAUAUUGAUCUACCGCUGAACGACGACAAGUGACCAACAUGGGCAUUUAAUCACCACCAAUAUUAUUUGGUUUGUAAUAUUCAAUUUGUUCUGAAUGGAAGAGUGGUAUGUGAUUAUCUCAAUCCAUUUAUAUUGACAGGGUACGAGAUCAAUAAGGACUAUUUUCAUGAGAUGUUUGGUGGCUUUUACAGUUAAUUAACGAUCAAGGCGCAAACUACCUCUGUAACAUACCUUUUGAUCAGUGGACACAAUCAUGUAAUUGCGGCCUACGAUAAGGUCAGAUGACUUCAAACCUGACUGAAUGCAUCAAUUUUGUUUUAAAAGAAACACGUCAUUUGCUGAUAACCUCGAUGUACGAAAGAUAUAUUUUCGUUUUACGACACUGUUUCCAAAACGAGUAGCGAGUUAUAAAGGCCAAAUGUAAAAAGGUCGUGUAUGGUGCCGGAAGGUAGUACAAGAAAUUAAUAAGGCCAAAGCACGGGGCAACUCCAUGCACACAGUGUGUCACGAUCGUGACAACCUAUGGUUUUGUGUAAUAGAGUUUGAAAAAUUGAACCAAGGUAUUUCUGGUGGACAAUAUCAUGUACACCUGAGAAAUAGGACUUGCGACUAUGGGAGGUUUGACGUACUUCGUUAUCCAUACGCUCAUGUAAUUGUAGCUUGUCAGAAUCUCUGCUUGGAUCCUAUGAGCUAUGUCGACGAUGUGUACAAAUUAGAAUACAUGUACAACGUGUGGAGACACGUAUUCCCACCAGUCUUAGAUGAGGGUAAGUGGUCGUUUGUAUCGCUUGUUCCAUUUAAAUUGUUAUUGGAUAGAGAAUUAUGUUGCAAACUAAAAGGUCGACCGUGCACGACUAGAAUACGUGAUAAUAAAGAUAUCUAGAAAAGAACAAACCAACAGAAGUUAUGUAGGUGGUGUAGGAACCAGGGUCAUACAAUGACAAUAUGUCCACAUCAAAAUAACUCCUAAUUUAUUAAAUAAAAUAAUAUAAAAAUAAUUUGUAAAAACAUAUUCAAAAGAACUUCUAUUUUAUUAAAUGAAACAAUAUAAAAAUAAAUUGUACAAAAAUAUUCAAAAAUAAAUCAAUGCAUGUGCCGGUCAGAAUCAGUGUCACAUGGGGGUAGUCGGUGGUUACACUCUGGAUUCCUUCUUGGUUCAACUUCUGACCGGGGUUGUGGUUGUUCGGGAUCAGCUUCUUGUUGUGGGUAUUGAGAAGAUGACCCACCUUGAUAGAACAAAGAUUGUAGAGGUGUUUGCAUCACCCAUGGUGAAUGAGCGUAACCGACUCGAAUCCCAUAAGGCGAUGGGGAUUGGAAAUGAGUUGAGCUCCCCGACGGUGCCUCGUGCGGUUCCUCCUAUGACGAUGCCCUAUAUAUCAUCGGUUGACUCUGAGUUAUCAAAAAAUGAGAUGCAUAGGGCCAUGUAUUCCAACCUUGCAUAGGAGUGGAAAAAGGAAACAUAUAAGGAUUAGUAUACACAUAAGGGCUACGAUACGCACUUGGCAUAAUCUGAUGGGGCUGUGGUGUGGGCAUUGUCACUUGCUCUGUUAGGGCCGGUGAUUGCGUAGGCACUGUUGGUAGGCCCACCUCACUAUCCAUUGUCCUUGGAUUUAAAGGGCCCCGCCAUUCUCUUUCGACACGAAUUUAUCGACGCCUCUUCUCUUUCAAGAGAAAAUAUGACUUGCCAUAGAUCCUAAAUCAUGACAUGUAAUAUGGACCACACGCUAACUCCAAAACAAUAAUUUGUUCCCGAGUAGGUAUGUUAUCAUACCGAUUUUCCCACAUUUCGAUAUAUUCUGAGUGAAAGACCGACCAAUGCGUAUUUGGUCGUUGUAAGUCAAUUUUGUGCUCAUCAUCGAGCACUUCAGAUGCCACGAGAAUCGGUUGUCAAAAUCUGAAUUGCCGCAACACUCUAUCUGUCUGGUGCAUCUCUACGGUAGCAUAGUUAACCAAUGGGACCCUGACAUGCCAGAUGUUCAGAUUCUGUAUGAAUUCAUCUGAAAUUACUGCCCAAAUUGUCAGAUCCUCGUAUGGUGUCCAUUGAAAUUAUAUGAACGUGAUAAAAAUAUUAGUUAUAUAAAGAAUACAAAAUCGACUAUGUUGUGUAUAUAUAGUUUAAUUUAAAAAAAAUACUUACAUGCACUUUCGACCGUUGGUCUAAUAGAAGCCGUAUAUAUUCAAGAGCGGUAGGUAUUCCCCCGUAACUCGGCGAAUGGUUCCACCUAUUUAAAUAAAAUUUUAGCAUAAAAUUAUAUUUUAAAUCUAUUUAAUAAUAGUAAAAUCUAAUAUAAAUUUUACCUUGUUAAGAGUGGGAAUGUAUACAGGUGGUCCAGUUGAGGACGUAAAAAUGGAAAGCGAAACCGAGCCCAUGAUUGUAAUAGUGAGAGACAACACGACAGACCCCAACUGAGUUUGCCAGCUGCUCUAAAAUCGAUGAGUUUCAGCAGUCGCCUUAGUUGUACGAGGUUUCGUGACUUGUCCGGUAUCAGAUAACCUUCGAGGUUCUGAAGGAUGUACGCUCAAGUGUAUUGUACUCUUUGUACUUUAGUCGAAUCAUCCCCCAGCACCAGGGAUGUGUCUCGUAACCAGCCCAUAUCGAUUCGACCUCCGUAAAUAAUAUUUGGAAUUGCACCCAAAAGGUCGUAACAUAUGACUCUCCUGUCAGCAGUUUGAACGGACCCGGUGAGCAUAGACCCACCCACCGGUAACACCAAUUGUAACUGCACCUCCUCCAGAGUGAUGGUACACUCCCCACAUGGAAGAUGGAAUGUGUGCGUGUCGGGUCUCUAUCUCCCCACAAACGCGCUGAUGAGUUUUGGGUCCAACUAGCACCCCCGGCCUAUAUAGGCCAUGUGCCAAAAACCCGCUUCCCUCGAGUAAUUUUCAAUCAACGGUGAUGGAGGACCAUGUAUAUUACGAAUAAAACAUUGUAACACUCGAUUUACCGGCUAUUAUAAAAAAUAUAAACAAUACAAAUUAAAUUACAAAAAUGAAAUAAAAAUAUUAAAUAAUAUUAAAAAUAUGAAAUUAACCCUUACCAUUUUCAUUUGGUCGACAGUGAUAUAUAUUUAUCAUUUAGACUAAUUAAUUGUCAGGUCAUUGCUAACAUGAUCCAAUUUCUUAGAAAUUAUAAAAAAAAAUAAUACUAAUGUAGACAAAAAUUAAAAAUUUAGAGAGCUUUGAGAGUUUUUUUGAGAAAUUUAGAGAGAAAUUUCGAAGAAUUUUUGUGUGAAAAAAAUGGGUGGGGGGUUUAUAAUUUUUUUUCCUGCCAACGGUCAAAUUUUUAAAUGGCCGUUGGAGGUGACCAUUAGGGGAAAACACGGGGAAAAACGUGUCCCCAUCAGCGCUUUUUACUAAAGCGCAUCUACGUCAGCACGCUUUUGCUGACACGGGGAAAAGCACGUCCCUGUCAGCGCGCUUUUCUGCGUUUUCCCUGUAAACGCGUACAUGUCAGCGCGUUGUAGUAUUUUCGGUCCAUUCCAGUAAUUAUUUUUUGGAGCGGCCCAUUUCCGUAAAUAGUUUAGGAAAUGAGCCUUUUAUGGUACUAUGCCCAUUAUAUAUGCAUAUAUAAAUGUAAUUUAUUUUUACAUCAAUAUUUUCAUGUGAUAUUUAACUUAAAUAAUAUACGCUCUAAAUGUGAAUAUAUUGAAAUAAGUAUGGAUAUAUUAAAUAUACACUAAAAAUAAAAAAAAUUAAACUUAAUUACAUUUCUAUCUAUAAUUAUGUUAAAUAAAUUAUAGGGAAAAAAUUAUAAAGCAAUUUGACACAAAUAUAUAUUUAGUUUAAUUCAAAUAUAUUUUUAAAAAUUAAAUUUUAAUAUCCAUAAUAUUAAAUUUACUUUAUAGUAAAAUUUUAAAUUUAAAAUAUUUUUUAAAUAAAGACACUUUUUUUAAAGUAAAUUUAUAUUUUUUUUCAAAUAUCAUUAAUUUUUUUCAAACCAUUAAUUAAUUUAAAGAAAACACCAAAGUUAUACUAUUAAUACACACAACUUACCUGUUCAAGAUGAGGAUUUCAAUUUUAAUUCACAAGUUUGUUGUAUUGUUUGGUUAUGAAAUUUUUUUGAGACUGGCCGUAAAUAUGGUUCAUCGGUUUCUUAAAUCUUAUUUAGAGUUAGUUUUGAAGAUGGUUUCAUACACAUUUGAUGUUUCAAAAAAAAAAUUAUAUAUUUUGUCAGGUGAGUCGAAGUUGCCUUUAGUUGAAGUUAAAAUUCGAUCAAAAUUGUAGACCUGAUAACGAAAUGAAGCUUGAAUAUAGUGGUCGAAAAUAAUUUGUCAGCUAUUUAUUAAAUGUUUUGAUUCAGGGUUUGGGGUUAGUAAUUAAAGUUUUGGAAUGCUAGAGGUUUAGGGUUAGUUUUUAAGGUUUAUGAAUAUUGGUUAUGGUUUGAUAGUGACAUGGGAAAAUUUCUCGGUGCUUUGAGUGAGUUGUCGAGACCAACUCAAGGUAUGCAACUUAUUCAAUGCAUGAUCCCAAAGGUUACUCAACGACAUUUGUAAGAUUUUUGGUCGUUAUGCUCGAGUGUUAGGAUCAACAAUAUUAAUCAUUUGUCUAACGUUAGGGUUCAAGAAAGUGAGCCAUGGUUUUUGGUCAACACAAACAAUAUUUUCAGUGGUUGUGUCUGUUGCGAGGAUAAACAAAAAGUUUAUUUGUUUGAGGUAAGCCAUUGAACUAGCUAGUGGCAUGGAUGAUAUUAAUGUAGUAAAAAUGAUCUUUAUGUUUUAUAUUUGUGACAUGGACCAACAAAAGUAUGGAAACGAACUCAAAUGACGAAUGAAUAUGGAUAUUUUAGCAAUCAUUGACUUCGGCUUUAUUUGUUAAUAAGAAAGAUAGGUCAUUACAAUUAUAUAUCAAUAAUCCUCGGUUGAAUAAGCUAACAAUUAAGAAUAAAUAUCUUUUGCCUCAAAUUAAUGACUUGUUUAGUCAAUUACAAAAUGUUUAAUUUCAAUGUUUUCUAAGACCUAUUUGAGGUCCAGAUAUUAUGAGUUGAAGGUUAGGGUGUGAUGUGCCAAAGAUAGCAUUUCAGACAUGGUACGAGCAUUAUGAAUUUUUAGUGAUGUCUUUUGGGCUAGCAAAUGUUAUUGUGGCGUUCAUGGAUCUCAUGAACUGCGUUUUUAGUUUUAUCUAGAUCAGUUUGUGGUGGUUUUUAUUGAUGAUAUCUUGAUAAAUUCGAAGUCUAUGGAUGAACAUGAUCAAAAUCUUAGAAUUGUGUGACAAGUGUUACAUGAGAAGUAGUUGUACGGAAGGCUUAGCAAAUGUACGUUUUGGUUAACCGGGGUAGUGUUUCUAGGACACGUGAUAUAUAAUGACCUGAUUUUCAAUUGUACCAGAAAAUAUGAUUUUGGAACCCUAUUUUCGUAAAUUAAGUUUGUAAAUAUAAAAUAGGAAUAUUUACGGAGUUAAUACAAAUAUAUGCUAAAGAAUGGUCAAGUAAUUUGGCCGAUAAAAUAGUCAAUUAAAGCUUAAAGACUACAUUUUAAAAGUACAAUCACUAUUGAGUUUUAAUUAAUAAAAAGUUUGAGGACCUAGAUAGCAAUUAAUCAAAAGUCUAAAAUGAUAAAUAAACCAUUUUGAAAUGAGAGUUAGUGGAUGAUGCUCCACAAGUAUGAAUAAUGAAUAGUUGAAGUAAAUUAAACCAUGAUUAGGUUAAUUAAGUUAAAUUAAUUAAGCUUUAAACUUUGGAAAAACAGGUUUGGAAAAUGCAGCGAAAGAUAAGUUUAAGGAAAAAUCAGACUUUUAAAUUUUUUUCAAAACUAGAACUUGAUUGUGAUAUCUAAAAUAAUAAACACUUAAUCAAAAUUAUACAUUUUCUAUUCAUCUAGGAUGAAUGCUUCGACUGAGUAGUCUUCUUCGCUAUCCUCAAGCUCACGUUUGCUGAGUUUGGGCUCAUUUGGAAAUAGAAAUUUUUCACAAAAAUUACCAGUGAGGUAAUUUCGUAAUUUCUCUAAACUUCUAGAUUAAAUUGUAAAUAAGAAAAUAUCUCUAGAAAUCUUCUAAAAUAAUGUAUUCAUAGAAUUUUCUCUCUAUAACUUUCUCUUGAAUUCAAGUAUGUGAAAAAUAAUGACCAAUAGUUCUCUUUAUAUGGGAGAGUUUAGAGAGUUCAACUAUAAUUAAACUUAUCACUUUAAUAUUAAAUUAAUAUAAUACUUAUCAAGAUUAAUACUAGAUUAAAUUUAAUAUUAAAUCCAUUAAAUUAAUAGAAUACUUAUCUACAAGAUAAAUAUUAAAUUGAAUUUAAUAUUAAGAUAAUCACUUUAAUAUAAAUUAAUAAAAUACUAUGAAGAUAAAUAUUGCAUUAAAUUUAAUAUUAGAACUAUUAAAAUAAUAUUAUUUUUGGAAUAGUUAAUCUGAAAUCAAAUUAUCCGGUAGAGUCCUAGUAGGAGUGUGAUUCCUCUAUUGCUCCAUCACCGAAGGACCACCUGCAGGCCACCGUCGUCGCCACCGGCACCAUCAUGUCCGAUGGUGCCAUCACAGGAACGACAUACUCUCGGGACACUUAGUCAGUUCGGUUCGGGCCAGUGGCAACCUUAUCGGUCUGGUCCUGCCACCAGUUGGACUGUCAACCCAGUUCACAUACUAGACCUGGUUCAACCAGUUUUUGGAUGUUGGUUUUGGGUUCUCGGGGCAAAUUUUCGAUCUCAGGUUCAAUUUUCAAGUGCAAUUACCCAUUAGACCAAUUGUUUGACUUGAAAAUUAAUUUCAAAAAAUAUCACAGUAAUUUUAAUUAAUUUGAUUAAAUUAAUUUUACUUGAUCAAAAUUACUUUUUCCCAAAAAUCACUUAGAUUUUUCCAAUUAAUUUUUCAAAAAAUUCUUUAAUCAAAUUAUCUAGUUGAACAAUUCUCACGACCACCUAAUUUAAUUCCACAUCGAAUAAAUCGACUCAAUUAAAUUAUUUCCAAAGCCAUAGAAUUUUCUUUUGAUACAAAUGAAGUCUAAUCGAGCUUUUGUUGAUUUAGCAGAGGGGUCAAUCUGACAUAUACAAUUAAGUUCGAGUAAUUGCUGUCGUUCUGACAGUUUUAUCAAUUAUAUACUUUUUACGAAAGCAAUUCAUCCAACUACUUUGUCCAAUUACCUUAUCAUGUCUAUAUUAACCUCAUAUGAUAUCCUUGAUUCUUUUUUGUUAAAUUCGCUAACUCAAUACAAUCCUAUUUUAUCUUAUUGUCACCACUGUGUCUUCUUAAUGAUUAAUAUGAUCACUGUCAACAAAUAAUUGUGAUAAAAUUUCUCAUUUGAGAACAAGCAACCAGUGGCCACGUUCCAUAUUUAUCAAUACACACAAUGCCAAUGAGAGGUUAUCGUUAACAUUUUAAUUGAGCUAUGAAUUCUAUUGUUGCUAGUAGCCUAGUGUUUCACUCAAUCCCUUAGUUAAAUUCUUGUUCUAUAUACGGAGCCCCAAGCUUAGUAUAGUGUUUCCCCCAAUCCCUUAGAGAAUGGCUUAUUGCAGAGAGAAAUAUUUUACAUAAUCUUUUUGUAUUAUCCCUCACUAAAAACAAAACUGGAAAAAUCUAAUUAUAUGUCUGUUUAAUGGCACAACUAGGUUUCCGUCGAUAUUCUUUAUUGUAGAGAGAAAUAUUCUAAUGGAAUGGUUAUUUCAUCGGCACUGAUAAUACGGAAAAGAUUGAUUUGCAUUAUUGGGAGCGAGUCGCCAGUGGUGGUUGUGCUAUCUGGGAGUAUGGAACCCGGUUUCAAAUGAGUGAGCCAAUUUUUUACACGUAUUUAAAAUUAAGUAUUUAAAAAUUUUGAGCUUUGAUUUGUGGUAGUCAUAUAAAAUUAAAUUUGCGAAAUGCAGGGAGAUAUAUUUGUGAUAGUCUUAUAAAUUUAAAUUUACCAAAUGUUGAACUACUUGAACGACAAGUGACAGAAGGUUCUCAUGUUCUGAUGUAGAAAAUCUCUAGAAAGUAGAAACAAAUAGUUUUGAUAAGGUUAACACAUUGGUCAACUCUAACAGUCUUGUUCAUGAGCUGUGUACUAGUGGUUGAACAUUUUCUUUCUGAAAUUUAUAUAGGUGUUAUGGCUGUAAAUUAUUUGAAUUAAUGGGUCCCCGCCUGGUUAUUCUGUAUGCUGGAUUUAGUACAUUGCAUGUUUGGUUAUGCUUUGUCAGGUUCAUGAGCAGCGAGAUAGCAAAGAAGCUGAUAUACUCAUUAAAGGUAGCAUAUCCUUGAUAUCAAGCUAGUUGAAUGUGAGCAAAUACAAGUUGUGGUUUGUUUGUUUGUUUUCAACGAACUUUAAAAUUUUUAUUAUCAAUCAUGAAAAUAUUUUCUGACUAUUAAAAUCUCUUUCCCCACCAAUGAAGUGGAGAGUGGACACUUCCAAAUAGUUUUGUUUGUUUACUUGUGGAAUGGUCUUAAAUACAUUCCAAGUUCUUCUCGUUUUUUCAUGUGUGUGUGUGUGUGUGGUUGAUCAUUCUUUAAAUAUCUUAAUAUGUACAGCUACUGCUUGAGUACUCUAACCUUUUUAAUCUUUUGACUGGAUAUAUUCAUCAGGAGAUGCUAAUCUUUACGAUGACAGAAUGUUGUACACAUCUAGUAAUCGUUGGUUGCAACAAAAAUACAUCAUGGGCAGAGCUGUUGGGUAAAUCAAACACCUAUAUAUUUCUCAAAGUGUUAACAAGUUCUAGAAGUGAAAACAUUUGUAAAACACUCUGAUUAGGAGUUUCUUGCAUCACCAUUUGUGCUGUAUGUUUUGAGUUUCAAGUUCAUCACACUCCAAUAGUAAAAUUACUCUUCUGUUUUAUUAUUUAUUGUAUUUUUAAUUGUAUAUAUCUUCUCUGAACUAAUGUUUUAUGUUUUCUGCAUGGCAGAAAGGAUCCCAUAACGUUCACUUAUGCUUACCUGAAGUUUGUUCUAAAUUUUUCCAAAAAUUGGGCUGCCUAGAAAAAAAAAACUUGAAAUAGGUUUACUUAGUACCAGUUAAAUCGAGCUUGAUUUUAGAUAAAUCUAAUUAUUAUAUUUAAGCAUGAUAUGUUCUAAUACUUUGAUUUAAGCUGUUGAUGUAUGUAUUCUAACUAUGGAAUAUCAUGUUCAAAUAUUCUACAAAGAAGCUAAUUAGGAGAUUCUACAGUUGUUGAUGGUAAUUGGAAUUUAAGAAUAUAGGCUUAAGGGUUUAAUUGGAAUUUAAGCAUGAUAUGUUCUAAUAUUUUAAAUUUAUAUUGAUGAAUACUUUCUUCCUAUAUUGACUUAAGUGAGUAGAUAUAUCAGUAGUGUACAUUUUUUUAUUCCACAAACAAUCUUAAAAAGUUGAGAUAUAUUUUUUAAUAAUUUAUUAUAACAUUAUAAGACACCUAAUUUACUAUAAAAUUAUAAAACAAUCUUAAAAAGUUGAACUGAUUUACAUAUCUUUGCCAUGUUCACUAUGGUUUGAACAGAUUAAGUUACUCUUAUUUUCAUGCAGAGCAUGUAGGAGCCAAAUUUGCAGUUCAAAUUCGAAGCCAUGCUCAAAAGUUUUUCUAUAAGGGUCAUUGCUUUAAGUUCAUUACAAGAUUUCCUUGAUUAAGUAAAUGUAUUAUAUCUUUUAUUACCAAGAUUUACUUGAUUAAGAAAAUGCAUUGUAUAUUUUAUUACCUUGCAUAUGUAUUAUUUAUUUUAGUUUUGAUUCUAAAUUUGUAUUUUUACUUAAGUGGUCCAACUUUUGGAUUUUAAUUGUGUUAUUAAUUUAUUAUUUUAAAUUCUAAAUUUAAAUUCAUUAAUUUUUAUAUUUAGUUUUAAAGUUAAAAUUUUCGUAGAAAAUUUAAUUUAAAUAAUAUUUUUUAUUUAUCCUUAAAACAUAAUAUAAUAUUUAUCAUAGAAAUAAAUAUUAUUUGAAAAAAAAUUAUUUUUUUAAAAGAUAUAUUUUUAGCGGCGUUUGUGUGAAAAGCGCCGCUAAAGGUCUAUUCUAUAGCGGCGUUUGUGGGAAAAAGCGCCCUAAAGCUCAAUAUCUUUAGCGGAAUUUGUGGGAAAAGCGCCGCUAAAGGUCCUGGUCUUUAGCGACGUUUGUGGGAAAAGCACCACUAAAGGUCUUGGUCUUUAGCGGUGUUUUUUUGUAAAAGCGCCGCUAAAGGUCAUGGUCUUUAGCGGCGUUUGUGGGAAAAGCGCCGCUAAAGGUUAUGGUCUUUAGCGGCGUUUGUUGGAAAAGCGCCGCUAAAGGUCAUGGUCUUUAGCGGCGUUUAUUUAUAAAAACGUCGCUAAAGUUAGCGACGCUGUCAUUAGGGGCGUUUUUGGCGGCGCUUCUCAAAGGCCGUAAAAAGCCUAAAAAAGCGCUGCUAAAAGCCUAUUUUGGUGUAGUGUACACAAGUCAUGUACCCAACAUACCAACUAUCAGCUUGAUCAUCUUUAGAGCAUAAGCUCCUACUUAUAUCAAAGCACAUGAGUUACAUACGCAUGGUCAGUGACUAACUCAGGGUUUAGGUAAAUCAUACCAUGAACAUCACAAGUGAAUUAAUUCACAAACGGAUUCAGAACUAAUUCAUCUUGGGUCCAAUUCAAUGUAUCAUUCUUCCAAUGAAUACAUCUAUGUCUUUACCUGUGGAGUUAACUGCUCCGAUAGCCAACACUAGCCACAUCCCCAAUUGGAAUUGUAGACGACAUAAUAAUCCUUCUAAGUAUUUGAAUCAAAUGCUCACUUUGAUUCUUUUACGAAAUUACAGACUCAUUUAGAUUAUCUACUGAAGUAAGUUGUCUUUCUCGCAAUGUAAACAUUCUUACAGUGCCACUUAUCACUAGGUUGAACUUAGACAAUCAAUGAACUAAUAUUUGCUUGUCACAAUUUCGCUAUGCAUGCAAAACAUAAAAGACAGAAACACAAAAGACAUAAUAGCGAAAUGUGAAAUUAAUUUUAUUUAUUUAUUCAUCGUUCAAAUACAUAGAAAACAAUCACAUGUUUACAACUAUAUGAGCACAUUUCCUAACAAUCAAAUGUUAGGGUCCAAAUAUGAAAAUAUCCCAAGAGUGUCGUAAAAAUUUAGCUCCAUUUUGGCAUUCCAUCGUCACGUCGUUGUGACGUGGGAAUAAUCCUCAACAUGACGUCGCCACCGUGAAUGCUCUUCCAUAAUCAUCGCGUCAUCAUGACGAGAGGAAGCUCCUUGUCACAACAUCAAGUGUAUUUUGGGCCUUGGCAGCUUUGUUGCCCUAUCAGGCUCCUUUGUUCUGUGGCCCAAUCGUCCUCCCUUGUAUUCUUGGACCCAGACUGGCAUCUUACAAACUUAAAUAACCCAUUAGUCGCUCACGAGGCUCGAGUCAGCUUACAGGUCAUCGAAAUAGCAGAAAUUGUGUAAAAACGCUUAUUUUAUUAACUUUUAGUUCAUAACCUACUAAUACGAGAAAUGCCAUAAUUAAUUAAAAAAGUACUAGAAAACAAACUCGUCAAGUGCAAAAAUGACCUAAAAUAACUACUACAUUUGACGUCAAGUUAGUGGUUAGCUAGAUAAAGCUACAACGAUCUCAAAAAUAUAAAUUUAUGAAAAACAGGUUUAAAAAUCAUUACCAUGCAAGAGUAAAAAGAUGAAAGCUCCAACUUCUUUUCUUUCUCCUUAGUUUUGGCCAAAAAGAUGAAGAAGACAAGUGAAUGGCUUUUUUUUUUUUCAAUUUUUAUGUUUUCACCUAUUUUUAUUACUUUAAUUAUAUUAUAAUAAAAUUUUUAACAUCUUUUUCAUUUAAAACCCAUACCAACAGUCCACUAUUAUAAAGAGAUGGCUAAUUUUCACUUUAAACCUUGAACCAUUACUAUUUAAGCCUUUUAGCUAAUAAAAAUCAACAUCGAUUAAUUUUUACAAUUUUUACGAUUUAGUUCUUGUACCUUAAUUAAUCACUAAAUCAGCAAAAUUACCAAUUCAAAAUUCAAUUCACCUAUACAAUAACUCCAUAAAUAUUUAAUAAAAAAUAUUUAUGGGCUCGAUUUAUGGAAAUGAGAUCUCGCUACCUUAAUUUCCAAAACCAUUAACUUUAGGGUCAACCCAUUUGUACUUUAGCUAAUUGUCGAAUUAACAAAUUUAUUAGAUCAAAAUCCAAUAUAACACUAUAAUAAACUCAUAAAUAUUAUUAAAUAAUAUAUACUGACUCGAUCAUCAGAAUAUGGGGUUUUGAAACUGUCAUCUCUGGUAUCACUAAAAAAUCAUGAAAAUGGUUGGAAACAAACCCUGGAGACUGAAAUGAGUACGAAUAGAUCGGUAAACUCCAGAAAGGGAUUGAAUGGUAAGUUAAAAGAUAAAUGAUGUAAUUUAAUCAUGGAAUUGAAUGGCUUUUUGUCUAUAAUAUAUAUGUAACACCCCAAAAUUGGGCCUAGAAGUGUCGAGAGUAUUUUAAGAAUUUUAGCUUAUAAGUAUUUAGAAUUUCGUAAGGUUAGUAAUUGAUAAUGUUUUCGACAAUGGUUAUUAGGAAAGUAAGUGAAUUUCUGAAAAUGAGUUUUAAAUACAUUUAAUUUUGAAAAUAGGAUUGAUUUGUAAAAGAGUCAAAAAUUGAGUGUUUUUAUGAAGCAAUUUACCCAAAAUUUUAAAAUAAACCUAAAAACCCAUUUCUUCAAAUUGAUUUCACGAUAGUUGCUCCCAUAGUUACUUGUGUCGUCCCUUCUACUCUCCCAUCUCUCCCAAUUGAUUUUUACUUCCAAAUCCUAAUCGCUCUUGAUUUCCAACAUCUUUUGAACCAUAAAUCUAAAUUGAAACCAAGAGAAACACCCAAAAACCUCACUAAUUUCAUCAUCUUCUUUAAGAGUGGGUUUUCUCAGAUUUGAGUCAAAGUUCGUAUUUCUUCCAUCAAAGGUAAUCAUUCAUCCUUCUAAUAGUUUUAGAUAAUAUAUGAUCUCUUAAACUGACACAUGUUUAAAUAAAAGUAGAAAAUUUUGUUGUUAAUGGUGAAUUUCAGGAUUGUGGAUUAGAAUGUUUAUAAAGUUACAUCAAAGUUUUUCGAUACCUUGAAACAUGUAGUUUUGUGUAGUUUAAAGGUUAGGAAUUAGUCGUAGAUGACUGUGUAGAUGAAUGAAAUUUGUUUCGUGCAAAAAGAUUAAGUGUAGAUCGAGAUAUACGAAUUUAAAAUUUUCUAUGUCGAAAGUUUUGGUAAAAAGAGAACGUAGCUUAGACCAUCUUUUUAUUGUUUAAGGUGAGUUAAUGAUUGAUUGUUUUUUGUAUGUUUGUAUGGUUUGUCUUGUUAAAGUGUUGGAGUCAAUAGGGCAUUCAACGAGUAGAGACAAGGCAAAGAAAAACUUGUCUGACCUUUUGGCGAAAUCAUAUUUCUGGUGAGUGUUUUGGAGUCGUUGCUUAUAGAUGAUUCAUUGCGUAAUAGAGAAUUUAGAUGUAGCCUAAACCCUACUUUAAAUUCUGAGAGUAAGUGUUCUCACACCUAUGAUUAAAUGUGAUAUAUGUUGGUUGUGCAAGUGUGAAAAUAUGAACAUAUAUGAGAUGCUAUGAUAUGUGCUAUAAGCUUGUGAUGCUUGUUGUGAAAGAGAAUAUUUGGGUAUGUUAUUCAUGCCAUGUGACAGUAAUUAUAAUGUGCUAAUGAUGUGAAUAUGUGCGAAAAAUCAGUAAGUAAAUAUGUGAUAAUAAUAUUGAUAUUUUGGCCUUGUGAUUUUAUGAGACCGUUGGAUAUAGUUGGCAUGCCAUAAGAUUGUGAGUACUCACCUUUGUGAUUUGAUUUUGGGGUGUUGAGGCCCAGAGACAGUUUUCAAAGAGAUAAGGGAAUGUGAGCUAAGCUCCAUUUACCAGGAUAUGUGUGUUUGGUGUUUUGGUGUUUUGGAGAGUGUUAGCUAUGAGCUUCACUUAUGGGACAUGAUUGACUCUAUGAGUCAUUUUGAGGUGUUAGAGAUUCGUGUAUCUGAUGUGUGGUGAUAGAGUCCACAUGAUGUUUCAUAACCUAAAAAGCCAAACUAUCAUAAAAUGUGACUGAAUGUGAUUAAAUGUGAUUAAUAUGUGAUUGGAUAUAUGCUUAAUUAAUCAUGUGGUUAACGUGAUAAAUGUGUAAUAGUAUAAAUGGAAGAUGAUUAAAUGUGUAAAAUAUGAUGUUAGAAUUAAAAAAUGUUGUUAAUAUGUGAUAUGUCUUCUUAGUCAAUGCAUAAUGACUUAUUUACGUAGUGGUUGUUAUGAGCAUUCACUAAGCUUGUUAAGCUCACCCACUCCUUUUUAACCUUUACAGAUAAAUAGUGCCAGUGUGAGCGGUGUGGUCUCGAAGGGUGAUCCAAGCUAGAAACUUUAGUAGCUAUGAGUAGCUAUUGAUUUAUUUAUUUGAGUUUUGGGAAUAAAAGGCAAUGUAGUAGAUGUUAUGUUGGCUUUGUUAUGAUUUUUUUUGUUUGCAUGCCUAAUGUGCUUAGGAACUUUGUGGACUUUAAAUAUGAUUUUUGGGACUAUUAUUUGAGACAUUUCAGUGUUUAUUUUAUGAGACAAUUGAUACAUGAUGUUUGGAACCUAUUUGGAAUCAUCUUUGUGAUAAUAUAUGCUGUGUUUUUAUGGUCUGGAAUAGAGGUAUCGAUACUCAAGUUUUAAAAAUGAUACAUUUGAAAUUUUCGAAGUGCAGGAAGUUAAUUUCACUAGUUGGUACCAAUAUGUUGCCAUGAGUAUCGAUACUCAAGGUAAAAUUAUAUAUACUUUUUCAGUGGUACUGAUAUUUUCCAAAAGUUUAGUUUUUAAGACGAGAAACAAUAAGCUAAAUUAGCAUUGAUAUUCCAAGUGGUAUCGAUAACACUUGAGAGAAUUAUCAAUUCCACUCUACCAGUAUCAAUACCUACGUAACAGUUUUGGGAUAUUUUGCUAAGUGAUCCUUUUUUUUUGUUUGGUGCUUAUUUUAUGAUUGUACAAUGUAUGUUAGCACAUUUUAUACACCAGAGAGUAAAUAUGACUACAUUUCAUAUGAAUGCCAUAAUAAUAAAGGAAACAAAAGGAUGUAUAUUUAAUAAUAUGUCAACUUAUGUUGUAUGUGAUGUGAAACAGUGGUGUAGCAUCAUGAUUUCGAGCUUGGUGACCGGGCCGGGUAUAGGGUGUUACAUUUGGUGAUAUCAGAGCCUAGGUUCAAUAAUACUCAGAACUAGGUGAUUGUUGUGGAUAUUCUGAUUGGGGUUUUGCAACCCAUGGAUCUAAAAAUUAAAGUGAUUAAAUUAUUUUGAUUGAUUGAAUUGCAUGAGAUAUCUCUUGUUUGUAAUGCAUGUAAGGUAGGGAUGUGAUCACAUUGCUUUUAAUCCUAAAUUUUUCUCGCAGAAACGUGACUUGGAUCAUUUCCCCACCACUCACACCUUUUUAAUUGUUUGUGUAUGUGAGGCUAGUUUGAUAUGCCUCUUAGACGUGUGAAUGUAAGAGUUGAUGCUCAAAAGGAUGGUACAUCCUCUACACCUCUUGUGUCUUCACGUAGGAUAAACAUACCUAAUGAGGGUGUAGGCCCUUUGAUGGAAGCGAUAAUUGGAGCAUUUCAGCCGAUUGCUGGUGCUAACCCUGCUCCUGUACCUGUGAAUCGCGGGUUAUCGCUUGAAUGUCUUCGGGCGUUAGGUGGUAAAAAAUUUUCUGGAGUUAAAGGGAUCAAUCCGAAUAUAGUUGAGUACUGGUUAAAAGGAGUUGAAAGGAUCCUCAAGCAGAUCUCAUGUUCUGACGAGGAUAAAUUGAGUUGCACAUUGUCCUUACUCGACAGUGAAGCUCAUUAUUGGUGGAAUACUGUCAAGAGAGGUACAACUGCUGAUCAUCUGACUUGGGAUUAAUUCCUUGAGGUAUUUAGGGGGAAGUUCAUGGGUGAGCAGUAUAUGGAAGCUCAUAAGCGGGAAUUUUUGGACCUUGUGCAAUGUGGAUUGUUUAUGGCUAACUGUGAGGCAAAGUUUGUGUGACUUAGUGAGUAUGCUCCUGAGAUGGUUUUGACUGAGAAAGAAUGUUGUAAAAGGUUCCCUUUGGGGCUCAAUCGAGAGAUUUGGGUUUACUUAGUGGCCUAAAAUGCAGAGUUGUUUGAUAAGACUUUGGCUGAGCCAACUCGUUCUGUGGUGGCUGAGACUAGUAAGAGGGCUUCUGAUGGUGCUUCUGGAUGACCGCCCAAGAAAGGGAGAGAUAAUUACAGUUCUGGUAGGGGUGCAAGACAUGGGUCUCGACCGAGUCAGUCUAAAUAGUAGAGUAAUGUUGUGGUUAACACUGGUGGUUUGACUGGCCACUUUGUGUGCAUUGUGAUCGUAGGCAUCCUGGAGAGUGUCGUAAGUUGAUAGGUGGUUGUUAUAAGUGUGGUUAGAAAGAACAUUUUCUGAGGGAUUGCUCGAAUAGAAUUAAGGUUUCACAGACUCAGAGUUUGGCACCUGUUUCUGUGCCUACUAAAGGCUGAGAUCGUGGUAGAGGUAAUGUGAGACCAGUUGGAUGUCGGAUUGUUGCUCACACUGUUUCUUCAUAAGUUAAGUCUAGAGGUCCAGCUCGGGUCUAUGCUGUUAGGGAACCUGAUGAUCAAGAUCCAACUAAUGUUAUCACAAGUACUUUUACUUUGCAAUAUAUUCCAUUGUUUUCCUUGGUUAAUUUUGGUUCUACACAUUUGUAUAUUUUGAUCGAAUUAGCUUUUAAGUUAGGAAUUCCUGUAGAUAUGAUUGAUUUGUGUAUGACUGUAAUUAGUUCCUUUAGAGAUAGAUUCGUUGUGAAUAAAGUUUAUCGUAGAUGCCCCCUUAUGAUACAAGGGCAUGUUUUCUCUGUGGAUUUCAUGGAACUACCGUUUUAUGGUUUUGAUGUUAUUUUUGGGAUGGAUUGAUUGAUUGAACAUAAGGCUAAGGUAGAGUCUGAGAUGAAGCGAAUUACUUUGAGAAAUAAUGAUGGGCUGGAAAUUGUUGUUGGUGGUGAAAGACCAGAAUUUUUGUCUAAUGUAGUUUCGCCAAUGAAGACUGAAAAGAUAUUCGCACUGUUAAGGAUUUUUCUGACGUGUUUCCUGAAGAGUUUCUUGGUUUUCCACCUGAUCAUAAAGUCGAGUUCGGUAUUGAGCUCUAUCCUAGUACUGUAUCGGUGUCUAUUGCGCCUUAUCGUAUGACACCAAAAGAGCUCAAAGAGUUAAAGAUUUAGUUUCAAGAGUUGCUAGAUAAAGGAUUUAUUUAACUGAGUGUAUCUCCGUGGGGUGCACUAAUUUUUUUGUGAAGAAGAAAGACUGUACGAUAAGGAUGUCUAUUGAUUAUAGGUGUAAUAGUUCAUUUUUCAGUGGUGCCAGAAACAGAGGUUUCGGGGCCACAAAUCUGACGAGUAAGUUCAUAAAUAUUAUUAUUUAAUAUUUAUGAGUCAAUUAUGGUUUUAAAAAGGUUUUUGAUAUGAUAAUUUAUGCUAUUCGAAUGAUUAAUUAAGUUCAAGUGGUAAGACCUUAAAAUCAAGUGAUUAUAGAAAAUGAAGUAUUGGGACCUCGUUUCUAUAAAUCGAGCCGUAAAUAUUUUUAUAAAUAUUUAUACGGAGUGUUGUUAAGGUUGUAGUAAAGUUUUGUUAAGAAAUUUUAAUAUUUGGAUUGUUAAUUAAGUAAGAAGGACUAAAUCGUAAAAAGUGUAAAAAUUGAAUUCUACUAACUAAAGAUUUUUAAUAGCUAUGAAAAAUUAAAUUCAUGGACUAAUAUGGUAAAUAUACCAUAUUAUAUAUGAGUGGGCGGUUGGCUUUUGUUUUAUUAUGAAUAUAUAUGUUUUAUUAAUUAAAAUGAAACUAAAAACAUCAUCUUUCUCCUUUUAAUGUUUCGCUGGAAUUAAAGAAAGAAGGAAGUCAUGGAUGAUAGCUUAAGCAUUCAAUCAAACUUUCCUUUUGCAUGUAAGCUAAAUUUGAGUUUAUUUAUAAUAAUUUUUAUGUUUUUGAGAUCGUUGCAACUAGGUCCAACUAGCCCGUGCCUUCGAUUUUGAAACUGUUAAUGAUAUUGAAUGUUUCCAUUGAUAAAUCUAUGUAAUUUUAGAUAUUAAAUGAUGAAUUUGAAGUAUUAUUUGGUAUUUAAAAGUAUUUUGUUAAGUGAUUUUUGAUGAAUUUGCCGAUUAGGGACUAAAUUGUUGAAAUAGUAAUAGUUCAGAGACUUGAUGUGAAAUUGUUGUAAAAAAGGGCUGAAAUGGAGGCUAUGAAUAUUUUGCUAGUAUGAAUUUGCAAUAAAAAUGGCUAAUUUGCAGGUUUUAGGCUCAAGGACUAAAUUGAAUAAAAGUAAAAUAUUAGGGGUAAUUUUGUGAAAAUUUCAAAAAUGACUAAAUUUCAUAAAAUAAUUUUUUACUAUCUAAAUUAAUAAAUUGAAUGAAAUUAUUAAUUUAGAUCAAGAUCGAGUGAAAAAUCGAGGAGAAUAGAAAAUUAACAAAAAUCCCCUAUACUUUAUCAUUUCUGCAAUUUAGCCAGGUAAGUUCGCAUGAACUAUAAUCACUUAAAUUUUGAUUAAAUUGAACAUUUAAUGUGUGAUUUUAUUGUAAAUGAAUCAAUAUAUAUAUGUUAUUAUACAAUUUAUCAAGUAAAGAGACGAUAGAAAUCCAAUGACGUUCGACGACUAUCGAGCCCCGUUUGAACCUUAGGAAUAUAUAAGAUAAAAAUGACAUGUCAUUUGGGUUACCAUGUUUUGGGUGCUGGCCUUAAAUGUCUUACCGAUGGCUGAGUUCUGACAUAUGUUACGAAUACUCGUCAGCUUGUGUGAGUGACACCGUGUAGCUACAUUUUGGCCGUCAGCUUGUGUGAGCAGACUCAGGUUACCAUGUUUCGGGUGCUGGUCCUGAAUGUCCUACCGAGGGCUGAGGUCUGACAUUAGUUGCAGAUACUCAUCAGCUUGUGUGAGCAGCAUCGUGUAGCUUACAUUCUGACCAUUAGCUUGUGUGAGCAAGCCCAUUUUACAGCUCGUGUGAGCUACGACUAUAUGAUUAGCACACUUUGUGUGAGUUUUCCCACAUAUCUGAUGUUAUUCUAAAUAGUUCAACGGGCAUGAAAAGGGAAGGAGCAGGAAGUAUUCAAAUGACUUAUAUUAUGAAAACUAUGAAAAUGAAUGAAAAGGAAAUGUUAAAUGAAAGUAUGACUAUGUUCAUGGAAUUGAUGAUUUCAAGUGAGGUUAUUUAUGUUUAAUGACUUAUCUUAUGUUAUUCAAGUGAAUUAUGAAUUGAUUCAUUAAUAUGUGUUGUCGAUGAUGCUUAGGCUUGUGCCAAGAUAUUGGUUGAAUUGUAUUAUGUAAGUUUUAAAUAUAUGCAUUGAAUUGGUAAGUGAUCAAAUAAAAAGAUGCUUAUGUGCAUGAAAGAGUAGUAAGAAUCAAAGUAUAUAAUUUCUCAUGAAAUGGUUUAUCAUGUAGUUGGUUUCAAAAGAGUUAUGUUUAAAUGCACUAGCUCAAGGCUAUGGUUGAUGUACAUGUUUUUGUCUUACGUGUUAUGCAAAUGAAACGGGUGAGAAUAGGUAAUGAAAUGAUAAGUUCAUAGUAGAGAUGUAAUAUGAUGAAAUAAAAAGACUGUUGAGUUAAAGAACUUACUUAUAAGGAAGAAAUUUACUUAUGCUAUAUACGAGUGACUUAUGUCAUGAAUAAGUACACUAAUUCGUGAAUUGGUAACGUAAUUAAGCUAUUGCUAAGUAAUAUAAUAGUAAGUAAGUAAAUGAGAUGGUUUAUUGUUUUAAGAAAAGGUUGAUGAUUAUGUAAUUCAACUUAUAAGACCCUAUUAUGUUAAAUGGAAUGUAUUCAAGAUGUUAAUGAACCUAUUCAUUUGUGAGAUGAUAGUUAUGCAGUUUGAUAAAUCUUGAGGCAUUGGUAUAGGGUUAUUCAUGACUUAUAAAGUCCAUAUUUGAAAUGGAAAGUUAUGUUUAAAGUUUAUACGAGCUUACUAAGCAUUCAUUGCUUACGUAGCCAUCUUUCUCUUACUUUGCAGAUUACCAAAAGUUUGAUCGGUUUGGAAACUCAUCGAAGAUCUAUCACACUAUCCAGCGAUUAUAUUGGUAGAUUUUGAUGUUGUAAUCAAUGUUAUAUUGGCAUGUAUAGGUGGACUUCUGGUUCAUGUUAGUUGAUGAGUUUGGCACAUAUAUGUCAUUGUGGUUGGUGUAACCUUGGUACUUUUAAUGCCUUAUUGAUGUGUGUUAUUUUGACAAUGUAUUAAUACAUGUUUGAAUGGAUAAAAUGGUAGGUGAUGAAUUGACCACAACAUGGUCAAGUUAUGGUAUGCUUUGGAAAGGUUUGAAUAGAUGUGCAUGAUUAAAAUAUAGUAUGUUUAUAUGUUGUUUAUUGGAACCAUUUGAUAAUGGCUAAAUUGGUGUCAUUUAGAUGGUUUUGAUGCAUGUGAGAAGCGGACCAAAUGGUAAAGUUAUUUUGAUAUGGCAUGAAUCCAAUAUGGUAAGGUUGAUAUAUGUCAAUUGUGAUAUGUUUUGGUAUGGAAACAAGUUAGUUGAUAAAUGGUUAAAUAUGUAUAUGUUUAGGUAUGUUUAAUGUAUGUGUUUGAAGUGCUUAUAUGGCAUAUUGGUUGAAUGGAAUUUGAACAUUUGAAAUUGGUCGUUUUAUGCAUGUUUGAACAUGUUUUGAUACAUUGGUCAUAUGUGCAAAUGGCUUAUAAGGGUGUGCUUGAAUCUGGUGAAAGGAAUGGCUUAUAUUUGACCUAUUUCUUCUCCACACGGCUUAAGACACAGACGUGUGUCUCAUUCGUGUAUGACACAUGGCCAUGCGACAUGGUCGUGUGUCCCCUGUAGGUUUUAAAGGUUGCUUUUCAAAAGUUACACGGCCUAGCACACGCCUGGCACACGGGCGUGUGAGGCCAUUUCGAGUGUUACACGGCCUGGCACACGGGUGUGUGGCUUGGCCGUGUGACCUAAGUUAGAGAGUUACACGGGCACGGACAGGGCUAGGGCACGACCAUGUGUUCCUAUUUCAAAUGUCCACACGAGCGUAUGUCUCAUCCAUGUGAGUCACAUGGCUGGCCACACGGCCAUGUGACCUCUGCAAUAUGAAAUUUUCUAUAUGUUUUCCUCAAUGUUUCAAAUAUUUCCAAUUUAGUCCCGAAUCGUUUCAAAACUGUUUCUAAGGCCUUGAGGGCUAAAAUAAGGGACAAUAUGCAUGUGUAUGAAUGAAUUAUACUAUGGUUAAUGAAAUAUUUGAAGAUGAAUGUUUUAAGUUACAUUUUUACGGUAAUGCUUUGCAAUCCUGUUCCAGAAAUGAAUACGGGCUAGGGGUGUUAUAAUAGAUGGUUGAAUAAGUUGACUAUUAAGAAUAAGUAUCCUUUGCCUUGAAUUGAUGACUUUCUUUUAUUCGUUUUGACGUGCAACAGUGUUCUCGAAGAUUGAUCUUAGAUCUGGGUAUUAUCAAUUAAAGGUAAAGGAAUCUGAUAUUCUAAAAACAACUUUUAGGACUCAGUAUGGGCAUUAUGAGUAUUUGGUAAUGUCAUUUGGUUUAACUAAUGUAUCGAAAUCAUCUUUUAUGUAUUUGAAAAAUGGGGAUCGACUUUGAAAACGAAAAUUGGAGUCGCCACCGAUCUUUUAUUAAGGUGUGACCGGUUCACCAUUAAAAAUAAAUUUUAGGUCUGCGAGAUUUGAGAAAAUAGGUUCGGGAGUCAGUUACGUACGAGGAAGGGUUAGCACCAUCGUGACGCCCAAAAUUGGUACCGAAUUGAUUGCUUAAUGUCUUAAUGUCAAAAUUUUGAAAAGAUUUUAAAAUGCGAUCCUUGGAAAAGAAAAUUUGAAUAAAAUAAAUUGGAUGAUGAGACUCACUUAUUUCAAAGAAAUAGAUUGACACACUCAGUAAGUUAGAGUGCAACAUUUUAAAUCCUCGAAAUUAAGUUUAUCUUUUGAGUUUUAAAAUCUAAGCAUUUGAGAAGGAUAUCCAAUUUGGGUCAAAUGAGAAAAAAUCAAAACCCAGUAAGUUAGGGUUCGAUUUCACAAAAUUCCUAAAUAUCGAAUAUUGCUUUUAUUUUUAUUUGUUAGAAAAAUCCUCGUCUCGAGGAAACAAUAUGUCAUAUCCAAUACGUUAGGACACAACGCAUCAAAUUCCCGAGAAUGAGUUUUUUUAUUUGCGUUUUGAUUAAAAAAUAAUCUCGAUCAUUUAGAUUCGACGAAGAAAAUUUGAACCCAAUACGUUAGGGCUCAAUUCUUUCGAAGAUUCCAAAUGCCGAACUUUGCUUUAUCUUGAAGAUUUUUGAAUAAAUUGGUUUUGAUACUUAGAUUAUAUUAAACAUAACUUUCUAAGCGAAUAAAGCGCGAUAGAAUGUACGAUGCGAAGUGACAAAUCGUAGGCCCAAAGUAUACACUAAUGAACACAAAUAACCCUUAAAUAUAGAUGAGCAACACAAUACAUACAUACACAAGCGAUAGUCCCGUAUAAUAUCCAUACCAAUAUCAAAUACACAAAGGUUUGAAAUAUAGAAAUAUCCAUAAAAUAUAUGAAUGGAUUUUAAGACUAAUAUGAUAAAAAUAUAUAAAAUAAUGUAUAUGAGUUAAUUUAAACAAAUAAUAGAACGAAAAACUUCACAUAAUAGUAUAUAGCAAUAGGUAUUUAUAAAUAUAUGUAUAUAUAGUUUAAAAUUAAAUAAUAUAUAUUACGUAUGUACAUAUAUAUAUAAUAAUACAGUUUAAAAGAUAAUAAUAAAGAACAAAGUAAUAUAUAUAAAUAGGUAAAUAGGAAAAAUAAUCAAAUAUAAUAAUGUCAAUAAAAAUAAUAAAUAUAAUAAAUUAAUCAAUGAAUUAACGUAAAAACAAAUGAAAAAAAAAGGAAUUAAAUCGCAAUUAAACCUAAAUUGACAAGAAAAUAAUAGAAUUAAAACAAAGUGUAGGACUAUAUCACAAUGCGCGAAUUAUAUGGGGGGUUGAGUGGGAAAUAUCCCCUCCCUUCCAAAACGCAGCGUUUUAUGCGAGACUGAAUUGAAACAAAUUCAAAAUUCAUGCGGGAAAUUUCCAAAGAAACAAAAAUGAAAUUAAAAAAGAUGGAGUAAAACUGAGGGAUCAAAGGCGCAAAUAGACCAUCAGACCCAAAACGAGCGGAUCCUUCCCUCGGGUCGGGUCACCGCGCGGGUCACAAGCCUUUAAACGGCGUCGUUUCAUAUCACGCAUUUAAACUAAAUUUUUGUUAAAAAAACAUUUGCAUCAACAAAGAUAAAAAAUAAAAAAUGAAAAGACCUAAACUCUCUGCUAGGGUUUUAACCCCAACAUUUGCGCCGCUCGGAGGCUCCGUCAGUCCUCGCCCCACCGUCCUCGCUCGAACUUCGAUCACAACGAAGUGAACGAGGACUUAAUCGAUGCCAAGAAGGUAAAUCCAUCCCUUCCCUUCUCUUUUAUUUAUUACUAUUAAAAAUAAUAUAUAUGAAACAGAGAUAAAACCGAAGGAAAAAGAACUCGAAAAAAAAACACCUUUAGAAACUGAUUUUCUAUUGCUUUUCAAAAUUUUUCUUUCAUACAAUAUUUGUGCGUGUGUCCUCACAAGAAUGAAUCAAUCGGCUUUUUAUAUUGCCGAAUAUUACAAAAAUGGUUUUUUUCCCUUUUUUUCCCUUUUUCUAUUAUUUCUUCCGUUUUUUUAUAUAUGAUGGCCUACUGUUGUUGUUGUUUUGCUGUGUUGUUUUCAUCUUCUUUGCAGGUAUGGAGGAGUGCACACGUACGGAGGUGCAGUGACAUGGAGAGGACACGUAAUGGUGUGGCUCAGCUGCGGCGGCUGAAGUUGUUUCAGAAACUGCUAGGGUUUCUGCUUCUGAAAGUUUUGUUUUGGGCCACAUUGUAAUUGGGCUAGGGUUUAGUAAUUUGGGCUGAUUUAGCUUUAGGUCUGGGCUUGGGUUAAUUGGGUUUUGUAAUCUGGACAUUAAUUUAUUGGACUUUUAUAUUUUUAUUUUAUUUUAUUUUAUUUUAUUUUAUUUAAUCUGAUAUUCUAAAAACAACUUUUAGGACUCAGUAUGGGCAUUAUGAGUAUUUGGUAAUGUCAUUUGGUUUAACUAAUGCCUUUGCUGCUUUCAUGGCUUUGGUGAACCACGUAUUCUAUUCGUACUUGGAUCAGUUUGUGGUUGGCUUGAUAGACGAUAUUUUGGUUGAAUCUCGUUCUGAGGAGGAUCAUGAUGAGCACCUAAAGGUUGUCUUGCAGAUUAUGAGGGAUAAAAAAUUAUUUGCUAAGUUAAGUGUGAAUUUUGUCUUAAGGAAGUUGUGUUUUUAGGACAUGUUGUAUCGACAUAAGGGAUUUGGGUGGAUACUAAGAAGAUUGAGGCAAUCUUAGAGUGGAAGCCGCCUAAAAGUGUUAUAGAAUUUUAGAGUUUCUUGGGAUUAUGACUGUGUGAUUGAAUAUCAUCCUAGCAAGGCAAAUAUUAUUACUGACGCAUUAAGUAGGAAAUCAAUAACGGAGUUGAGAGCUAUGUUUGGGCGCUUGAGUUUGGCUAGUGAUGAUGGUUUGUUAGCUGAACUUCAAGUGAGGCAAACUUUGGCUCAACAAAUUAAGGAAAAACAUCCAGUAGAUGGAUAUUUGUUGAAUAGGAUUCAUCAAGUUAAGUAAGGUGUUAAAGGAGACUUUUAUGUUGAUGUAGAAGGUAUCUUGAAUUUCUGAGGUAGAUUGUGUGUGCCGCAAGAUGUGGAUUUAAGACAAGCGAUCCUUACCGAGGUGCAUAGUAGUCCUUACGCUAUGCAUCUCGGUAGUAGUAAAAUGUAUCAUGAUCUCCGUGAAGUUUAUUGGUGGCCUGGGUUGAAGUGAUGUUACAGAUUUCUUGGCUCAAUAAUUAGUGUGUCAAAAGGUGAAAGCUAAACAUCAAUUUCCUUUAGGUUUGUUGCAAAUGCUUGUGACUCUUGAAUGGAAGUGGAAAGGAUCACGAUGGCUUUUGUUUCAGGUUUGCCUUUAACGCCAUCGAAGAAGGAUUUGAUUAGGGUUAUAGUAGAUCGAUUUUCGAAGAGUGCGCAUUUCUUGGCAGUGGGUACCAAUUAUUCUUUGCAGAAGUUUGCAGAGUUGUACAAAUGCGAAGAUUGUACGUUUUCAUGGAACUCCGGUUUCUAUCAUUUCCAAUAGAGAUCUGCAUUUUACUUCGAGGUUUUGGAAGAGUUUGCAAGAGGUUUUGGGGUUGAAACUUACAUUCAGUACGACUUAGCACCUCUAAACUAAUGGCCAAUCUUAUAGGGUAAUUCAAGUGUAGAAGAUAUGUUGCGAAGCUGUGUGAUCGAGUUUUGUGAUAGUUGGGAGCAAUAUCUGCCUUUAGCAGAGUUUGCUUACAACAAUAGUUUCCAAGCGAGUAUUCGUUUGGCACCGUUUGAGGCGUUGUAUGGUAGGAAGUGUAGGACUCUUUUGUAUUAGACGAAGUUAGAUAGAAAGGGUGUCAUUUGAUCGACAUUAGUUCGAGGGACCAAAUAGAAAGUGAAGUUUAUAUGUGAGAUGUUGAAAGCAGCAACAGAUAGGAAAAAAUUUUAUGCAGAUUUGAAAUGUCUACACAUCGAAUUUUAAGUUGGUGAUAAGGUGUUCUUAAAGGUUUCUCCAUGGAAAAAGGUUUUGAGGUUCGGAAGAAAAGGUAAAUUGAGUCCAAGAUAUGUUGGACCCUAUGAAGUUGUUGAGAGGAUUGGGCCAAUAGCUUAUCGACUCAAGUUUCUACCGAAACUUGAGUGAAUUCAUGAUGUUUUCCAUGUGUCUAUGCUACAGAAGUAUCAUUCAGAUCCGUCGCAUAUUGUGCCAGUAGAGAAUAUCAAGGUUCGACCUAAUCUCACUUAUGAAGAGGAACCAGUAGAGAUUUUAGCUUGUGAAGAAAAGGUUUUGCAAAACAAAAGUGUUCCGUUGGCUAAGGUUCUAUGGCGCAACCACAAGACGGAAGAGGCUACUUGGGAAACUGAGGAAGUGAUAAGACGUCAAUAUCCUUAUCUAUUAAGCUCAGGUAAUUUCGAGGACGAAAUUCCUUUUAGAGAGGGAGUAUUGUAACACCUCAAAAUUGGGUUUAAAAGUAUCGAGAGUAUUUUAGGAAUUUUAGCUUAUAUGUGCUCGAAAUUUCAUGAGGUUGGUAAUCGAUAAUGGCUAUAAAUAAAUUAAGUCAAUUUCUAAAAAUGAGUUUUAAAUACCUUUAAUUUUGAAAAUAGAACUGAUUUGUAAAAGAGUCAAAAUUGGAAGUUUUUAUGAAGCAGUUUACCCAGAAUUUUAAAAUCAACCUAAAAACCCCCAUUCUUUAAAUCGAUUUUACGAUAGUUACUCCUCAUAGAUGCUUGUGCCGUCUCUUCUACUCUCCUAUCUCUCCCAUUUGAUUUUUUACUUCCAAAUCCUAAUCCUCUUGAUUUUCAACAUCUUUUGAACCACAAAUCUAAAUUGAAACCAAGCACCCAAAAACCUCACUAAUCUCAUCAUCUUCUUCAACAGUGGGUUUUGUCAGAUUUGUGUCAAAGCUCGUAUUUCUUCCAUCAAAGGUAACCAUUCGUCUUUCUAAUAGUUUUGAAUGACAUCUGGUCCGUUAAACUGAAUUCUUUGCCAUUAAAAUGCAUGUUUUAAAGAAAAAUAAAAAAUUUGGUUUUAAUGGUGAAUUUCGGUAUUGUGAAUUAGAAUGUGGUUUCAAAGUGUAUUUCAACUUGUUUUAACAUGAUUAGAAGGUUUCUAAAGCUACAUUGAAGUUUCUACAAGGAUUUCUCCAGUUUUAAUGAAUUUUCGUCAUAAUGGCCAAAACUUGUCGAGAAAUGUUGAUACCUUAAAAUGUGUAGUUUCGAGUAGUUUAAAGGUUGGGAAUUAUUUGUAGAUGACUAUGUAGAUGAACGAAAUUCGUUUCGUGAAAAAAUGAUUAAGUGUAGGCUGAGAUAUACGAAUUUAAAGUUUUCUAUGUCGAAAUUUUUGGUUAAAAGCGAAUGUAGCUUAGACCAUUGUUUUUGAAUGUUUUUUUUAUCUUUCUAUGGUUUUUCUUGUUGAAGUGUCGGAGUCAAUAGGGCCUUCAACAAGUAGAGAGAAGGCAAAGAAAAUCUUGUCUGAGCUUUCAACUUUUUGACGAAAGCAUAUUUCUGGUGAGUGUUUUGGAAUUGUUGCUCGUAAAUGAUUCAUUGUGUAAUAGGAAAUUUAGAGGUAGCCUAAACCCCUACUCUAAAUUCUGAGAGUAAGUGUUUCCACAACUAUGAUUUAAUGUGAUAUAUGUGUGCUUAUGCAAUUGUGAAAAUAUGAACAUAUAUGAGAUGCUAUGACAUGUGCUAUAAGUAGUGACUAUCGUGAAAGAGAAUAUAUGGGUAUGUUAUUCAUGCCAUGUGACAAUAAAUAUGUGAGUAUGUUUUCAUACCAUAUGACAGUAACUAUAAUGUGCUGACGAUGUGAAUAGGCAGUGAAUAUGUGCGAAAAAUCGAUAAGUAAAUAUGUGAUAAUAAUAUGGAUAUUUUGGCCUUGUGAUUUUAUGAGACUGUUGGAUAUAGUUGGCAUGCCAUAGGAUUGUGAGUACUCACCUUUAUGAUUUGAUAUUGGGGAGUUGAGGCCUAGGGACAGUUUUCAAAAAGGUAAGGGAAUGUGAGCUAAGCUCUAUUCAUUAUGAUAUGUGUGUUUGGUGUUUUGGAGAGUAUUAGCUAUAAGCUUCACUUAUGGGACAUGAUCGACUCUAUGAGUCAUUUUGGUGUGUUGGAAAUCCAUGUAUUCGAUGUGUAGUGAUAGAGCCCAUAUUAUGUUUCAUAACCUCAAGAGUUAAACUAUCAUAAAAUGUGAGAGAAUGUGAUUAAAUGUGAUUGGAUAUAUGUUUAAUUAAUCAUGUGAUUAAUGUGAUAAAUGUGUAAUAGUAUAAAUGGAAGAUGAUUAAACAUGUGAAAUAUGAUGUUAGAGUUAAAAAAUGUUGUGAAUAUGUGAUAUGUCUUCUUAGUCGAUGUAUAAUGACUUGUUUGCGUGGUUAUUUUGAGCAUUCACUAAGCUUGUUAAGCUCACCCACUCCUUUUUAACAUUUACAGAUAAGUAGUGUCGGUGUGAGCGGCGUGGUCUCGUGGGCUGAUCCAAGCCAGAAACUUUAGUAGCUAUUAGUAGGUGUUAAUUUAUUUAUUUGAGUUUUGGGAAUAAAAGACAAUGUGGUAGAUGUUAUGUUGGCUUUGCUAUGAUUUUUUUGUUUUGCAUGCCUAAUGUGCUUAGGAACUUUGUGGACUUUAAAUAUGAUGUUUGGGACUAUUACUUGAGACAUUUCGAUGUUAAUCUUAUGAGACAAUUUAUGCAUGAUGUUUAGAACCUGUUUGGAAUUAUCUUUGUGGUGGUAUAUGUUUUGUUUUUAUGGUCUAGAACUUAGGUAUCGAUAUUCGGGUUUUGAAAAUGAUACCUCUACAAUUUUUGAAGUGCAGGAAGUCAAUUUUGCUAGUUGGUAUCAAUAUGUUGCCACGAGUAUCGAUACUAAGGGUAAAAUUAUCGGUACUUUUUCAGUGUACUGAUAUUUUUCGAAAGUUGGGUUUUUAAGAUGAGAAACAAUAAGCUAAAUUGGUAUCGAUUUUCCAAGCAGUAUUAAUACCACUUGAGAAAAUUAUCGAUACCACUCUACCAGUAUCGAUUCCUACAUAACAGUUUUGGGAUAUUUUGCUCAGUGAUCCUUUUAUUCGUUUGGUGCUUAUUUUAUGAUUGUACAAUGUAUGCUAGCAAGUUUUAUACACCCUAGAGUAAGUAUGACUACAUUUCGUAUGAAUGCCAUAAUGAUAAAAGAAACAAAAAGAUGUAUAUUUAAUAAUGUGUCGACUUAUGUUGUAUGUGAUGUGAGGCGGUGGUGUAGCAUCAUGUUCUCGGGCUCGACAACCGGGCCGAGUAUAUGGUGUUACAAUAUAUGUGUGAUUUACAAGUGGUAUUAAGUGUUUUAAAAUGACAUAAAGUAUGGCGCUUGACAAAUAGCAUGAAUUGGUCAUUUCUUUUACAAAUGCAUAAUGGUUUGAUUUUGGUAUUUUCUAUAUGAAUGAUCACACACAGAUGCAUAUAUAUGGUAAUGGAAUGAAUAGCAUAAGUAGGUGGUAAAUUUAAUGGAAAAUGGUUAGGUAUAUAUUAGAAAGUAUAAUAAGUAAUAAUCAUAUAUAUUGGUUAAAGAAAUCAUGUUUUCAAUUGAGGUUCUAUGAAAUGAAAGUAUUAGUAUCUUAAUUGGAAUGGCAUGACAUGGUAAGUUUAAAUGCUAAUAUGAACAACAUUGAAUUGUGAAAAGGGUUAUUUGUAUGCUUCACUAGAUAGUGGAUGCUUUUUGAAUGAAUGAGUGUAUGAAAUAGCUAAAGUUUGAAAUUGAAUUUAUUGUAUGCAUUUGAUUAAUGUUUGGAUUUUAUUAACUUAAAUCAUGAAAAUACCACUGAGCUUUAUCACUCAGCAUAUGGUUUGUUCAUUCCGUGCACAAGUAUAGAUGUUUCUUGAGGUUACGAGAAGUAAUUACAGCAUCCAAGCAGUGACCCUCGACUCAGCAAUGUUUGUAUAGUUCCUUUUGUUUUGGUAUAUGGCACUUGUGUACAAUUUUUAGGUAUUUACGGGUUUUGAUACGUGUAUCUAUUUAUUGUUCCACAUUUGGUUAAUAGGGGCACAUUUCUAAUAACGAUUCAAUAUGGUAAUGAUAGAUAUGGUGUAACACCCCUUACUCAAGUUUUACCAGUAACCGAGCCAUGGAUGCCACAUUUGAGCAUUAAGUCACUUCAAUUUGAAUUUCACUUUAAACACUCCAUUUCAACUAAUAGAUCUUAUUUGAGGUAUUUUUUUUAUUUUUAGGAAUUCCCAACAUUUUGGUCGUGAUUGGAAGUCAAAACGAAUAAAGGUGGUAAGAGAAAUUCAAGUGGUUUGUGUAGAAAUAUAAGCAGGAUACUUGUUGCAACCAUAGUAAAGUCUUGUGGUGACAACAAGAAAAGUAUUGUUACGACAAGGCAACAAAGCUCUCACUAUUUAGAAGAAAUGAAACAGGCCCAUCAUUUUCAUGACAACAAAGUCUUGUUGUGACGGUGCCCCUUAUCGUAACAACAAGAAAAGCUUUGUCACAACAAUGCCCUUAUUAUUUGGGAGAAAUGGAGCAAUACCAUCGUUGACGUGACCACAAGAUUGGAGUUAACAUAAUAAUGCCAUUGCAAAGGCCAAAUUUAAAUCCAAACAUCUCCAAACACAUACCAAUCAUUUCCAUACCUAAACCAAUCAUUUAAGGCCACCAAAACACCUUAAAAUACUAUGUAAUGCAUCAUAUAAUCAACAUAAUUCAACUAAAUCACCAAAUCAUUAAAUAUUUAACUACACAAAAUGCAUUAGUUAGAAUUAAUAUACAUAGACCACAAAAUACCUAUGUACAUGCCAUAAACUAAUACCAAAAGCUUGAUUUCAUACUCUCUUCCACGCCUUAUGGUGUGAUGUGAUGUGAUGUGUUGAGGUCGAAGCAUUGGUCAAGAACUUCAAAAAGAACGUUUACUUACGUGUUAGAAAACAACGCAUUAAGUUACAUUGUAAAUUAGUAAGUACAUCAAGAAUUGAACUUACCUUUACUAUAAUUAAAUUCAAUAUGAUAGUACAUUAAAUAUAAUAAAAUGAAUUAAGAUAAAUAAACACGAAAUGUAUAUUUAACAUUUAUUCUAACCAUAUUUCAAUUAAAGGUUGACUAUCAAUUUCUUUUAUCACUUUGCAUUUAACCUAUUGUAGACUUAAACUAAACAAGCAAGAUAUGCAAAAAUAACACUGAAAUCACUAGCACGAAUGUGCUUUCACUGUAAUUAACCUAAGUGCAAAGUCACUGAAAUGCAUCGAAGUGAACACUGUCACUAUGUAUCGAAGUGCAUUAUCAUUUGUUUUGUACCAAAGUGCCACUACACUAGCACACUCAAGUUUUCCCAAUGGCAUGUCAUUUAUAUACAACUUGUUUACAUCUUGUCUACAUGGACAUUUACUAUGUUGUUAACACUAAAAUCAUUUAUCAAUUAGCAUCAUAUAAAAUUUAAAUUCUUUUCAACUUAGUCCUUAUUAGUACAAAAUUCACUAACCACUAUAAUCUCACUUCAUAUUUAAUUCACUUUCAUGUAACAUUUCACUUGAACAUCUUACCAUGAAAUACUUAACCCACAUAAUGACUUUUAAACUCUUUGCAAUUUAGACCCUUUUACCAUAAUAUCAUUACACUUAACCUAUUCACUUGUAAUUGAAAUUCAAUUCAUAUCACCACUACUCUUUAACCAAUUUCAUAAUAAAUGUUAACUUAUUCAUAUAUAAAUUAAUCAUAUAAUCAUUAAUAUAACAAUUUAAAUAUAAUUUACACUUAGGUUUAAUCAGGUAAAGUAAAAUUCUUGAGGUACUUACCCAACAAAAGCUUGGAUGAAAUUUUUUCCUCCUUUAUUCUUUUGCUACUUAUUUCCCCUUAUUAAGACCUUGAUGUUCAAUUCUCUUCUCUUUCUCUUUAUUUUCAUAUAAAAUAUAUAUACAAAUUUAAUAUCAAAACAAAGAUCACAUAUCAUUUCCACGCACUUUAAUGAAACAAAUGUAAAAUUCAUGAUAAAAUCUCAUUAUUCUUACCUUACUUUCUUACACAAAUCCCUAUCUUAAGUUUUAUCUCCUUUGAGAUAAACAAAGUUGUAACUUUAAAGCAUACAUUUAGUACCUCAACAUAAACAUCGCAUAAAUAGUUUAUCUACAUGCCUAUCGUCCCUUAUUUGACCCUUCAAGGCCCUAAAAACACUUUAGAAAUAAUUCGGGACUAAAUUGGAAUCAUUUCGAAAGUUUAGGGAACAAAUUAGAAACUUUGAACUGUAAGGGUCACAUAGCCGUGUGGCCAGGCCGUGUAAUUGACACGGCUGAGACACACGCCCGUGUCUCAGGCCGUGUAACAUUUGAAAUAGGGACACACGGUCGUGUUCAAGCCCGUGUCUGUGUCCGUGUAACUUUUGAAGUUGGGUCACACGGCCAAGCCACACGCUUGUGUGUCAGGCUGUUUAACUCUCAAAAUGGCCUCACACACCCAUCUUCCAGGCUGUGUGCUAGGCCGUGUAACAGUCUGACUUCAAAUCUUAAAACCUAUAGGGGACACAAGGUCGUGUCGCAUGACCGUGUGUCACACACGGCUGAGUCACAUGCCUAUGUCUCAGGCCAUGUGUCACAUACAGCUGAGUCACACGCCUGUGUCUCAGGCCGUGUGGACAUGAAAUUGGCCAAAAUCAAGUCAUUUCUAUCACCAUUUCAAACUUGUACCUAAACACCAUUUUUGCCCAAAUUCAAAGCACCAAAACCUUACCAAAACAUGCAUAAAAGGACCAAUUCAAUAGACCAUUAAUAUACAACAAAUAUGACAUAAAAGGCACCUCAAUUACAAUCAACCAAACAAACCUAAACAUGUACACUUACCAUAUCUCAACCAUACUUAUAUAAAUCAAUACCACUUCAAAACAUACCAUAGCCAUGAUCAUUAGAACUUCCUUAUAAAAUUACCAUUUGGUCACUCAAGCAUGCAUCAUACCUUAGCCAUAUUAACACAUACCAACAAGGCAUCAAAAGUACCAAAAGUACAUCAACCAAAAAAAAAUAUACAUGCCAAACUUAUCAACUAACAUUCAAACACAAGUCCACCUAUACAUGCCAUUAUAAACUUGGUCAAAACAUCAAUAACUAUUGAUAUAAUCGUUGGAUAGUGUGAUAGAUCUCCGACGAACUUCCAACCCGAUCGAGCUUCCGAUUAUCUAUAAAACAUAGGAAAGAAAACUAUGUGAGCAUAUAAUGAUUAGUAAGUUCGUAAAUCAUGAACUUAAGUUACCAUUUCAAUGCAUAACAUUAACAUUAAGCAUGAUACAAUCCAACCAUAAGCUUGGUGCAAGCCUAAUCAUCAUCAACAACUCAUGUUAGUGCAUCAACUCAUAAUUCACUUGAAUUAACAUAAGGUAAGUCAUUAUACAUGAACAAAUUCAUUUGAAAUCAUCACUUUCAUGAACAUAGGUAUACUUUCAUUGAACAGUUUCUUUUUAAUCCUUUCCAUAGAUUCAUGUCAAAGUUCAUUUGAACAUUUAUCGUUCCUUUCCUUUUCAUACCCGUUAAACCAUUUAGAAUAACAUCGGAUACGCGGGAAAGCUCACACGAAGUGUGCUAAACAUAUAAUUGUAACCUUCCCUUCUCCUUUACAUCGUUGCUCACUCGAGCUAUGAAAUGGGUCUGGUCACACAAGUUGUAGGUCAGAAUGUAAACUACAUGAUAAUGCUCACACAAGUUGUAGAGUAUCUGCAACAAAUGUUGGACCUCAGCUAUCGGUAGGACAUUCAAGACUAGCACCCGCUACAAGGUAACCCUAAUAACAUUUCAUUUGUAUCCUACGUAUUCCUAAGGUUCAAACGGGACUCCAUAAUCGUCGUAACAUCGUUGGAUUUCCACCAUUUAAUUUCAAUGCAAACAAUACAUGAAUAUACAGAUCUAUAUAACAUUAAAAUGUUAUUUAAUCAUACGAACCUACCUCGAUGACAAAGACGUAGAAACGAGAUCAACUAAUCCGAGGCUUUAGCUUUUCCUCGAUCUAGAUCCGUGCGAGGUCUAUCUUGAUCUAAAUAGGAAAAUUCAAUCCAUUUAAUACAUAUACUAUUCAAUUUAGUCCAAAAUUCAUAUUUUUGCAAAAUUACAAUUUUCCUCAUAAUAUUUUAACUUCUUUACAAUUUUGUCCUUAAGCUCGUAAAUUGAAAUUUAAGCAAUUUCAUCCACAUUUCAUGCUAGUCGUAUUCACUAGGGACCUACACCAACCCAUACAAAUCAAAAUUUCACAAUUUUACCAUGGAAUUUUACGACUUUUAUAAAUAAAUCCCUAAAUGACAAUUUCAUCAAAAAUCUCUUUACAAAACUUGUUUAUUUAACAACAAGGACUCAUAAUCUUCAAUCAAACAUCAAAAACCAUACAAGCAUAUUCAUGGAAAAACCUUAAACCCUUAAAUAUUUUGCAAUUUAAUCCUUGGGCUAGCUAGAUUAAGCUACAACGAUCCCGAAAACAUAAAAAUCAUUAAAAACAAAGCUUAAAAACAUACCAUGCAUAGGCUAUUCUUAACCAAAUCCUCCAAGCACCAAAAAUGGUGUUUUUCUUUCUCUUUUUCGGUGGUGAAAGUAACUAAAGAAGAUGAUACAAAUUUUUAUUUAAUUCAAUUUAUAUUAAUAAUUAAAUUACUUAUUUAACCUUGUUUAUUAACAUUAAAAUCACUUAGUUUUAUGUCCAUAAAUGUCCACUAAUAAUAAUAGUGGUCUAAUUACCAUAUAAAUCCCCUUACUUUAAAAUUUCAUAGCUUAUUGAUACCUUUAACUAAGAGAACUCUACUUUUGUACCUUUUACGAUUUAGUCUUUUUUACUUAAUUAAGCAUGCAAACGUCAAAAUUUCUUAACGAAAUUUUUAUACGACCCUACUAAAAUACUGUAGACAUUAAAAUAAUAAAAUAAUAAUUUAAUCAUCGGGUUUGUGGUCCCAAAACCACUGUUCUAAUUUCACUAAAAAUGGAUUGUUACAACUCUCCCCCUUAAAGAAAUUUUCGUCCCCAAAAAUCUUACGAAAAAAAAGGUUCGGGCAUUGCACUUUCAUAGCUUCUUCUGGUUCCCUGGUAGCCUCCUCUAUUCUGUGACAUUUCCAAAGAACUUUCACUAAAGUUAUGCUUUUAUUUCUCAAUUCUUUAACCUUUCGAGCUAGAAUUCUGAUUAGUUCUUCACUGUACGUCAUAUCUGGUUGAAUCUCAACAUCAAUAGGUGAAAUCACGUGUGAAGGAUCUGAUCAAUACCGUCGUAACAUAGACACAUGAAAUACAUUCUGAAUCAUUUCUAACUCUGACGGCAAGGCUAAUCUGUAAGCUAUCGGCCCAAUUCUCUCAAUGAUCUCAUACGGCCCGAUAAACCUCAGACUAAGCUUUCCUUUCCGACCAAAAUGAAGAACUUUCUUCCAGGGCAAUACUUUCAAAAACACUUAAUCAUCUACUUGAAAUUCGAUGUCUUUUCUUUUCACAUUCGUAUAGGAUUUUUAUCGAUCCGAAGCUGCUUUCAAAUGAUCUCGUAUUACUUUAACCUUUUCUUCGGUUUCUCGCAUCAAACUGUCCAGUAUAACGGAGUUCGACAGUUUCGACCAUACAAAGCCUCAUAUGGUGUCAUUUUAAUGCUCAAUUGAUAACUGUUGUUGUAUGCAAAUUCAUUUAACGAUAGAAAUCUCUCACAGUUACCUUCGAACUCCAAAACACAACAUCUAUGUAUAUCCUCGAGUAUCUGAAUCACUCGUUCAGAUUGAUCGUCGAUCUGAGGAUGAAAUGCAGUACUAAAAUGCAAUCGAGUACCUAAAGCUUCGUGUAACUUCCUCCAAAAUCGAGACAUAAACUGCGAAUCUCUAUUAGAAAUAAUAGAAACUGGCGCACCAUUCAAUCUAACGAUCUCAGCCACAUACAACUCUACUAAUCUCUCGAGUGAAAAAUCUGUAUGCACUGGAAUAAAAUGUGUCGAAUUCGUCAAACGAUCAACAAUGACUCAUACAGAAUCUUUCUUUCUUAGAGAUAGAGGCAAUCUCGAUACAAAAUCCAUCGUGACACAUUCUCAUUUCGACUCUCGAAUCAUCACUGGUUGUAACAAACCAGAAGUUACCUGAUGCCCGACUUUAACUUGCUGACAAGCUAAACAUCUCGAUACGAACUCUGAAAUCCCUCGUUUCAUACCUGGCCACCAGUACAUUUGUUUCAAAUCAUUGUACAUUUUAUUGCUACCAGAGUGAAUAGACAAGCUACUAUUGUGAGUAUCCUGUAAUAUCUUCUGAACAAGGUCAAAAUUUCUUGGUACACAAAUUCUUCCUUUGAAAUACAAACUAUCAUCGGAACCAACAUGAAAAUCUGAAUCAAGAAUCAUCCCAAUCUAUUUCCAUUUAGCUACCAAUACAUCAUCACAUUUUCAAGCUUCACAAAUUUGUUGCAAAAACGUCGGUCUACCUUUUAAUUUAGCUAAAAUUGAACCAUCAUCAAUCAAUGUUAAUCGCGUGUUCAAUGCUCGUAAAUCGAAGAGAGACUUUCUACUCAAAGCAUCAGCAACAACAUUAGCCUUUCCCGGAUGAUAAUCAAAGAUCAAGUAAUAAUCUUUCAAUAACUCGAGCCAUCUGCGCUAUCUCAAAUUCAAAUCUUUCUGUGACAUUAAAUACUUCAAAAAAUUUUUAUCCAUGAAAAUAUGACAUUUUUCUCCAUACAAACGGUGUCGCCAAAUAUUCAAAGCAAACCCAAUAGCUGUAAGCUAUAAAUCAUGUAUCAGAUAAUUCUUUUUGUGUGGUUUCAACUGUCUAGAAGCAUAUGCUAUCACUUUGCCCUCUUGCAUCAAAACAUAGCCCAAACCUUUCAAUGAAGCAUCACUAUAAAUCAAAAAUUCUUUACCAGACUCUACUUCAACUAACACAGGUGCCUUGGUUAAUAAUGCUUUCAACUAAUUAAAGCUUUGCUGACAUUUCUCGGACCACUCGAAUUUAAAUUUUUUUUUGCAAUAAUCUCAUCAAUGGUGUAGCAAUCAUCGAGAAUUCCUUGAUGUAUCUUCUGUAAUAUCCAGUUAAACCUAGAAAACUUCUGACCUCAGAUACAUUUCUUAGAGGUUUUCAAUCUACCACAGCUGAAAUUUUACUCGGAUCAACUCUAAUGCCAUCAAUCGAUACCACAUGUCCCAGAAAUCCAAUAUCUCGAAGCCAGAACUCACAUUUGCUAAACUUAGCAAAUAAUUGUUUUUCGCGUAAAGUUUGCAAAACAAUUCUCAAAUGUUGGGCAUGCUCAGUCUCAUCUCGUGAAUAGAUCAGAAUAUCAUCAAUAAACACAGUAAAAAAUCUAUCUAAAUACGGUCUGAAUAUUCUGUUCAUCAAGUCCAUAAAUACAACAGAUGCAUUAGUCAAACCAAAUGGCAUCACAGGAAACUCAUAAUGUCCGUACCUGGUCUUGAACGCGAUUUUUGGCACAUCUGAGUUUUUAACUCGCCACUAAUAAUAACCAAAACGAAGAUCAAUCUUUGAGAAUAUCGUCACAUCUUUCAACUGAUCAAACAUAUCGUCAAUACGUGGCAAGGGAUACUUAUUCUUGACCGUGACUUUGUUGAGCUAAUGAUAAUCAAUACAUAAUCGCAUGGAUCCAUCUUUUUUCUUAAUAAACAACACAGGAGCACCCCAAGGAGAAAAGCUGGGUCGAGUACAACCCCUAUCUGUCAACUCUUGCAACUAUGCUUUUAACUCUUCUAUCUCUGUAGAUGUCAUUCUAUAAUGAGCUAUCGAUAUCGCAGGUGUUCCUGGCAUUAAUUCAAUAGUAAACUCAACAUUUCUAAUCGGUGGUAACCCAGGUAAUUCCUCUGGAAACACGUCUGUACACUCACAUACCACUAGAACCGAUUCUAGCUUUAACUUAGAAACAAUAGAAUCAAAUAUAUAAGCAAGAUAUGCUUCAUAUCCUUUCCUAACAUAUUUCUGUGCCAACAUAGUCGAAGUAACAUUAGAUACACCAUCCAGUCUAUCUGACUCAAUUCGAAGUUUUUCACCGUCCUAGCUUUUCAACACAAUAUGCUUUCGUCUACAAUUCACAGCAACAUCAUGUAAAGUUAACCACUCCAUACCUAGAAUCACGUCAAACUCAUCAAAAGGUAGUAACAUCAAAUUAACCGAAAAGUUGCAACCCCAAAUCAUCAAAGGACAGCUUUUACAAACUUUAUCAACUAACACAUUGUAACACCCCAAACCCAGCCUAGACGUUAUGGCCAUAUUUGGCAAUGUCACACGAUAGUGUUUUUGAAACCUCGUUGUUACGAUGAAAACAUUCCAUGUAAUUAUCUUUAGUAAACCUUUGUUAGAACUUAGGAAGUCGUCUUUCUUCAUUUAAAACAUUUGUUUUGAAACAUCUCUCAUUACGGAAGCUUUACUAAAACAGUCUAAGUGAUCAUGCAUUUAGAAAAUACUUUAACUUUUUGAAAAUCGAAUUUCCUACGACCAGUAGGUAUAAAUCCAUAAAGUAAAAAUAAAUAAAUAAAAACCCAAAUUUAAAACCAAAGUCCUAGAGGGUCCUUAAAUUAUGACCCAAAUAAUCAAUAAUAAUCAAAUAAUAAAUCGUAAAUUGAAAACCAUAAUGUCCAAAAAUUACUGUGGUCACCGCUGAGUCCUUCGUCGCGCCGAUCUAUCUAAGUCUGGGGAUUACAUGUACACAUUAAACAAAAAGGGUGAGUUUACGUAAACUCAGUUUGUAAUCCCGCAGAAACAAACAAACAAUCAGUAUUCACAGUGCACAGUUGAACAGUCUUAGGCCUAAGCUCUAUUUAGUAUAAGUGACAGUUUGGGCCUUAGCCCAUCUCAGUACAGUGUCAAAAAUGCAGUAGGGCCUUAGCCCACCACAGUAUCAGUAGCAGUAACAGUCAUGCAGUAGCAAAAUCCUACCCAACCAGCCUCUACACACCAUUUCUGUCUAACCCUACACUCCAUGUGGGGAUAUAAUCAACCCACCUAACCCUACACUCCAAGUAGUACCGAAUGCGGCACAAAACAGUAGUUUGCAGCUGAGCUGCCAGUAAAUUAGGCUUAAAUCCUUUCAGUACACUUCCUCUGAAUAACAACCCCCAACCCAAUGCAAUGCAACAUACCAUGGAUGAUAUGUUAUUAUGCAAUUUUAGUACAUAUAUUCAGUUCAGAUAUUAACAUGCUCAGUACAGAUAUCAUUCAGUCAAUUCCACACAUUUAGGGGUCUAAGUAGCGCUUACCGACCUUACAGUAGGUUGACAGUCGACUUAGGCGACCCGUGCAAUCUUAGAAACAUUUCGGUAAAAAUGGGCCCACACGCCUAUGUGGCCCACUUGGCCCAAAUUAUCCUUGGCCGUGUGAUCCAUUUUUAAUGCAACUCAUGUUAGCUAAAUAUUCAUAUAUGCUUUCACUAUUUACUUAUAUGUUCAUUCAAAGCUGUCUACUUGAGUCAUUGUCACUAAAUUAUUUAUAUCUUGAGCUAUAGAAUUCCAAAUUAAGAUUCGCUUGAUGUUUUUUUAACUAGACUCAAAUACCUUUCUACCAUAAAAUUUUCAGAAUUUAUUGCUUAUCAAAUAAUUACAGUAAAAUCUUCAAUGUUAUCCCUAUUCUGCUAUUUGACAGCUUCAACCUUUCCUUACUAAAAAUUAUUUAUCUCUUAGUAUGAAAUUUUGAUGAUGUUUCCGUUUGUUUCCCUUGAAAAUAAACUCAUUAAGGAUUUAAACGUUUAAAUUUAAGCCCCUAAUUUUUUUUAUAAUUUUUGAUGAUUUUCCAAAGUCAAAACAGAUGAACCCAAAAUCUUUCUGACCUUGUCUCACAAACUUUAUUAUAUCUCAUAAUUUAUAAUUCUAUUGCUUACAUUGUUUCUUCCAUGAAAAACUAGACUCAAUAAACUGUAAUUUCAUAUUUUAUUCAAACUCUAACUAUAUUUCCACUAUUUUUGAUGAUUUUUCAAAGUUAGACAACUUCUGCUGUCCAAAACUAUUUUAGUGCAAAAUGAUGAUUUCCAAGUUAAUAACACCCUUAUUUCCUUUCUCUACAAUUUUUUUCACAUCAUUUUCUCUUAUUUCUCUUAUUACUCGACAGCAAGCAAUUUUGGCUUUUCACUGAAUCCUAUUUUUUGUGUUUCAGAUACACACCUAGUAUCGUUUCUGAUGCGUAAGCACUCCUAAGCCAUCAGAACCUAAAAAUCGACCAACAUAUCUCUAGAUUAAUCACUUAAUUCAUUCUUAAUCAACCAAUUUUGGAAGGAACUCGACUAAAAACCUAACAAAACCCUUACCUCGCUUGAGUAACCAUGACUUCGCAUAAUCACAGCAUCGAUUCAAAACCACCAGCCCCUUGAUUAACUCCUAAACACCAAAAAGGAAUCCCCCUUUUAGAGAUUAAGCAAGAACGAUUAACAAUAGACAAAAUCGUUACUUACCGAACACGCGCAACCAAUGAUGAACAACCGAAUCAAUUGGAAAAAGAGAAAGAAAUGGAAGAGGAAAAAACGAAUGGAAAUUUCGGCAGCAACUAGGGGAAAGAAUCGGUAGAGGAGAGAAAAAGGAAGAAGAAGAAAAUGUCAGAAAAAGUUUAGGGAAUUGGAGAGAAAACUGAAAUUCUAUUUUUUUUUUACAACAGAAAGAUAAUCAGAUUAUUUUCUGAUAACCUCUCCCCAAUUAUCUCCUAAAAUCACUCCCUAUUAACCUACUAAAACACAACUACUAAGAAUUUAGUCCCAACACAACUCUUUGCCGAAAUUGGAGCAAAAAUACUGUCUCCAUGCCAUCACAGAGAAUUGAACACAGGACCUCCAACACUCCACUUAACCACCAGACCAACAGGCCCAUUUUGAUAUAAACUUACCAACAAUUAAACUGAAGCCCUUUGCACAAGGUUAAGGCUUUAUUUAUAAAAAUACCAAAAUCUACCCAAGUAAGGCUUGAACUUGGGACCUCUCACACACACACAGAACACUUAACCACUGAAGUUGACAAAUAUUUGUGUCAUAUUUUCACAAUAACAAAAUUAGAAAUUUUGGGGCGUUACACACAUACUGACCUAGGCAAUUUCUUAUCUGACACUAAAGUCGUACAUACAAAUAAAUAUGUUGACCUCGGGUCAAUCAAAGUAGUAACAUCCGUACUAAAGAUAGAAAAUGUACCAGAGAUAACAUCUGGCACUGAAGCUUCCUCUCUAGCACGGAUCCCAUAAGCUCUAGCCAGUGCUCGUUCCUCAGAUCUUACACCAAAGUCCUUUGUCCCACUACGACAAUUGCCUGCAUUUCCAGUGUUCCAUGGUGGUUUACCUCUCGCAGUAGUGUUACUCGGUCGAGUAGUCUGAGCCUUUUCUUUUUUGGACCUUUCUGGGCAAUCUCUAAUAUAAUGUUCAUACGAACCACAUUUAAAACAUGCCCCAUCUUUCAUUCUGCAAUCACUGAAGUGUUUUCGACCACAUUGUUGACAUUUGGGCUUGUUGCUUUUAACACUGCUCAUGCUUUCUACAGAAGUAGCCUGAGGUUUCGAGCUUGCAUGUUGUUUUCCUCUAUCUUUACCUAAAUAACCAACUGAAGCUAACGAACGACCAUGAUGUUCUUUCGACUUCUUCGAUGGUGAUUGGUAUGACUUUUCUGCUGAUCUCUUUCCUGAAUCACAAGCCUCAUAAUUGGAUUUUCUCUUUAUUUUACUCAGUUCUUUGACUUUGUGAGCUUUGUUAACCAGAACUACAAUUUUUUUUCAAUUCAAGGAUCCCGACUAAUAGCUUGAUGUCUUCAAUUAACCCGUUUUCAAACCGUUUGCACAUAGCAACCUCUGUUGGUAUACAUUGUCAGGCAUAUUUACUAAGUCGAACAAACUCUCUUUCAUAUUCAGAUAAUAUCAUCUGGCCCUAUUUCAACUUAGGAAACUCUUUACAUUUUUUAUCAAGAAAUCUCUGACUCACAUUUUUUUUUCAGAUCUCAGUCUGAAAGAAUUCCAGUCUAUUUAUUCUCUCGGCACAAUCGAAACUAAGGUAUUCCACCACUGAUAAGCCGAAUCUUUCAAUAAUGAAAUAGCACAUUUUACGCAUCCUGUCGGUGUACAUGAUAAUUCAUUAAAAACUCUUAUUGUAUUUUCUAACUAGAAUUCAGCUCUUUCAGGAUCAUUUUCGGAUGUAUCUUUAAAUGCUUCAGCCCCAUAUUUACAGAUUUUAUCGACUAGAGGCUUGCUCACUCGUACUGGUUCCAAACCUUGAGGAACUACGGGGACCGGUUGGGAAACAGGUGUGGUGGAGGUCGUUGAGCCAUUGGGUUCGUUCGUACGAACUCGGUGAACCAUUCAUUCAUCAUUUGGACGAAGGCUUCAUUAGCCUCUCCUCUCUAGCCCUCAGAUACGAGCGUACUUCCACUAGAUGUUGCUCCAUGAAUGGAGGCUUGCGCAUUACUUUCAACCUCAUCCGAAUCGGGUCGGUUGGAUGACAUUAUAUCUAUAUGAAAACAUAGUUCAAAUCGAGUCAGGAGUUAUCACACUAUCACAGGUUAUAUAAUGGCAUGUACUUCUAGACUCGUACAUGCUACGUUCAGUUUGAGAACCGACUAAACCAUCGCUCUAGUACCACUAAAUGUAACACCCCUAACCCAUAUCCAUCGUCAAAAUAAGGUUAUAAAGUAUUAUUGUAAAAUUGUAACUUUAAAAAAUACAUUUAGUACCUCAACAUAAACAUGGCAUAAAUAGUUCACCUACAUGCAUAUCAUCCCUUAAUCGACCCUUCGAGACCUUAAAAACACUUUAGAAAUAAUUCAGGACUAAACUAGAAUCAUUCGGAAAGUUAAGGAAAAAAAUUAAAAAAUUUGAACUGCAUGGGUCACACAGCUAUGUGGUAAGGCCGUGGACUCACACGGCUGAGACACACGCCCGUAUCUCAGGCCAUGUAACAUUUGAAAUAGGGACACACAGUCGUGUUCAAGCCCGUGUCCGUGCUCAGGUAACUUUUGAAGGUGGGUCACACGGCCAAGCCACACGCCUAAGUGCCAGGCUGUGUAACUCUCAAAAUGGCCUCACACGCCCAUGUGUCAAGCCGUGUAAUAGCCUGAUUUGCAAAUCUAAAAACCUAUAAAGGACACAUAGCCAUGUGUCACACACGGCUGAGUCACACGCCCGUGUCUGAGGCUGUGUGGACAUGAAAUUGGUCAAAAUCAAGUCAUUUCUAUCACCAUUUCAAACUUGUACCUAAACACCAUUUGUUCCCAAAUUCAAAGCACCAAAACCUUACCAAAACACACAUAAAAGGACCAAUUAAAUAGACCAUUAAUAUACAACCAAUAUGCCAUACAAGGCACCUCAAAUACAAUCAAUUAAACAUACCUAAACAUGUACACUUACGAUAACUCAACCAUACUUAUAUAAAUCAAUACCACUUCCAAACAUACCAUAGUCAUGAUGAUUAGAACUUCUUUAUAAACAAACCAUUUAAUCACUCAAGCAUGCAUCAUAUCUUAGCCAUAUUAACACAUACCAACAAGGCAUCAAAAGUACAAAAAAUACAUCAACCAAAAUAACAUAUACAUGUCAAACUUAUCAACUAACAUUCAAACACAAGUCCACCUAUACAUGUCAUUAUAAACUUGGCCAAAUCAUCAAUAACUACCGAUAUAAUUGCUGGAUAGUGUGAUAGAUCUUCGACAAACUUCCAAUCCGAUCGAGCUUCCGAUUAUCUAUAAAAUAUAGGAAAAAAAACUACGUAAGCAUAUAAUGCUUAGUAAGUUUGUAAAUCAUGAACAUAACUUACCAUUUCAAUGCAUAACAUUAAAAUUAAGCAUGACACAAUCCAACCAUAAGUUUGGCACAAGCCUAAGCAUCAUCAACAACACAUGUUAGUGCAUCAACUCAUAAUUCACUUGAAUUAUCAUAAGGUAAGUCAUUAUACAUGAACAACUUCAUUUCAAAUCAUUAUUUUUAUGAACAUAAGUAUACUUUCAUUGAACAUUUCCUUCUUAAUCCUUUCCAUAGAUUUAUGUCAAAGUUCAUUUGAACACUUAUCAUUCAUUUCCUUUUCAUGCUCGUUGAACCAUUUAGAAUAACAUCGGAUGUGCAGGAAAGCUCACACGAAGUGUGCUAAACUUAUAAUUGUAACAUUUCAUUUUCUUUUACAUCGUUGCUCACAUGAGCUGUGAAAUAGGUUUGCUCACACAAGCUAUAGGUCGGAAUGUAAGCUACACGAUGUUGCUCAAAUAAGCUGUAGAGUAUCCGCAACAAAUAUAAGACCUCCGCCAUCGGUAGGAUAUUCAAGACCAGCACCCGAAACAUGGUAACCCUAAUGGCAUGUCAUUUGUAUCAUACGUAUUCCUAAGGUUCAAACGAGACUUGAUAAUCGUCGUAACAUCAUUAGAUUUCCACCAUUUAAUUUCAUGGCAAGUAAUACAUGAAUAUAUAGAUCAAUAUAAAAUAAAAAAAUUAUUUAAUCAUACGAACUUACCUUAAUGACAAAGACGUAAAACCGAGAUCAACUUCUUGAUCUAAAUAGGAAAAUUCAAUCCAUUUAAUACUUAUACUAUUCAAUUCAGUCCAAAUUUUAUAUUUUUGCAAAAUUAAAAUUUUGUGCCUAAUAUUUUAACUUCUUUACAAUUUAGUCCUUAAGCUCGUAUUUCAUCCGUAUUUCAUGCUAGCCAAAUUCACUAGGGACCUACACUAACCCAUACAAAUCAGCAUUUCACAAUUUUACCAUGGAAUUUUACUACUUUUAUAAAUGAGCCCCUAAAUGACAAUUUCAUCCGUAUUUCAUGCUAGCCAAAUUCACUAGGGACCUACACUAACCCAUACAAAUCAACAUUUCACAAUUUUACCAUGGAAUUUUACUACUUUUAUAAAUAAGUCCCUAAAUGACAAUUUCAUCAAAAAUUCCUUUACGAAACUUGUUUAUUUAACAAUAAGGACUCCUAAUCUUCCAUCAAACAUCAAAAACCAUAUAAGAAUAUUCAUGGAAAAACCCUAAACAUUUUCCAAUUUAAUCUUUGGGCUAGCUAGAUUAAGCUACAACGAUCCCAAAGACAUAAAAAUCAUUAAAAACAAAGCUUAAAAACAUACCAUGCAUAGGUUGUUCUUAACCGAAUCCUCCAAGCACCAAAAAUGGUGUUUUUCUUUCCCUUUUUCGGUGGUGAAAGUCACUAAAGAAGAUGAUACAAAGUUUUACUUAAUUUAAUUUAUCUUAAUAAUUAAAUUACUUAUUUAACCUUAUCUAUUAACAUUAAAAUCACUUAGUUUUAUGUCCAUAAAUGUCCACUAAUAAUAAUGGUCUAAUUAUCAUAUAAAUCCCCUUACUUUAAAAUUCAUAGCUUAUUGAUACCUUUAACUAAGAGAACUCUAUUUUUUCACAUUUUAUGAUUUAGUCCUUUUUACUUAAUUAAGUAUGCAAACGUCAAAAUUUCUUAACGAAAUUUUUAUACGACCCUACUAACAUACCAUAGACAUUAAAAUAAUAAUAAAACAAUAAUUUACUCAUCAGGUUUGUGGUCAUGAAACUACUAUUCUGAUUUCACUAAAAAUGAGUUAUUACACAAAGUUUCUCACCACUUGAAUCUAAGCUUUCUAGGAUGUUAAUCUCUUUGUUUCACUAAAAAUCUCUAAUAAAAUUUGAUGGUUUAAAGCCUAAUCUUGUUGAUUAUGGUGGAAAAGGACUAUAAUGUAAUAAAAUAAACAGUUUCUUUUAUGAACAGUAGAAGAUGGCGUGAGAAUAGAUGAAGAUGAAUGAAAAUUUCACAUAUUUCUAUCUAAAUGUCUUAUUAAUUUUAAUCAAUAAAAAAUUAAAAUAUAAUAUAAUAAUCUAAUUAUCAUCGUUUUAAAUUUUAUAGCCAUAAUUCAUUCUCAAUUUCCAACACAAUCUCCUAUUUCACUAACAAUUAUUACAUAUUUAUCAUAAUUAUCUAUUUAUGGAGUGACCAUUUUGCCUUUGAAUUUUCUCUACAAUUUCAUCUUUGAUUCAUGGCACUCUCUUGGUAUAAUUACAUUUCUAAUCCUUCCUCUUUUUCCCUUCAAAUAAUUUAAUUUUUACUUUUAAUUUUUCACACUUUUGCCCUAACACUUUUCAUACUCUUACAAUUUAUUCUAUACCUCGGAUUUAUUUCUCUAAACACACGAGUCUUUUUAAUUCCCUCCGAUCUCCAAUUACCUUAUUUACUAACACUAAUAAUUCCUAUUUUAUUUACUUCGAAAAUUCUAACUCAUUUAUUCUCGAAUUGGCACUAUUCACAACUCAAGGGGUUUCAAGGAUGUUACAAAUGGAUUAGAUUUCUUGAUGAUCAUUAUACAUUGAAAUAUGUUAUGCAAUGUUUUGAGGCAAUGCCCAAACAUGGUUUGAUAUGUUAAGUGCUUUAAAUUGUGUUGUAGGAAAUGUUGGAAAAAAUGGAUUUUUUGGAAGCUUUGAGGCAUAUUCUCGAUUAGUAAAUGUGGAGAUUUGAAUCAUAAAAUUAUGGUUUUAAAUUCUACUCCAUGAGACCUUUACAACGGUAUAUCAUAUACUCAAAAUGGUUGAGUGAUGAAUGAGAAAUUGAUACUCAAAGUACGCCUCUUAGGAAUUAUGUUGAGGAAAAUGGAAAGCUUAGUCUUACAUUGGUUAAAUAUCAAGUGUGGAAUAUAUUUAUAUAUGUGAACCAACUUGGUGGUUAUUGAAUGACUAAACUAAUAUUCAUACUUGCAUGCAGAGCGGUGCAAAUCCAAACUCGUCGAGGUUAGGGGCGCACCUGUACAACAUAGGCAAUGCAAAAUGUUUGAACCAGUCAGGCCUUCUAAGCCUAUGCAUAUUUUAGCCCAAUACAUAAUCUUAUUUUUUUUCCUCAGCAAAGCUUAUCUGUCUGGAAUUAAAAGGAGUUAAAGGCUUUUUUAAUUCAAUCGUUAAUUUAGGUUUAAAUGGCUUCUUAAUUCACGGACACGUUUUUGGCUCCAUUAGUCAAAGAUUUCCAAAAGUUUUUUGUUUGAAUUUAUUUAAAACCAAAUAAUCUACAAGAACAGAGAUACAUUGAAAUUUUCCAAAAUUCCAAGAGAUCUUUUCCUUGCAUAUUUUUUUCUGAAUUAUUUUCGAUGAUAGACAAAGGCAAGGCUAAUGUUCGUUGAUCACUACAAUCGUGCUACUGUCGUGCUCAUCUUGUUGUUGUAUCCUGGGAGACAAUCGACCAAUGUUUCUCUGACACCAUACGAGCGGUCGAAUCUGUCUUAAGAAAACUGUGAAAACAAGCCUCAACUACCAAUCCGGUUUUGCUACCUACCUACGAGUAUAAUAUUUCAAUUCAGUCUUUAUUUUUAUUCUUUUCUGAUUAUAUAAAUAUAUGUAUAUUUAUAUUAUUUUUGUUCGAUAUUGUGAUUUAAAUAUAUAUUCUACAUUAAUGUUUAUUUUACUAACGUAUGUGCAACAAUUUUAAGACAAAUCCUUUAAAUCUUUCUAAUCCGAGACAAGCAGGACACCAACGAGAGAUUGUAUUAUGUUUCAAACAAAAAUUCAAUUGAACAAUCCUAUUUUAGGAUUUAUUCCUACCAUUUUAACAGGAUUUGUUUAAUUUUUGUUUCAAACAGAAAAUAAAUUGAACAAUCAUGUUUCAAGAUUUUAUUCUUGCCAUUUAACAGGAUUUGUUUGAUUUUUGUUUCAAACAAAAAACAAUUGAACAAUUUUGUUUCAGGAUUUUAUUCCUGUUGCUUAAUAGGAUUUGUUCAAUUUUUUUUGUUUCAAACAGAAAUCAAUUGAAUAAUAUUGUUUCAGGAUUCUUUUCCUAUUGCUCAACAGAAUUUCUUUGAUUUCUAUUGUUAACAAAAUUUAUUUGAUUUCUGUUGUUACCAAAAAUUGAUUAUUGAUUUUUAUUUCAGAAUUUUAAAUUCUGUCGUUUAACAAAAUCAAAGGGUAGUAUAAACUGAAAAUUAAAUUUUUUGUUUACUAAUUCUGGUUCCGUUUCUGAAAUCUUACCAAAAAAAAUGGAAACUUCCACCAAUUCGCAAUCUGGAGCGUUGAUUCCAACUCAGGCUUCGAAUCAAAACUCAAUGUUUUUGGUGGCUAUAAACCAUAACGAGAAGUCUGUGAAAUUCUAUAGAUAGAAUUUCAAGACAUGGCAACAGAGGAUGUUGUUCUAUUUGACCAUGUUGAACUUGGCCAAAAUUUUGAAGGAUGACCCUCCUACUAUUAAAGAGGGUGAAGUAGAUGACGUUACCACCUUCACUGCUGUUAAAGCUUGGGAGCAUUCUGAUUUCAUGUGCCGAAAUUAUAUCCUGAAUAGGUUGCCGAUUGCAUUUUACGAAGUAUACAGUGUCAAGAAGACAGCUAAGGAAUUAUGGACGUCAUUGGACCAUAAAUACAAAACCAAAAAUGCUGGAGCUAAAAAGUUUUUAGUUGCAAAUUUCUUGAAUUUUGUAAUGGAUGAUUCUAAACUAGUUGUGAAUCAAAUUCAGGAACUUUAACUAAUCAUACACAGAAUUCUUGCUGAAGGGAUGGUCAUAAGUGAAUCCUUCAAUGUGGCAGCCAUUAUUGAGAAGCUACCCCCUGCUUGGAAUGACUUCAAGAACUAACUAAAGCACAAAAGAAACAAAAUGUUAAUGGAAGACUUGAUUGUCAGACUUCAGAUUGAAGAAUACAAUAGAGAUGCUGGCAACAACCUUAACAAAGUAGCAAAUGUCAAUUGUGCUAAGGCAAAUGUGGUAGAAGUAAAAAAGGACUUCAAGAAGGGAAAAUGACAUUAGAAUGGGUCUAUAUUGGGACCAAAAAUUGGCGUUUCCAAGAAGCAAAAGUUUUAAGGGAAAUGCUUCAAUUGCAACAAGAUGGGGCACAAGUCAUCUGACUAUAGGCUUCCAAAGAAAGUUAGAAAUAAUGAGGCCAAUGAUGUGGAAGAAAUUUCCAAUGAAGUGUCUAAUAUAGAUUUAUGUGUUGUAAUUUCUGAAGUCAACAUGGUUGACUCAAAUCUAAGAGAAUGGUGGCUUGAUACUGGUGUCACACGUCAAAUCUGCUACAACAAAGACUCAUUUUUUGAGUUGGUGCCUUGUGACAAAGGGGAGAAGCUCUAUAUGGGCAAUGUUGUGACUUCCAAGAUCAAGGGGAAGGGUAUUGUGGUCUUGAAGAUGACUUCUAGCAAAGAACUCAAGCUUUAAAAUGUGUUGUAUGUGCCUGACAUACGCAAGAACCUUAUUUUUGGGACACUCCUCAGUGUACAUGGUUUUAGGAUGAAGUUUGAAUCCCAAAAGCUAGUUUUGUCUAAAGGGAGAAUGUUUGUGGGAAAGGGAUAUGUAUUAAAUGACAUAUGGAAACUUAAUGCAAUCUCUGUAAAAGAAAAGACAAUGAAUAAAAAUGUUGCUUCUUCUUCUGUUUAUAUGCUUGAGUCAUUUAAUUUAUGGCAUGGUAGGCUCGGACAUGUUAGUUAUGAUCUUUUACGUAGAUUUAUUAAUUUAGAGCACAUUUCUUCAUUUCACAUUAAUUAUAAACAUAAAUUUGAAACUUGUGUUGAGGCAAAAUUAACAAGGUCUUCAUUUCAAACUGUUAAAAGAAAUACAGAACCACUUGAUCUAAUACAUAGCAAUGUUUGUGAACUAUAGUGAAAUAACCACAGAUACUCGAGAUAGAGUUACUUACACGAGUUGUGAAUAUAAUGCUCAUACAAGCUGUGAACAUGGGCCUGCUCAGAUGAUCUGUGGGUCGGGAUGAUAACUUUACUCGAUACUGUUCACACGAGCUGUUAAGGAUCAGCAACACAUGUUGGACCUUAGCCAUCGGUAAAACAUCCAAGACCAGCACCCUAUACCUUAUAUACCCUAAUGAUAUGUCAUUUGUAUCCUAGUUGUUCACUAAGUUCAUACGAGCCUCAUUUCAUAUCCAUACCAGCCUUUCCUUUGAACAUCAACAUAUUCACAUGAACCCACUGUAUCCAUUUCCUUUUUUAAUCAUAAAUAUCAAUUCUGUUAUACUUCACAGUAUAGUCCAUCCAAUAUUCAAAAUUAUUAUACUAUAGAUAUUCAACUACAAGUUAUAUAUACAUUCCAAAUCACAAAGGCAAUUUAUAAAUCAGCUUAAGCGUUACAAGAACUUACCUAAUAAAAAACGACAGCAAACACGACACCAAACACUAUUAAGCAUUUUUUCUUUUUCAGUGUUUAUCUGCCGAUUGAUCCGUUUCUUGAUCUAUACAAUAGUUUAAUUCAAUUAUCAACUUCAAGUACUUAUAAAGUAUAAAUAUAUGCAUAUGACUCUUUAUUUAACAUUUUACAGUAUUUUCCUAAACUUUUACAUUUUAUUCAAUUUAAUCUUUAAAAUCAAAACCUUUAUAACUUUAACAUUUAAACCCCAAAUUUCAAUCUGAUUAUAAUAUUAUACUUUAACAACUCUCAAGUACCUAUUUUUACCAAAAAUUCAUGCUAGUUUCAUCAUAUUUUCAUUUUAGUCCCUAAACUCAAAAAUAACAAUUUCUACUUUACAAAAUAACCCAAUUCCAUAACAAAGCUUCAAACCCUAUCAAUUAAAAUCUAAAAAGCUUCCGACACAACAAUGGUAAAUUUUAAAUUUUAUAACAAUUUUGAAAACGGAGGUACGAUUUAACUAAAUCGAGUUACAACGAUCUCAAAAACAUAAAAUUUACGAAAAUCGAGCUUGAAUUUCAUACCUUGCAAUGGCCGAGUGCUUCUUGAAGCUUAACAAUGGCUUCUCCUUCUUUAACUUAGUGUUUUCGAUGGUGAAAGACCAAAUGAAAAGAUGAUGGUGUUUUUGUUUCAUUUUUUUAUUAUAUUAUUAACAUAUAUUUUUAACUUAUACUUUAAUAAUUUCAUCACUAACCGUCCAAAAACUAAAUAAAAUGGUUUAAUUACCAUUUAAACACCUGAACCAUUCCUAUUUAAACCUUAUAGCUAAUAAAAUUCAAAAAUAAUUAACUUUUAUGAUUUUUUACGAUUUAGUCCUUAUACCCUAAUUAAGCAUUCAACCAACCAAAUUACCAGAUCGAAAUCUAAUGUAAUGUUAUAAUAGACUUGUAAAUAUUAAUAAAUAAUAUUUACUGGCUCGAUUAUCGAAAAACGUGAUUCUAAAACCACUGUUUUUGGUACUACGGAAAAUAGGUUGUUACAUGAAUGAUCUUCUCUGUUACUCUCAAAUUUUCAAAUACUUAGAGAGUGAGCUCCAACUCAAAGAAUCGAACACCGAACAAGAAACAAAGACUUCCGAAGAGAGAGAACUUGACUUUCUCUGAGGGGUAGCCAAAAUUAAAAUUCACGCCUCCAAAUUUAAAUUAUAAUUGUUAAAAAGAAUGCAAUCAUAAUCUCAUAAAUUUAGAACAAGAAAAACUCAAGAAAAAUAGAAUUUAUUUGAGUUCAAGAAAAAUUAAAUCAACUAAAUGUUCUCUAAAAUUCAACAGAGUUUCCCCUUAAUUUACAUGUAAAUUUUUGCACCCCUAGUACAUAUACAGAGAGAAAAAUUAAAAGAGUUAUACUUAAUUUGGAAGAAGCAUAAAAAUAAUAUUUUAAUAGAAAAUUGAAAUAUAAGCUCAAGUCAACAGCACAAAGGAGUCCUUUAUGUGUUAUGGCACUUACCCCUUAGUGGGCUCCUCGAGCCUUUCAUGUAUUAAGUCUAAUUAUGUGUGCAGUUUAGUCUUUAAUUUAAAUUAAAACCAAGCUCAUAUAAUCAUCCAACUCAAUAAUUAUUUUCUGUUUUAAAAUAAUUUAUUAUUAAUUAAUUCAAUUAAAUAAUUUACACAACUCAAUUUUAAUUUUGUUAAAAUCAUGAUGACUUUAUUGCAUUAAAAUUUAUGCGUAAGGUAAUUUAAUUGUCCAAUUAAAAUAUAACUACAAUAACCAAUUAAUUUAAUUUUUACUUUGGACUCAAUUAUUUAAUUUCAUGCAAUUAAAUAAUAUCUCAAAGAAAUUAAAUCAAUUUCUAAGUUAUCUUUUGUUAUCUCGAGAAAAUAUAUUUAUUGUUGAUAGUAAAGCAAACUAUUUCUCACCAUCAUUUUCAUCUAUUCAUUCAUGCAGUCCACACAAAGUUGUGUUGAGCUAGUGGAGGGACCGAUUGAACACAUAUGGGUAGGGCUUAAAUAAUUUUUAAUUAAGUUCUAACUCUUCAUAUAUUAAUAAAAAAUUAUUUACUCGUAAAAUCGUUCCACUAAAUUGUCAUGAUUGAUCUCCUUAUUAUAUACUAUUAUGAAAGUUAUAAGCAUUUAAGCUUUUGUCCAACGACCUUGCCAUGUAGAUGUUAUCUUCAUAGGCAUUGACCCAUUUAUGUUAAACUCGUUCUCCUAUUACGAUCCAUUUUAUCGCAUGGUCAUCGUUGUAUCUUCCAUGAUGAAAAUUAUCAUUACUUACUAACAGUAUUGAUAGUCAUUCAUCUCGGACGAAUGACUCGUGACCACAUUUCAUUUUCACUAUCCAUACAAUACUAAUGAGAAGAUACCAUUUGCUCUAUUUUUGAGCUAUGGGUUCUCUUAUUGUAAGCGAUGUCAAGCCAUGCACAAAUCAUAUACCCAAUGUAUCAACUUACAACCCACUAUCGUGAGAGCUCUGGUUUUCAAUAUAUCAAGGUAUAUGAGAUAUACACUCAUGGUUUGUCAUUUAUUCAAGAUUUAAAUAAAUCAUAUUAUGAAUAUUAAAAGUGAAUAAUUUCAUAAAUAGAUCUAGAAUAAAUCCAACUUAGGCUCAAUGUAAUGUAUUCUACAUUUAUUCUCCUUUCUCGGAGUAGGAAGGCUCCAAUGUCCAAGGUAGGUCUCACCAAUAUUUUGUUCUAGGUUAGCCUCAUUAAAGCUUUCAUCAAUAAUAAUUGGGCCUAUCUGAGUUUCUUCCCAGGCCCGUUUUUGCGAACUACCUAAAAUAACCUUCUGUAUUGCUUCUAGUCCCCACCGCUUCCACUUUCUCACUGUAGUUACUUUGCAUUGAUACUCUACCCCCUUCCCUAUGCAUAGACUUUGAAUAUCCUUUCUCAAGCCAUCUUGAAUUAUAAAAGCGAUACAAUAGCAUUCACGAGUCCCGAGUUGCACCUUAUGCCUUCCACUUCCUUCUUACUUGUGUGUAAACUCUCCUUCACAUAGCAGUGACUCUCAUCCAUUCUCUGUCAAAUUUCCUUCUCUUUUCCUCCGCAUAUGCCCAACAGGUGUUAAGUAGAUGAGCUAAAUGACAAUAAGCAUACCAAAAAUCCAGUAAUCUUUCAUAUUUAAACAUAACAUUAAUAUGAUCCUUAUCUGGUUUUUUAAGGUUAAAACCCUUGGAAGUGGGUCCUCUACUUUGGUCAUAACUGUUAGUCGCAUGAUAUCCAAUAAAAUUCAAAUUCUUCAUUACUAUUAGUGGCUUCACAACCAACAACAACAAUUCAAAAAAAUGUCUCAAAGUUCUUUGAUUGAUUGGGACAUUAUGAGUAUGAAUACAAAACUCAAUCGUGGUGAAGUUGAUGUCCUUUAUACCACCAUUCUUAGGUCAUUCUUUCAACAUCAGAAUUAUAGUGUCGCAUUUAGUUUAGAAACAAAUAUGUACAUAUUCCUUUCCAGAACAUGAACUCUAGAAGGAUGCUCGUUUUAAAGGCAUGUAUAUUUCUAUUUUAACUAAAUUAAUCGACCAAAUCAAAUUAAUUCAGAUAAUUGGCUCAGUCACUAAAUCUAAUUUAAAAAUUUUAGUUAACGAUUACUUUAAUUCAAAAUUGAAUAAUUAACUAAUUAACCUAAAUUAUUAAUAAAAUAAUAUUAUAUAAGCCCAAAAUAUAAAAAAAAAAUAAAGAAUAGAUUAGAUUUAUACAAAUAUUUAUAAUCAGCUUAGAACUUACUGGAUUUAUACAAAUCUUUGGGACAGGGUAGCUUAGGCUUUUUCUUUUCUUUUUGGUGUUAAAACAAGGUAUGAAAGCAUGGUGCCGCUUGGCCUCCUCUUUGAAUCUUCACCUUUCUAAUUUCUUUUUUUUUCCUUGUCAUUUCAUUACUCAAAGUCAACAGUUUUUUUUUUAAUUUCAUCACUCAAAACCUAAACCUUAUUUUUCUAAUUAAAAAAAAAACAUUGCAAUGGCUUUCUUCUUUUUUUUUUCUUUUUUUCUUUUUUGCGUUUCAAUUUAUUUGAAGAAAUGAAAAAAAAACAUGUAAAGAUUUUGGAAAAGAAAAAUUAUGUAAAAAUUUAUGUUAAUUUGGUUAAUCACUCAAAUUAAUUAAAAUUAUUCUGGCCGAUUAAUAGAUUUUUAAUAAAUUUCAGUUCGGUUAAUAGUUUUAAAUUUUUUAUUAAUGAUAUUUUGGGUUUUUUUUUCAAAAUUGACUCAAAAGAAUUGAUUAAUUACGAAAAUAACCCAAGUGCAAAAUAUUGUACGAGAAUGACCCUUUUCUACAGUGCACACCAAUGCCGCCUUACCCACUGAUGGCACCACCCCUAAUUAUGACCCAAUGAUUGACCGUUUUAAAAAAAUAUUUUUUGGUGUCACCAUUUAUAUAUUUUUCUACAUACCCAUUGAAAAUAUGGGUAUUCCAAGAGAAAAAUAAAAAAGAAAAAUAAUAAUAUUUUAAUGGGUGUCUUUGUUCUCGUUGGCGACACCUAUGUUAAUAAAUUUGAUUUUUUUUGUGCCGCCAAGUUGUGUGGCGGCACCAAAAGGUUAUAUAUACCCAUACCUAAUGGAAGAUCAACAUAUGUUGAAGUAAUUGGUUUUUUUUUUUUAAAUUCAGUUAAAGAGAUGAAGGAAAGGGAUAAAUUUUUUAGAUUAGUUGUAGGGAAGAGAACAGGAAAAAAAAAUUUAAGUGUAUAGAAUUAAUUAGUAAUCUAGAUAAAUCAUAUUAUGACAAAACAUAAAGAAGAUAUUUUUGGGUUUUUAUGAAUGAAAGAAUAAGAUUGAAUAAAUAAAGUGAACUUCGAAUAACUAAAAUCUAAACUUAAUCAAAUCUAAACAUGGGUGAUUAGCUCGCUUUGGUAGUCAUAAUCAACUAUCAUCUCGGGCUUUCUUGCUCAAUCAACUAGUCAAUACCCCAUCAGGAUAUUCUGAUACAUCCACUAAAAUAUUGAGUCAACAAAAACUACUUAUCUUUUGACCUCACAGUCUAGACCGAUUUAGGGUUAAGGUGUUCACGGAUAGGUCAUAUCAAAUUUGGGUUAAUUCCUACCUUGAUGACUUUCUAAGGUUGUCAGGCCUAUGGUUUAGAUUCUUCCUUUCCUGAAUAGCUUAUUCAUUAAUAAAUCCCUACAAAACAGUUAAUUAUUCAUACUUCCACUCACUAAUCCCCCAUAAGAGGAGUAGUUCCUCAUGGAAUCUAUAAACACAAUAAACUUGAUAAAUAAGGUACGCAUAAAGAAUAAAUCAAGAGUAAGGUUUAAGAGAAUCCUGAUUGUAUUUGAUUGGUGAAAGAGCAAAAAUCCACAAUAGUUUGAUUGCAUCUACAAAUCAAGUUCUCUGAAGAACAUGAAUGAAAAGAACUGAAAAGAAAUCUAGACCCUAAGAGAAAGAAAAAAACUGAAAACUAAAUUACAAAGAAAAACUUAGAAUAUCAAAACUUGUCCUUUAACAAGUGUUUAAGAGUGUAUUUAUAGAGUUAGGGUUGUCAUCAUCCUCAACCCUAGGUCAACUGAUGCUCUUGUAUUUAACUUUUUUUGUGUAGACCAAAAUACCCCAGGCUCGUAAGUGUUUCCUUUACAGAACUGAUGUCGCGACACCCUAGUGCUUGUGUCGCGACAUCGAAGGCAGUAUACUCAAGUUUAGGGUAGCUUCAAGGGGUGUGUCGCGACAUUCAAUAGAUGUAUUGUGACACCAAAGGCAGUCUCGAGAUUCUUGCAUUCUGCUCCCUAUAUUGCGGCAUCAAAAUUCCCGUGUUGCAACACAACGACCAGUGUUGAGUUUGUACGCCCUCUAAUGGUCUCCUGCACACUCACUAAGUACAUUAGCUCACUUUUAGGCCUCAUUUGGUAUUUUAGGUCAAUAAAAGAUUCAAAAUACACUUUGUAUUGAAUUUAAACUAAACUAUAAAAACUUCACUAAAACAUAAUGAAAAUGCUUAUAUUCAAUCUCCUAAUGUGCAAAAACUAGUUUAAUCUGCUACAUUGAAUUACGGCAGAUCAAUGUAUUAGAUGAAGGCCGAUCGAACCUUGUUUUGCUAAAAGCACCCUUGGUUAGGGGUGAGCAAAAUCCGAUUCGAUUUGAAAAAUUCAAUAAAAAAGUUUAAAUUUUGAAUCAAAUAGUUCAAUUUUUUUGAUUUAAUCAAGUUAUUCGAGAUCAAUUCGAAUAAAAAAUUAAUUUUUCAGUUUAACUCAAAUAUGAAAUUCACAAUUCGAGUUAUCCGAAAAUCCGAAUAAGAAAAGACAACACUAUGUCGUUUUGAUAAAUGUUUCCCUUUUCUAAAGUUAAAAGUCAAAACCAUUAAGUUAAAAGAAAAAACUAUAUCGUUUUAAUAAAUGUUUACUCAUUAAGUUAAAAGGCAAAACCAUUAUCUUGUUUAUGUAGUUAAAUAAUCUUGUACUUCGUCUACUAGUUAAAUAAUCGGUCCAUGUAAAUGCAACAUUGAGUAUAAAUAAUAGGAUUCGUUUACUCAACUAGACUUGACUUGAAAUUUUUUGACUUGAUUUGAUUCGAUUCGAAAAAAUUCAAAUUGAGUUCGGUUGCUAAAGUAGGAUUUGUCAACUCGACUAACUUGAAAUUUUUUGACUCGAUUCGACUCCACUCGAUCGAAUACUCACCCCUACCCUUAGGUUAUUAGGUUCCUAAUGGUAGGGGUGGACGUUCGAUCGAAUUGAAUGAAAAAAUUUCGAGUUAAUCGAGUUGAUAAAUCUUAUUUUAUAAUCUUAACUCGACUUAAAAUUUUCUUGAAUCAAGUUGAGUGAGAUGGAAUUUGAAUCGAAUCGAAUCGAAUCAAAUAUAUUUGUUCAAGUUAAAUUUAAAAAAAUGACUUUGGGUCCUUGUAGCCACUACCACUCACCGAAAUCAAAUUUGUUAUUAACUUUCAUCCCCUCGUAAUUUAUUUAUUAAUCUUUUCUAUAUGGGAUAGCUUCUUUAUUUACUUAGUUGCUUCAAUUCUCUUCUGAUUCUUGUCACCAUGUAUUUUGAAAUUAAAAAAUAUAUUAAAUGUACAAAAAUAUGAUUUUUUAAUAAAAUUUAUUUUAAAGAUAAAAUGAGAAAUUGAUACCAAUAGAAAAUUUUAACACAAAUAUUUUAUGGCAUCAUCAAUAAUUCAAUUUUAAUAUAAAUUAAUAAAGAUUUAGCAUGAUUAAACAAUACAAUAAUAUAAAUAGCACAAAAUGUAAAAUUUAAUUCAAUAAUAUAAAUAGUAGACAUGAAUUCGAAAAAAAAAAGUUUUUGAGAUUUAGGAGGAAGUAAAAGUUUUGGGGAAAAGCAAAAGGAGAAAAAUUUGGGGGGUUUGAGGGAAAUAAAAGUUUUGAGGGUUCAAGGAAAGUAGAAAUUUGAGGGGAAGUAAAAGUUUUAGGGGGAAAGUAAGAAAAAAAAAGUUUUGGGGUUUGGGAGAAGUAAAAUUUGUUGAGGAAAAGUCAAAGGGUUUGAGGGCGGUAGGGGAAAUGAAGUAAAAAGGUUUGAUAUUUAUUUUAUUUGAAUUAUUUGAGUUAUUCGAAUUCAAAAAUUUAACUCGAUUCGAACUCGAAAUUCAAAAAAAAUUGAGUUGGUUCGAUUAGCUCGAUUAAUUCGAUUCGAAUAAUUUGAAAUUCAUUUUUUUUUUCGAUUUUUUCGAGUCGAAUUAAAUUUUGCUCACCCCUACCUGAUGGACUCAAAUCAAACAAAGUUGAAUAUCAAGCAGAAGGCUUGUUGAAUAUCACGAGAUUUUUGAUGGACCUGAUUCAAGCAAAAGAUUAUGAAAUAAGAGAAAAAAACUUAUUAAAUUACAUUAGCUUCUGUGUAAUGUGAUUAUUCCAAUUGUAGUUAGUAUUAUUGUAAUAAAAGUUAAGAUGAUAGUGGAGAUAAUCAAGUUUUCGAUCCAUUAUUAAUGUAAGUAGAAGUAUAAUAAAUAAAAAGAAAAGUUUUUUAGUUCACAAGAAAACAAAUUAUCGUUUUUAACCUUUAAAAUUUAAUUCGUAUCUGAACCGAUAUAAAAUCGGAAGAAUAAAACAAACCAAGAAAGAAUGAGGAAAGAAAAUGAUAAAAAAAAACCGGUAAAAAAAUAAGGAGAAAGAGAGGGGGAAGAAAAAGUGUGAACGCAUGACGAUGUGAAAAAAAUUGAAAUGGAGAAAAAAAAUAAAAUCAGGAAGGAAGAAAUUGUAACGGAGAUGUGCAGGAAAAAAAUGAAUGGUGGGAUUGUUAAAUAGACAAAGAAAAAUACGGCGAAGUAUGCCAUGACGGAGAAAAAAAUCCUUUAAAGAGUUUGAAAAAGGAAAAGCGGGAAGAAAAAAUGUAGGAUUGGGAAGAAAAAAACUGAAAAAAAAAACAUGAAUAAAACAGAGAAAAUGAAAAGAAGGAAAAAAUGGGUCUAACAUGCGUGACCGAUCGAUCAAAUUAGCAUCAUGCCCCUCUUUUUUCUUUUCCUUUUCUCUAUUGUAUUAGUAUAUUGUGACUGAGAAAAAAAUUUCUUUAAAGAGUUUGAAAAAGAAAAAAUGAGAAGAAAAAUGUAAGAUCGAGAAGAAAAAAUGGGGAAAAUAUGAAUAAAAUAGAGAAAGAAGAAACAAAAAAGGGUCUGACGCACGUGAUCGAUCAGUCAAAUCGACAUCAAGCCCCUUUUUUAAUUAGAUCAGUCAAAUCUUCUUCUUCUUCCCCUCUCCACUAGUUUUAGAAAAAAAAAGAUAUGAGUUUUUUUUUUGUGUUAUUUGAAGUUUGAGAUUGUUGUGUUGGUAUUUUGUGGAAAAUUUUUAAUAAACUUAAGGUAUGUGAAUUUUUAAUUGUAAUAACUGUAAUAUAUUUAGUUUUUUAAGUGGUGAUUAAUUUUUUAUUAAUUAUGCAAAUAUCACAAUGAGUUCUCUUCUCCGAGCAACCGAUCACACUGCAUUGAUUAUUAAUGAUCCAGUAAAAUAUUUUGAUAUUUAUUAAUCACAAAUAUAUUUAUAGAGUUGCGGCUUAACUUAUAUUUACUUAGUCAAUUUAACAAAUGCGGUUAUAUGAUAUGGACAAGAUUAGUAUCGAGUGUUGAGGCCGAGAGUCCAUAUUCUAAGGUACCAUUAGGACGAACGCAUAAUGCCAUGCUUGGAUGCCGUCAAAUUUGGAAUAGCAGCAUCCAUCCGGAUGUUUGACUUAAGGGUGGACUUAAUAUCCGCCUUGGUUGAGCGGUGGUGCCCAGAGACCCACACUUUUCUUCUAACGUUUGGAGAGUGUACCAUCACCUUGGAAGACUUUGCAACGCAACUCGGGCUCCCAGUUGACAUUGAUGUGGUCACACGCCCAAGUAAAGUGGUUGAACCUUUGGCCCUUUGCUACCAAUUACUUGGAUGCUCGUUUGGCAAUGGUGAAUCUAGAUUUACCAAUUUAAAAAUUUCCUUGUUAAAUGAAAAUUUCCAAAAGAUAUUGAGCAGUGCCACUAAGUUGAAGCUGAUGUGCACUACUCGAGCGUAUAUAUUGCAGCUAAUAGGAGGCUACUUAUGUCAAAUGCAAAUAAUAAUAAAGUCCACAUUAUUCACUUGCCUUUAUUGGCCAAUUUGUACCGGGCUCGCUCCUACAAUUGCGGCUCAGCAGUUUUGGCAACUUUGUAUCGUGAGCAUUGUUAGGCGAAAAAGCAUGAGACACAAGAUAUAUGCGGAUGCCUGAUACUAUUGCAGUUUUGGGCUCUAUACAGGAAAUCAUUUCUAGCAUCAGUGGGUCACUAACCACAUGUGUGGCCACUUGUAAAUAGGUAAAAAAAUUGUAAAAUUGAAUCAAGAAUAAUUAUUUUUUUUGGAAUAUGUGCUAACAAGUUUGUUUUAUUUUCAAAUGGUAUACGUGUCCAGUUAUUGGGAAGUUGGAAACACUCGUUGUCUACCGCCAUAUGCUAAAGGCAUACGUCGAGGACAAAGUAAUAUUUUUUAAUUAAGUUAUAUUUGUUUUAUUAAAUUACUUUGAUAAUGUUAUUUGACUCAUCUAACUAUCAUCGUGUUAAAUAUUGUGCAAUUCAUGUAGAUGAUAUAUUCCAUACUAGACGUUGUGUCUGUCAUUCUACUGUGGGUUCACAAACGUGCAUAUGUGUAGUGCAUCAAUGCACCGGUGUUGAACUUUUAAAAGGUGGAGUGCUACAAUGCUAAUCGAGUUAUGCGACAAUUUGGGUACAUACAAGAUGUUCUGAAUGUUCCACAUAAAUUAGACAACGUCCAUGGGAUAAACAAGAGAAGUGAUCUACCACAAAUUGAUAUGGAAAAUUAGGCUUUUUCGACAUAUUUAAUGAGCUUUUUCUCGAGCAAAAUAACAUCUUUUACAUAGUUUUUCGUUAUUUUUAGAUUUUAAGUUAAUAAGUGAAAAUGUCUUGUUUUUGCUUAUUUUGUGACCCAAUUUGGCCAAUAGUGCCAUUGAGAGGCCUAACAUGUGAUUGAAGGGUGUAGGGACAUGUUGGAGGUUGAAAUCGAGCAAUAAUGACACCAAAGGAAAGGGUAUCAUGAUAUCCACUCCUUGGAAUCGCAAUACCUCUAAUAGUAUGGAAUAUUAGAGUCACCCUUCAGUGAAUCGUGAUAUCCUCUUUGGGUAUCGCUAUAUCCACCCUUUAAAUAAGACCCCAAGGCUCGACAUUUCCCAAAGUAUCGUGAUAUCCUCUUCUAGGUAUCACGACAUCGACAUCGUCAGGGGGAUAAAAUUGGACAAAAAGGGUAGUCUUUGUCCACCCAGUCCACCAAUAAUCCAAGGCCUGUGUAGGGGCAAUUUUGGCAACAAAACUCAUAAGAAAAUAGCCUAAAAUAGCCAAAAUUGGAUGAGGAGGAGAGAGACACACAUUAUCUUAAUUUUAGGUUUAGUUUUCUUUAGGUUUUCUCUUAGUUUUUCUACACUUUUUCUCGGGUUUUCAUUUUCUCUUCUUCUUUCUUAGUUUAAAGUUUAUUUUUCUACAUUUUCUUCUCGUUCUUGAUGUUAUUAGUGUUAGUUAAGUUAAUUAUCACUGUAGCUUAGGUUUCUUUGCACUUUUAGCCAUUGUACCUUGGUUGUAUGACAUUUUUAGCUUUAGUUUAAUGUAUUUCAAUUUUUUCUACUUUAAAUCUAUUAAAGUUUGUGUCUUUUAUGUUUAUUGCUUUUGAAUUUCUUGUUGAAUGCUUUUAGUUUCAUGUUUUUUUAAGUUUUAUUGCAUAGAAAUCCCAACUUUUAUAGUUUUCUUAAGUUUUACUUUAAUGGUUGUUUUUUCUUCAUUUCCAUGUUCAUCCUCUUCUUUAUUUUCAGCAUGAGCAGCUAAACCUAUAAGGGGGUUGGUUAAUGAAGAUGUGGGUAAGCUAAUUUUUGGACCAAUUACUAAAUCGUAAUAAAUUGGACUAAAUUGAAUAGACCUAAAAAUUUAGAAAGUGAUGUCCCUAAGGGAAUAUCUAGGCAAGUAAGACUGAAAGGUAAUCUUGUUGCUCACCCGUUCAUUAGUCUCGAAUUAACCGGUGAGAUCAAGAAAUUAAUUGGAAGUAAUUCGUCUAAGUCGGUAAAAUUGAGAUCGAAAGAUAAAAUUGAGUUACUUAGUAAUUUAAGCGAUUUAAGUCCCUUGACUACCAAACCACAUCGAAAUAAACCAACCACCACUAGUCAUUUAUUUGGUUAAUUUCUUAGUUUCAUACUAUUUUCAAUUUAGUCCCUAGAUUAGCAUAAUUAAUUUUCUUGCACAAAUUGUUUGUUAUGAUUUGCCGUACUAUAAAACCGUAUCAGUAGCCAUUUAAACUCUCUGUGUAUGUUAUUUAUCACUCAAUCAUCAUCUCAUUUGGGUUCGAUCCUUAGAAUUCUCUGGUGUUCCAUUGUAACACUACAAAUAUUAUAACUAACCUGUACGCUUGCAUUAAAAUCGUGCUUUAAAAAUUGUCUUAUAAAAUUAUUAUUUUAUAUGCACGCGUAAAACCCGGUCAAGAGGUAAAGAAGAAAAAAAUAGACAGUUGAAUAUCAAUAAUAUAUUGCAUUGUAGAGUGCUCGAAUAGAGAGGCGACUUCGAUUGCAGUCAUGUUAUUUUAAUUUCACGCCUUCGGUCCAUUAUCGACAUUGGUACUCGGAGAACGGGUUGUCAUAUUUAUUUGGUGGUCAGUUAAUGGUAGUCUCCGAACACAUGCACCAACAAGGAAUGGAACAUGCUGGAUCACUGAGGUCAACUGUCUCAUGUUACACAAACUGUGGCAGAGCCCGAGCUCGAGCACCAACCUCCGAAGUGUCAUUCACAAUCGAAGGGUACUUCUUACCAUUUAGAUUUACGAGUUUGCAAUUUUGGCCCAGGGCCCCAAAGCUACCCAUAUAAGGUAGAGAUAUCUGGUUGCAGUUCUAAUUUCAACAACUACAAUCAUCGAUGAUGGUUGAUAUGUUUGGCUCGACACCCCGUAUUUUUAAUACUCCACCCUCGAGCAAACCUUUGAUCUAACAUAUGAUUUUUCGAGUGUGUUGAAUACACCUCAAGUAUCAUCCAUGGAUGAUGAGCAUGCCAGUUCAGUUGAGGAGGAUAUAGACCGUAACGGUCAACCCCCACACUGACGGAGGCUGCCGUAAUGUUACACCCCCCAAACAACACUAAGUUCCCUUCAAUAUUGAUACUUGUAAAUGUGUUAAUUUAUACAAUAUUUGUAAUUAAAAAAUUGUAUAUGUUUCAUCAAGACAUUUAUAAUAAGUUUAUACUUCUACCUCGUGCAUUUUCUAUUUAUUUUUCAAAACAUCAACCUCACAACUCUAUAAUUUUUCCUCAUUUUUUGAAAACAUAAAAGUCGAAAUUGGUAUCGAUACCAGCUAUGGGUAUCAAUAAUUAUGGCUUGGUAUUGAUACAUUGGUGAUGGUGAUAAGAACUUGCCUCGGUGAUGAUUCGAGUCAUUUAGAUUGCCCAAUCGUAAAAUGGAGAAGUCACGUUCAAUUCGGAGUUUGAUGGAAUUUGGCUAAGUAUAGGCUUUAAACAAAAGGGUUUGAAGUAUUUUAGAUAUGAUAAGUAUAUGGUUUCGGCUAACAAGAAAUAAGGUUAUAUUUAAGUCGAUGAAUGUGGAUGGAAUAGAAAAGCUCAAGGUUGAAGAAUGAACCAAUACUAUAUACAGUAUUGACUUGAGACUUAUAAAAACACUUGAGAUGGAAAAUGAUAGAACCUUGACCCACUAUCUAUAAGGAGAUAGGAACCAAAGGUAGAAGGGUCAACGCCACACUCGGUUUAGGAAUGAUAAGUUCAAAAAAAACAGGGUGACACCACUAGCUAGGCUAGAUAAGUCAAGUUGAGUCUUAAAAGAACAAAGAGAGUUGAAUUAAACUCACAAUGUUAUAAACAUCCAUAAAAGGAUAAAAAGUAUGUUGUCUAAAUUGUCUCAAUUGUCUAACUCCAAAAUGAUUACAAAAUAAACUAUUUAUAGCUAAACAUCUAGCUAGUCGAAUAGACACUUAGGGAGCUGAAUGGGUAGCAAAUAUUCAGCUUUAAUGAGCUGAAACUUCUUGGAAACUUCCUAGAAAUCCCUUUGAAGCUUCCUUGAAGCUUCCUUUGAAGUUUCCUAGCAUGAGAGGAGCCAAUGGACAGCUUCUAGAGGCCUUCAUUCAGCUGGAAUUAAUUUGGAGUGAUUGGGAGCUGAAUUGGCUUGAUAAAAUUCGGUCAAGAGGGGUGAACUUGUUUUAAUUGAGCUACCUUGAAUAUUUGGAUAGUCUUGGACUUUAAUGAGUAGCUUGGAGUACUCAACAGCCUUUGAAUGUGAAACAACGAAAUUGAACAGCCCUUGAGUGUGAAAACUCAAAACCGAAUGGCCUUGAAGUGUGAAUGGAAUUUUCCAACUUGUGUGAAAGAUUUUAAGGCUGCUUUGGAGAUCUUGAUAGCUAGCUUGGGGAAAAGAAUCAGCAGCUGGUUUUGGCUUUUGCAAUGACCGAACAGGUGUUUGGAGAAAGGCUAUCAGCAGCACACCUUCUUUAAUUGUCGUCCAUGCAUGUGGCUGCACCAUUUUAAUCUAGCAAAUUAAAUUAGUUUCAGACACAAUUAAAUUCAGCAGCAACUAAACUAAUUAAUUUGAACAUGUAAUUAAUUUGUCUAAGCUAAGACACAUUAAAAUCAAACAAUGACUAAGACACAAAUUAAUUUCAGCAACAGACAAGACGCAUUAAAAAUUGAUAUUAAGCUAAGGCAUAUUAAUAACAUGCAUUAAACUAAGACACAUUAAACACUACAAUUAUUAAAUUCAAUUAUAACUUAUUUAUGAGCUGAAAUAAAUUAACUACUUAGCUAGACGCAUAAAAUUAUUCCAGCAUGAAAUUGUUCUAGCAAAAAUAAGAUAGACGCAAGCUAAAAUGAACUAAAACGAAAUUAAUUAAAAAGGAUAAAAUUAAGCUCAAUGAGCUAGAAUCAAGCUGAAUUGAGCUCCAUUGAGCUGGAAUCGAACUAAGUCAGCUUGCAAGAGUUUGCAAGCAACGCUUCGGGAGCUGGUCCAAGAGUGUGCUCGGGGAUACUUAGGAUUUCUUUUUCAUUUUUUGAAAACAUCAAAGUCGAAAUUGGUAUUGAUACCAACUAUGGGUAUUGAUACUUAUGGUCUGGUAUCGAUACUUUGGUAAUUUUAUCAAUACUUAGGAUUUAUUUUUCAUUUUCCUUAAACAACGAAGACGAAACUGGUAUCGAUAACAGCGAUGGGUAUCGAUUCUUAGUCCCUGGUAUCGAUACCUUAGUGAAUGUAUCGAUACUUAGAAUUUAUUUUUCAUUUUUUCAAAACAUUGAAGCCGAAAUUUGUAUGGAUACAAGAAUUGGGUAUCAAUACUUUUGGCACUGGGAGCAGUUUUUGACUUGAUAAAAAUGUUUGACAAAAUUUUAAUAUAAACCUUUCAUACAAAUACUUAAUAAUUUUAUUAUGAAACGAUUUGAACCCCAAAAAAUGUAAACCUCAAUUAAUGACUUAAAUUAAAAUAUUCUAUAUAUAUUUACAAAUUUCAAAUUUAAAAAAUAAAAGAAUCGCAACAACUAAAAGAAACACAAAGAAUGCAACAAAAAUAUUGGCAGCAGAAUGGAACAUCGAGUACAUCAUUUUAUAUUCCCCUCAACUGUGAAGAUCAAUCAGCAUGGUAGUUUUGAUACGGGCGUUUGUUCUGACUGUGGUCGACUAUUCUGCAUAGCCAAAAACGGUUUGGUUCGACUGACGUCCAUGUCACCACAAAUCCUAGUGAUCUCCAGUCGACCUUUGGGCACCUUACGUAGUCCCUAGUGCGGCAACAACUCAAAUGCAGGUGGAGGCAGUUCUCAUGUGGAGACAUCCCUUAGAAUGGGGAACUCGUUACCCCAAAUAUGCAAUAUACAUUCUAGCAUGUACACCUUGUCAAUAUAUUAUUCAGCAUUCAAAUUGAAGUUUGCACACACUACAACGACAUGCGCACACAAGUACCGAAGGGUCUAGAACUUCCCACACUCGCACCGCUCAUUUCAGAGAUCAAUUCCUAAGAACCUAUCUGGGACCCCGCACGAAGGUUGAUGUACUUUGUCAUCUACAAAGUUUCCAAGUUUCAAGAAUAUAGUUCUACAUUUAUCAACUUCGCUCUCUGAGCAUUGUCAUUCAUGGCAUUCCUAACUUCUUUCACAUACACGUGCCUCGCCUCCAUUUGCUUAACUUGUCUCAACCCCAUUCUUGGCAUAAAUGUUGUCAACCUGUAGAACGUAGCUGAGAAAACAACUGAAUUUGGCAUAUGACGUGUACGCUUCAAUACAGAGUUAACCGCUUAUUUCCAUGGCUCCAUACUACCCAACCACUACCGAAACAAAGUAUUUGUUUGACCCUCUAUAUCAGCCUCAAGCCUCCCAACCUUGUAACAACCCAUCCAGCAAAGCCUUAGUGGCUGGAUACUGUUUAGGUAGAUAAGACAAAUGAGAUAAGUUUCGAAUAUGUAUAGUGUUAGAACUAGACUAAGUAUAGGAACCCUUCUUAAGCACGUCUAUGACGCCUUGAUGUUGGUGAACACUAGGUUGGCACAUAGUGACCAAGAAGUGUGUCUGGUAAGGAAUGCCUUAGUAGUAAAUCUCUGAUAAGGAAUACCUUUGUGGUAAUUUGUAAGGAGACGCCUUUGUGGCAUAACCUAAAAAAAGUACCUUGGUGGUAAUUUUCGUACAAAAAUGUCUUCAUGGCAAGAUUCUAAAAGGAAAACCUCUGUGGCUAUCUUUGGAAAUGAGUGCUUUUGUGGCAAUAUUCUAAAAAGAAAGUCUUUACGGCUAUCUUUGGAAAGAAAUGCCUUCGUGGUGAAAUCUAAAGAACAAAUCUCAUGAUGACCAUAUAAAGAUAACACCUUUGGGCAGACACUGAAUGAAUGAUGAACCUCGUAUAGUUACAAUGGAUGAAUAGAAAGGCUAGUGUGCACUACAGUAUGUGGCGAGGCAAAGAUAUGAGUUAAAAUAAGAAUAGAGAGUGCACUAAAGUAAUGAAGAUAUGGGCAAAUUCUGAUAUAAAUAUUAGGCGCAGUCUACCCCGCCCAAAGAUAAUGAUAAGACUAGUAAGUAUGGAAUAAGUUAUUAAGUCUGAUGAUAAGGUAAGUGGAGAGGUUCAGAAUUAUGUAAAGGUAAGAAUUAAAAAAGGAUAUAGAAAGUAAAAAAGAGAUGUUAAGUAUAGUACGCACAAGAAAAGGAAACUGAUUUUGAAGAAAGAAAGAUGGUAGCCUCAGUAUUGUACUCACCAAAGAAGAAAGAAAGGUCAAGAAAUAACAUAUGCAAUGUAGAAUGAAUGAAAAAUGUACUUUAAGGUUUAGCUCACUAAGUUCUUACGAAUUUACAAAAGUUGUUUCUAUUUUUAAGUCUAUAAAGGAAUGUUUGCCUAGAGACAAUGCCAGAGCUAUGCUAAGAAAGCGGUGCGCUAGACUAUUAUGCAUACAGAAGAAAACAAAUGGCGUGUCAAAGUCUGCGCUAAAGUUCAUUAAGUAGUAUCCCAAAGAAUACCCAGUAGACUAAGAGAUAAAGUAGGAAAGUUUGAAAUCUUAUUCAGCCGUAGCAAUAACCAUCCAUUGUAUUUUUACAAGAAAAUCUGUAAUAACUAUAGAUAGUAGUUUGUACAUAGGAGAAAGGUUAAUGUAAUAGUACAAUGUACGCCUUAAGAGAUUUUUUUACACUUAUAGAUACAUUUACAACAAUGAAUAAGAAAGAAAAGUUUUAAGUUACAUCCGUAUAAAGUGUCACACUUAAUAUUUGGAUCUGGUAGAUCGGGUCGAAUUGAGGGCGUUACAAGCCUGUGCUUGAAAUGAUAUGGUUCUAGCUCAUACUUUGCAUAUGUACUCGAAUAUGACACGUUAUAAUUCCUUUUAGUUUGUAAAAGUGCUUCGAAUUAUUUUAAGAAUAAAAAACUAAAAAUUAAUUUUUACCCGUGUUCACGAGUUGUUUGUGCCAGUCUUUAUUCUUGUACUAUCGGUGGAAGUUGACGGCAAUGUGGCAUAUGCAGUAGACGGAUCUCCAUGAAACCCCGGAACACUUAAUCGCGAUAACUAGUCCCUUUGAUAUGUCGAAAAUAAUGCAAACAUUGUCUUGCCUAACAACAUGCAUCUACAAGUUGGUCAAGAAAAAUUACCAUGAUUCGAAGUUCUCGGAGUCCACGAUGACAAAGACGAUGGGUAGUACGUUCCUAUUACCGUCUUAUGCAACCGCAAUUAGAAGUGUCUACGUAUAUUUACCAUAAAGCCAAGUACCAUCAACUUGCAUUAGCAGCUUGUAGUGUGAGAAAGCCCUAACAUAUGGAUCAAACGUCAAAAACAAGCGAUGGAAAAUUCUUCUCCCCGAUUGUAGUUCGUCCUUCGGGCCAUAACAAGGCAACGUCUUCAAGUUGACGACAAUACCUGACACCUACUUCUACAUCAUAGAUAUCCACCAUUGCAGUUCAUUGUAUGACGCAUCCUAAUCACCAUAAAACUGCUACAUGGUCAUCUAUUUGGCCUACCAUGCUUUUUUGUACGACACCCUAGAUUGGAACCAGGCUUGCAUGUCGUCAAUCAAGAUCGGUACAGGAAUGAUGGGCAUGUCUUUCACCAGUUGCAUGAUGCAGUUGCAGAUUAUUUUCGCAUCCAGUUUGCAAUGGUCUUGCAUCAUAUGUGCACCAAUGCAUGUAUGAGGCCUUUCUAAUUCUCAGAUUGUCCAUAGUUGAGUCCUUUAUAUAAAUACUAUUUGAACCCGCUAAUUGCACCCUUCUUCAGCCCUCAAACAUUCCUUAACACAUAAUGUCGGUGUAGACUUUGUGACAUUGUAGUCCACCGACACCUUCAUGUUGUACUGCUUGAUGGCAAAUACACAGCCAACCUUAUUCUCGAACUAUUGCCCUAUGAACAACCCUUCAAACUCUAAAUCUACCGCCAACCAGUGAGCAAGUAUUAUACUUGGGUACCCAGGGAAUUCGGGUGCAAGUGUCGCAUCAGGGUCUACUAAUCUGUCGUAAUUUGAUACAUCAAAUUAGGCUCUCUAAACAUAAGGAGCUUAUUCUCAAGUAAUUUAAGUUUUUUUUAAAUGUUUUUGUUGAUUUUGAGUUUUAUCAUUAAUAAUUUUUUAUUAGUUUUAAGUCAUUUUUAGACCCAAAUUGGCCAAUCAUGUCAUGGGGAACCUAAUGAGUUGAUUGAGUGUUGUAGGGAGUCGGCGGUGGGCCGAACAUAAAGAAAACAUCACCUAGAAUGGGGUAUCGCAAUAUCGAAACAUGAAAGUUGUGAUACCCUUUAUAGUGCUGAAAUAAAGAGAAUCGAGGUCAGCAGCAAUGAUAUCGCGAUACUGAGCCAUCCUAAGACCAUCCAUUUCAAGACUGUUAUGGGUAUUGCAAUACCCAAGCACGAUACCACUAUCUGAUAGGUGAAAAAACUACAAGGGAAAUUUUAUGUCCAAUAAGCUUAAGCCUAUAUUUCACUUAAGGGCAAAAUUAUCAUUGUUAGGUUAAGUGUUAGUAGGCUAUAAAUACAAAUUUAUAAGCCUUUCAUUUCAGAUUUUGUUGGAUGAACAUUUCUUCUUAAGUUUUCAUAGUUUUAGGUAAGGAUUUUCUUUCUUUUUCUUUUUCUUUUCUUUUUUCUUUUUAGAAUAGAUUUUAUUUUUAUUGUUUCUUUUCUUCCUCAUUGUCGAAGACUAUGUAAAAGGGAGAUGAUCAAACUCUUGGGUUUCAUUCAAUUUUCAUAAAUCAAAUGAGCAUUUCUCAAACUCUUUACUCUUAUUUUAUGCUUACCAUGUGUUUGAUAAAAUGCUUGUUAGAAAUUGAAGUUUAAUUAUGUGUUAAAUUUGUUGAUGGUUGGUUGAUUAGUUAUUUGCUAGUCAAGUUAAUGUUUAUGUUUGAUAUAUUGAUUGUUCAAUUAUAUCAAAAUGCUUAAUUCACUAGAAUUGAAACCUCUAAUGGAAAAUCUAGAUAAAUAAGACCGAAAUGAGAGUUCAAUAUAAUUGUGCCAAGUAGUGAGACCAAGAGGAGACCUAUAUGCUUAGGCGAGACUGAGAGCAGAACCUAUGUGGUAUGUUUUAGUUUAGGAUAAGACCGAGAGGAGAUUCUUAGCUAAGAGUGACAAUAAAUAUAAUCGGCAUAGAUUUAUUAGCUUAGUUAAUGAUUAGCGAAUCAAUCGACCAUCGGUUUAUCAUUUACAUUUUUUAAAACAACAAGGAAGAAAAUUAGAUUAGUUAGUUUAAUUGAUAAUUUAAAUUUCGUUCAUAAACAAUUUUUUAUUUGAACUUGUACUAAUAAUUUUUGACUCGAUUAGAUUAAUAAUUGCUUAACUUAUAAUUAACUUGAUAAGCACAUUUAUCCACUUGGCAAUCCUUUAGGUUCAAACCUUGGUAUACUCGAGUGUCCCAUUGACACUACAAAUAUUACAACUGACACUAUACAUUUCCAGUUAAAACCACACUUUUAAAUUACUUUAUAAAAUUAUUUGUUUUUCUAUGUAUGCCGCAUGCGAGCAUCUACGCUCAACAUGUGGGCCUCAAGGUCAUUCCGUAUAAUAAUGCCACGACUCAGGUUCUCGAUCGAAAGGGGGUGUACAUCUUCACCUUCCUCCAUGCCUUCAUCGUCGAUAUUGUCUAGGACCUCAUCCAAAUCGAGGUCACUAAAAUUUUCACCAUCAUGAUGAGAAUGAUCAUCAUUAUCGGACCUUUCUUCACCAUCUGUAUUGGUGUCUAUCACCUCCGGAUGUAUCUUUAGACGAGGACCCGAGAUAGAGUUGUUAUACGAACUCCCACCAUAGUUUGGAUUUUCGGGCCAUUGUGGUGUCCCUUCACAGUCUAACUGAUCUGCCCAUUCGACAUUGAAAUCAAAGUCAAACCCAUGAUGUUGACUUAUUUGUGUGACAUUUUGAACGGGCUCUAAGUCGACUAACUGAGCGAACAACUCAACUAGUUGGGGUGACGUUCCCAGUCGACUAAUAAAUUACGAGCAUAGUGGUUAGGUCAUCAUCAUCUACAAGUUCCAUCUCCGUAAAUUUCAACGGAUCUGAGGAAAUUGGAAAUUUGUAAAAUAAUCUUGACAUUGUCAUCCGACAACGAAAAGUUAUUUUUGCAUUGAUCUUUCAUUUCACUUCUUCCAUCUUUAUAGUCUUAUUGAAUCUCAUCCUUACUUUAUGAUGACCUUUGAAUAUAAAAUCAACUUUAGUUGAUGGUAGAAUUGCCCCAUCGAACUGAACAUAUACCAAAAACAUUUGGCUAUUCAUCUUCUAUACAAUUUGUUUUCUCUUCUACUUAACACAAAUCUUUUUUUUCUUUUUUUUUUCUCUCUAUCUCUCUCUUAAAGAGUUAAUGCAAGAAAAACUUCAACAAAAUUCAGUUAUAUAGUGGGUGAUGGCACCAUAGAGCCUGUCGGCACCAAUAAAAUUUUUUUUAAAAAAAUUCAGACACUGGUGCCGCCACACAGCUUGGCUGCACCUAAAAAAAUUCAAUUUUUUUUUUAAAAUCACCAGUGCCGCCAACAAGAACGGUGGCACCAAAAUUUUUUAUUUAAAUUUAUUUGGUGCAGUCAAAGAGAACGACGACACCUAUUAAAUUAUUUUUCUUUUUUCUUUUUUCUUUUUCUCCCAGAAUACUUGUAUUUUUAAUGAGUAUGUAGAAAAAUACAUAUUGGUGUUGCCAAGGGGAAUGGCGACACCAAAAAAUUUAUUUUUUUAAACGACUAAUCAUUAGGUCAUAAUUACGGGUGGUGCCGCCAAUGGGUAAUGACGGCACCAGUGUGCACUGUAUAGAAUGGGUCAUUCUCGUAUAAGAUUUUACAUUUGAGUCACUUUUAUAAUUAAUCAAUUCUUUUGAGUCAGUUUCAAAAAAAAAACCGAUAGUUUGAUUCGGGUAUUAAUUGAGCCGACUAUUUGAACCCCUUAGCUCAGUUAGCCAGGCCCUUUUGGGAAUAUGAAACAUCAAACCAACUUUCAUUUCCUUAUCAAAGACUACCUUCCGCUAAACGAUAAAAAACCUAACCAUCUAGUAGUUGAACCAAUCAAAUCGAUUGAAUAGAAUAAUUAGUGGUUUAAUCGGUUUAACAAUUGGUAUGAUUAUUAAAACACUAAAAAUUUAUAUAAACUGUUUUAAUUUUUAAAUGAUGAUGUGGCAUAUAAUUGUACUUUUAUAUAUUUUCAAGUUCAAAAAUCAAAAUAAAUUUAGUUACUAAAUUUAAAUACCAAAAUAAAUAAAAAUAUACAAAUACUAAAAUUUUAAAAAUUAAAUAUCAUUAAAUUAUGUAGGUAAAAAUCAAAAUAAGAUUUAAAUUAUUUGAUAGUAAUUUAAAAUUAAAAUGGUACAUAAAAGCAAGUAGAGUGGGUAUGGGAAUGGAACACCAAUGUUGGAUCACUUUUUUAGUUGUCUAUAGAAAUUUCUAGCAAAAUUAUCUCAAAAUGUCUAGUAAAUGCUUGAAAACCCAACGAUAAUAUGGCACGUACAUGACAACAGUGUUAUAUUGAAAACCAAUAUAUUUUGGUAAGAGAGAUGACCAAUCACUGAAAAAGUGUAAAGGACAACAACCAUAAUUUACUUGGGUUUUGUUUGGAAUAAUAUCAUUUUUUACUCCUAAACUUAACAACUACAUUCAUUUUAGUACUUAAACUUUUUUAUCUACUUUAAUAGCUUAACUUGACAACUUUGGUCCUUGAACUUGAAAAUGUAAAAGUUCGAUGACAUGACACUUUGAGAUUUUACCAAAUCAUCAAUUGAAAAUUAAAAAACUUAUAAAAAUUUUCAAAUGAUGACGUGAUAUAACUUAGAAUGUCACAUAUAGUGUUCUAAUAAUUAGACCAAUGGUUGAAUCAAUAAAACCAUUGAUUCCGAAUUCAAUCGGUUGAUUGGUUCAACUGUUAAAUAAAAAAUAAUUACAAAUUCAUAAAAUAUUUUAAAAAAAUUGAUUUAAUUACUGGUGUUUGUCCUAUUUUUACUAGUUUCGAGCAGUUUCAUAUUCAACCAAUUCGACCCCCUUGUAUGUGUUAGUCCACUAGUCGAUUCUCGAUCUAAUUAGUCUGACUGGCCAAUCCAGUUGUAUUUCAAGAACAAUAAUCAUAUCAUCAAAUCUUGACGGAAUCCAAGUUAAGGACCAAAAAUGGAUCUAAUUUAGGUACUAAAGUGAAAAAAAAAAGGAAUAGAUACCAAAAUGGACUUAAUUUCCAAGUUCAGGGGCCAAAAUUUAUAUUAUCCCUUUUGUUUAUUGUCUAUGGAUCUCUUAAAUAAACCCUCCAUUCUCUCUUUGGUACUUUUUUUUUCUUCGCUCUUUCAGAACUCAAAUCAUCCUCAGGCCCUCUUCAGUUUUCUUUCCAGGAGGUUUUUCAAAGGUAGCCGUAAAUUCUUCACCUUUAGAUCUUAUCUCUUUAGUUUAUGAAAUAAAGAAUUCAUCAUGUUUUUCCUUUCAUUUCUCCUACGAUUUCUCAGUUUGAAGGUGGCUUUAUUUUUGUUUCGGUUUUUGUCAUUAGGGUUCAUCAGAUUUUCCACUUUUUUUCCUUCUUUGGAAAGUUUAAAUCCUGGAGCUUCUCUUUCGAUGAUUUUGAGUAAUACCCAGAUUUUUUUUUAUGGAUGAAACUAAGGAAAUAGUUUGCUUAGUGAAACAGUUGCUGAGUUCUUUUAUCACUAUAAUUUAUAUGGUCUGAAAAUGUUAUUUUAUCAGUUUCUGUUUUUUCUUUUUUCUUCUAUAUAUUUCACUCUUGGAGCUUUAAUGUUGAUGAUUUUGGAAAAUACCCAGAUCGGUUAUUGAAUGGAUGAAGCAAAAGAGAAGGGUGAUUCCGUGAGUAUUGUUUCAGAAUCUUCAGUAACUGUUAGUGAAACUGUGGUUGAAACAAUGGCUUGUGAGGAUCAAAUUCGGAUUGAGGAAGGAGGUGAAGCGGGUCGUGAUAAUGGAGAUGAGGUAACUGUGGAGGUUUUGGAUUCUCAUGUUCAUAUUGAUGGGGGAGAUGGAGAGACAGUUCAGGCUAGUUCUAUUGGUGAAGCAGUUCGUGGUCAUGAAGAGUCCAGUAAAGUUGGUUUGGAGGGUAACUUAAGAACCUUAGAUAGUGACUGCCAUGCGGUGGAUGGUUUGGGUUCAAGGAAUGAGGUUUCAGGUGGUGAAGGCAGGGCUCAGAAUGAGGUAAAUGGAGGUGUGGUUCGGUCUUGUUCUAAUGAUGUAAUUUGUGGUCAUAAUGAGUCCGAUGAAGUUGGUUUGGAGGGUAAUCCGAGUACCUUAGAUAGUGAAGGUGGUGCAGCCAGUGAUUUGGGUUCAAGGUAUGAAGUUUCAGGUGGUGAAGCUAAGGCUCGGAAUGAGGUAAAUGGAGCCAGGGUUUUGGGUUUCAGUGCACCUGGUAAUUCUUCAGGUAAGAACACAGAGCAGUCUAGCGGAAUUGAUGAAGGUGGGGGAGAUUUGAAUCAAGCUACAGAGACAGGUAAAGUUGGUAAUUUGGAUGGUAAUGAAGUGAAUCAUGAAAACCAGAAACCAGUUGUAUGUUUGUCCGCUGCAUCUGAAGAUUCAGGCAUACAAAAUAAAAUUGUUGAGGAAGCUGCAAUGGCAAUCGAUGAGGAAUAUUUGAAUGCCUUAGAUGGUGCUCAUGAAACUAUAUCUGAACCGAUAAAGAAAGCUCCAAAUGACAAUGUAGAUGCCACAUCCUUGAAUGUCAAUACACUGGUUACUGCUGAAUGUGUUCCCACUUCUGAAGCUAAAGGUAUGAAAAAUUGAAAAUUAGUGCUUUUGAAUAUAAUUUGAAAUUUAAAGUUGAAGAACAGCCAUGAAGUUUGAGAUUAGGUGUCAGCACUGAAAAUCUCAAACAUUAUAUAUGCAGAUCCGGUCUAUUCGUGUCAGUCAACGGAAUCGAUUGUCGAAGGUCGAUUAGACGAGAAGGUACUUCCAAGUUCGGUUAAGUCUGAUGGUACAAAUAUGCAUCUUUGAACCAGCCUGAUUCAUCGUCUUUUGCAGGUUAGUUCAGACAUGGAGAUCGACAAGCAAGGUACUGAGUCUGAGAAACAGCAGAUGGAGGUUAAUACUCCUUACCUAAGCAACAAAAACCAUGAUACAGGUGUAGUUGAAAGAGUUGAUUUUUUAUUCUUAUUUUUAAUUUUUUUUUUUUUUUUGGUUCGGACAAUGUUGAUUUGGUCAGGGUUUAUCUUGUGCAGGUAGUGUCAAAUGCUUAAAACCUGAGCCAGUUAUUGACGGAGGAGAAGGAGUUGAUUUAAGCAUGGGGGAAGCAAUGCUUGCUGAAAAGCAGGUUUCCGAUGCUAAAGAUGUCGGUUUUGAUGCAGAGCAAGAUGUUGAAGUUGAGAAAAUGGGUGUUAGCCCUAAAAAUUGUGAUGCAAGUGAUGUUUCUGAACCAUUAGGUCAUCAAAUGGAUGUAUUUGUUGGUAGUGGUGAAGGUGAAGUCCCAAAAGUCGAUAACAAUGUUUUGAACCAAAUAUCUCCUGCUGUUGCUUCUGAUAAGGAGUUACAGUGCUCGGGAAAUGAUGAUCCAUUAGCUAAAAAUGUGGUUUUUGAGGAUGAUUCAAGUGUAGGGAAAGAAAUGAAUGUUGAAGAUCAAGUUACUAGUGAUGAACCGGAUUGUUUAGAGCAAGUGGGAGAAAUGGAAGUCGUAGAACAUGAUAGUGAUUUUGACCAGCCAACCAAUAUAGAUGAACUGACUGUUAAACAGACAGCUCUCAAGUCCGUGAGUGGCUUAAAGGUGCAUCAAGCUAAGUACCAGCAACUUCUGUCCGAGGAAGAAGGUGGAUUUUCAGUUUCUGAUUUAGUCUGGGGUAAGGUCAAGAGCCAUCCAUGGUGGCCAGGACAGAUAUUUGAUCCUUCUGAUGCUUCGGAGAAGGCAAUGAAGUAUCAAAAGAAGGAUAGCUUUCUGGUAGCAUACUUUGGGGAUCGAACAUUUGCUUGGAAUGAACCGUCUGUUUUGAAGCCAUUCCGAACGCAUUUCUCUCAAANNNNNNNNNNNNNNNNNNNNNNNNNNNNNNNNNNNNNNNNNNNNNNNNNNNNNNNNNNNNNNNNNNNNNNNNNNNNNNNNNCUGGCUUGCCCUUGCAUGCCGAAGGAUGCCUAUGACAAGAUAAAAUUCCAAAAAGUUGAGAAUGCGGGAGUUCGGGAAGAAUCAAGUUUAAGAGACGGUAUUGAUGUAUCUUUAAGUGCUAGUUCUUUUGAGCCUGACAAAUUAAUUGACUAUAUGAAAGCAUUAGCGGAGUCUCCAUCCAGUGGGGCUGAUCGACUCGACCUUGUGAUUGCUAAAGCUCAAUUGUUGGCAUUCCAUCGUUUAAAAGGUUAUCAUCAGCUGCCUGAAUCCCAAUUUUCUGAGGAGAAAACGCUUGAGGUAGUUGAGUGUGCCACUCCUAUGGAUACGGAUGGUGAGCAAAAAUCUGAGGCUUCGAAGACUCGGAGAUCUUACCUUAAACGGAAGCAUAAUCUGAAGGAUGGUUUGUAUCCUAGUAAAAAGGAAAGAAGCUUAUCCAAAUUAAUGAGCGAGACAUUUGAUUCUCCUGAUGGCGAAAUCGGGUCUGAUGUGAUAGGUAAUAAGCCCCCUUCAUCAUCAUUUAGCAAGAAAAGAAAAGCCAUUGAUUCCUCAGAAGAAUCCGUGAUGCAGGAAGGGAGGAAGACAACUAAAGGGUCUCUAAGCACACCUCAUUUCCCAAAGCCUUCCUUUAAGAUUGGUGAGCGUAUUAGUAGAGCUGCAAGCCAAAUGACCGGAUCCCCAUCGAUUCUAAAGUCCGGUGGUGAUAGGUUACACAAGCUUGAUGGUGGCUGUGAAACUCCUGCUACAUGUGGAUAUGAUGUUCCUGUUGAUAAUCUUGAGGAUGCCGAGCGAAAGAGGACAGAUAUUUUGACUGAAUAUUCAUCACUUGACGAGUUAUUGCUGCAACUUCACUUAGCAGCAUGUGAUCCGAUGAAAAGUUGCAAUUCUCUUAAUAUUAUUAUUAGCUUCUUCUCGGAUUUUAGAGAUUCAAUAGUUCUGGAUCGACUUUCUGGAGACAAAGCAGUUGGGAAAAGGAAGAAGUCGCCAAAUUCUAUCAUUGGUUCUUCUGAAACUUUUGAGUUUGAAGACAUGAGUGACACUUAUUGGACUGACAGGAUAGUCCAAAACGGUUCUGAGGAGCAGCCAUCACUGGGAACCAGUAGGGGACAAUAUCAAUUUGUGCCUGUCGAAUUAGAUAAACCAAUUCAAAAAGUCCGUAAGUCUCGAAAGCGAUAUUCUGAUACCAGUUAUGAUUUGACAGCACAGAAACCCCCUGGCUAUGUUGAUGAGAGGGCCCCAGCAGAAAUUGUUAUGAGCUUUCCCGAGAUCAAUUCUGUUCCUUCAGAAACAAAGCUAAAUAAGAUGUUCAAGCACUUUGGACCAUUAAAGGAAUCCGAGACAGAAGUUGAUCGUGAAACCCGCCGUGCCAGAGUUGUUUUUAGAAGAUCAUCUGAUGCAGAAGUUGCUUACAAUAGUGCCGGGAAAUUCAACGUCUUUGGGCCAGUGUCUGUAACUUAUCUACUCAACUACACUAUUUCUGAAUCAUUUAAAGCUUCACUGUAUGCUCCGACCCUAGCUGAGGAGAAUCUAUUCAUUGCUUCAGCCCCUUGUGGGGACCAUGCACUUAUUGCCCCAAGCUUAGGUGAGGAAGCUUCAUUCAUGGUUUCAACCCUUGGUGAGGAAACUUUACCCAUUGCUACAUCGUUCCAUGAGGAACCUUGGUUCAUAGCCUCAACUACGGGUGAGGAUACUUCAGCCAUUCCCACGACCUUAGCUGAUGGAACUUUGGUUGUUGCUACAACCAUGUAUGAGAAAACAUUACCUGUUACCAUGACUGCAGGUGUGGAAACAAUGGCUGUUGCCGCAAAUGUAGGUGAACAAUCAUUGCCUGUUUUCGCAAUCAUUAAUGAGCAAAUGUCAACCGCUCCUGCAAGCCUGGUUGAGGAAGCUUCACUUUCUCACUUAACUUCGAGCAAAGAAACUUCGACCAUGACCACAACCUUGCAUGAUCAAACUUCAAGCAUUGCUACCUUCAAUCCAGAAAUUCCUAGUGUUCCUGCCACUGUGGGUGAAGAAAUCUGUACCAUUCCCACACCCUCGGGUGAAGAAACUUGUAGCAUUCCUCCAAACUUGGAUGAAGAAACUACUAUCCGUCCAAUGACCUUGGCAGAGGAAACCCCUAGCAUUCCCAGAACCUUGGGCGAAGAUGCUCCAUAUGUCCCUGCAGCCUUUAGUGAAGAAGCUCCAGCAGUUUCUCUGACUUUCAGCGAAGGAACUCAUACCCUUCCCGGAACAUUGGAUCGUGAAACUAAGACCGUUCUUACAACUGUGUAUGAGGAAACAACCAUUCCUGCAACCUUAGGUCAAGAAACUCCUACCUUUCCUGCAACCUUGGGUGAAGAAACUUGUAGCACUCCCUCAACCUCAAGCGAAGCAGAUCGAAGCAUUCCCACUAACCUGGCCGAAGAAACUCGUGCCAAUCCAGUGACCUCGGCCGAGGAAACCCCCAGUACUCCGGAAACCUUGGGUGAAGAAAGUCCAUCUGUUCCUCUGUCUUUCAGUGAAACUCCUGCCAUUCUUCCAUCAUUCAGCAAAGAAACUCCUACAAUUCCUCAUCCUUUCAGUGAGGGAACUCCUACUGUUCCUGUAACAUCGGGUCCGGAAACUCAGACCAUUUCUACAACCAUGGGUGAGGAAACUACAACCAUUCCUGCAAACUUGGGUGAGGAAACAACUGCUACUGAAACCUUGCACGAGGAAACUCUCGCUGUUCCUACAACUUUGGCUGAGGACAAUCUGACUAUUAUUGCAAAAUUGGAUGAGGAAACUCCAAUGAAUCCUAAAACCUUGGAUGAGGAAACUAAAACGAGUUCCACAAACUCAGCUGAGGAAACUUCGACUACUCUCACAACCUCAGGUGUGGAAACUCCUACCAUUCCUGGAAUGUUGGGUAGGGAAACUCUGACCAUUCCUACUAUUAUGUGUGAGGAAACAACCAUUCCUGCAACCUUAGGUCAAGAAACUCCUACCCUUCCUGCAACCUUGGGUGAAGGAACUCAUAGUAUUCCCUCAACCUCGAGUGAAGAAAAUCAUAUCAUUCCCACUAACCUGGAUGAAGAAACUCCUACUGAUCCAGUGACCUUGGCAGAGGAAAGGCCAAGUAUUCCUGAAACCUUGGGUGAAGAAACCCCAACCGUUCCUCUGACAUUCAGUGAAGAAACUCCGGUUAUUCCUCCAUCAUUCAGCGAAGGAGCUACUAUUCCUCCUUCCUUCAAUGAGGGAAGUCCUACUGUUCCUGUAACAUUGGGUCCAGAAACUCAGACCAUUCCUACAACCACGGGUGAGGAAACUGCAAACAUUCCUGCAACCUCAGGUGAGGAAACUACAAGUGCUCCUGUGACCCUGCAUGAGGAAACUCUGGCUAUUCCGACAACUUUGGCUGAGAACAGUCCAACUAUGACCACAAAAUUGGAUGAGGAAACUCCAACCAGUCCCACAAACUUAGCUGAGGAAACUUUGACUACUCCCACAACCUCAGGUGUUGAAGCUUCAACAGUUC
rnacentral:lncRNA from 1 species